GCAAGCUAUUAUUACAUAAGAAUUAGCCCAUCGCCACCGAAAGGCAGGAACCAGUGGGCAGUUGUGAAACCAGCAUAAUGAAAUCUCUCACGGUUAUCCUAACUCUUAUCCAUCAUCAUGCAAUCCUGAGGUUGUUCUUUUUUCUAUUUUUUUUUUAGAGUAUCAACAACAGUAUCCUCAAAGGCUUUUUGGGCACAAAGACUAAUCCGCGCCGAGGGGUCUCCUGUGGUUGUUCUUUAUUUCUUUUUAUCUUUUCAGCAAUUAAAGUGAAAUAAAGUUCAAUCUGAUAUAUUCACAUACCUACAUACAUAACAUCUUAGAGAACUAAAAAACAGUAGUAUACAUACAGGCAUUAGCUGUUUUCUUUCUCCAUCAAAUGUAGUCAACACUGUUGACUCUCUUCCAUUAGCUGAAGGCUGAGACUGUAGAUAUGUAUUACGCCUGUUCUCAUCAAACACAAACUGCUUUCUCCCAGUCUUGGAAGUACCUCUCAACAUGGAACCUGAGUUUAUACAAAAGAGAGAUUUGAUUUGAAGUCAAACAUAGAUAUUCAACUAGAAUAUAAAUGAAUGUAUGAAACAACAGAUUUAAAAUUGAUGGGAUGUAAAAAGUGACUCAAACCUGUUAAGUCAUCAUUCCUCUCAAAUUUGUUAUCAGCCAACCAACUAGUAUACACAUCAUUAUUUCGUGAACGAUCAUGAUUGGACAAUAUAGCAUUUUCUGCCCCAGUAGCAAGUGUGGCAUCUGAGAACUCUGAACCAACACGCUCCAAGGAAGGCCUCCCAAGUGGUUUUUUCAAAUUUUUGGUGGGUGGUCUACCCCUUCUUACGACCUUGGGUUCUGGUUCAUUAUCAUCACUAUCUUGCCUCAAAUUUUCAAAGUUCUUUUUCGCAAGCUCAUGGAUGGAUCGUGCCUGUAAAAAAUCAUCGGAUUUCAGACAACAUAUCAAUAUCCUCAACCUACAUAAAGAAGGAGCUGGAUAUAACAAUACCUGUCGAAAAUAUAUGGUAUCUGGAGCAUUGUACUGCAUUGCAUUCGAGCAGAUUAAGUAAAUGUCAUCCUGCAAGAUCAUUAAAUCAAAUUCAAAAUCUGACCAAUAAGUGCGUAUGCAUAAGCAAGAAAUGACCAAAUCUUCACAAGAUUCAACAAUAAAGUCCUAACUAUAACUAAUAACAGAGCCAAAAGAUUGACCAACACUUAAAAACAAAAACUGUAUAUAGUAAGUGUCGUCACACCAAAUAUAUGAAUAGAAUGAUGAACAGAGUACUGCAAUUUUAAAAUUCAAAGGACACAGCAAUGCAUUGUCUGCCAAUGCAAGUAGUGAGCAACGUUAAGGUCACAUAAAGGGUUUAUACCACAAAUACAAACACCCAACUCAAUGCAGAACACAAUUCAUUAUAUUAAACCAAACAAGCAAAUGUUCCAAACAAAUUAUAUGGCAUAUAACCAAUUUAAGGUAGUCCAUCAAAUAGGCAGGCCAAGGUCAAGGUUUAGGCAUUGAGGAAACAAGACACACUCAAUUUCAUGCAGCAUUGUUCUAUAACCCACUGAAUUUUUUUUUUUUUGGGGGUGGUUGGGGGGUGUUUGGACAAGGAACCGUUCUUUUAAGAUCAGCUAGAAAAACCAAAAUCACUCCAGAGGGCAUUACCUUAUUUGUAGUUAAAAUCAUGUAAACAACCAAAGCCUUGUCCUUGAGGCUUUGGAAUAUAAUUCUCAUUUUAUCCCCAAUAUGUUCAGAACUGAAAAAAUACAAUGAGCACUAAACUAUAUAUGUUAAGAUGUUCCCAAUGAGCUCUAAAAAUACAAGUCAGCUAACCUCUAGAACUGAAUUGUUCCCAAUAAGACAAACAGUAUUGGAAGUAAACCUUUGGCAAGAAGCACUUAAAGUGCUUAAUCUUGCUCACUUGGCAAUAGUAACGUCAGUGUUUUCAAACCUGAUUAUUAACUGAUUGUACACGGACAGCUCAAAUGAAAGCGCUCAGUGCAACCCCAAUAGAAAUGGAAACUUGAGGGAAAAAUAAUGUAAUGGCCUAGUCCGCAUUAUUACAAAUGACUACAUAAGUGCCGGAUAAUUUAACAAGAGGUUUGGCAGAAUUUCAAAUUAAUUGUAAAACUAAUUCUAAAUCAGAGCGUUUCUUCCAUAACUUCACAACCCGUUCAGCCAGUUUAGUGGAAACAAAGAUGAAAGGAAGAUUCAAACAAAUACAUAUGACGCAACAAGGAUUUAAAGGAGCUCAAAUCUGUAAAAAGCUGACCUCAAACUGCUCCAAGCUGGCAUACACUCCACUUGUAAGCUUCUUCUUAACCGUCCCAAAAUCCAUAGGAUUGUCUAUUACUUCAUGGUAGUCUGGAAGCUGCGUUUUGAAUAAAGAGAAAAGUUAUACAAUAGGAGAAACAUAAAAAAAAAAAUCCAGGAAAUGAAUGCUUUCUUUCCUUUUGAUCAAACUUAGAUUAAGUAGAGCUGUAUUCACACUUUUGACUUAUGAGUAAAAGAUGUUCUUAAUGAAGAUGCAUCACCUACAAACUAACCUCUUCGGGGUCCACAGGCUCAGAAAACACCCCAUAGGUGUCCUUCCUGAAAUAAUGUUUUUUAAGAAGAAAAAUUAAAUCAUCAAACUGAAUGCACAACACCAUAAUAAGGCACAGCGAAACAAAAUCCCAGCACCCGGGAAACAUACUUUUGAAGCCUCUCAAGAACGAACAGUAGCAGCUGUGUAUCGGGUAAAGGAGUAGAGGGUCCAGAAUCCAAUUUGGCCACACCUGCACAAAAAUGCACACCCAAUGAUGUAACUUCCAAUCCAAACCCGUAAUCAAACACCUCAAAAUUACAACAAUGUGGUUAUCAGCAAACCUUGGACAGUGCUUGAGGAGGGAUUUGAAACAGGAACCGACUUCUCACCCUGCAAAAAGUGAAUUAACUUCAGUAACUAAAUAAAAACAGAAACAGAUGUAGAGCAUAUGUUUCUAUUCUGGGUGAAUAACCACUGGCAAACCCAGCUCUGAAAAGGCAAAGUAGCCCAGCAUUCAAAGUACCAAAAGGGGAAAAUACAGUUGCAAAUUCCUGUUAUAUAAUUAAUUAAAAAGAAAAAAGAAGAAAGAGGACAAAUUUAUACUUUUCAUCAGACAAGACAGGCGAAUCAUUAUUAGGCUCAGUAAAUAUAAACACAAAAUUAAGCUGAAUGCUAACAAAUCGAAAAUUAAAGGUAAAUUAAUAAUUAGUAAGUAAGUAACUACUAGAGACUAAAUAAUCUAAGUACGGUUAAAGUUUUUGUACAAGACCGGACUAAUGUACUAUUAGUACAACUAAGACCAAAAAAAAAAAAAAAAGUGUUGUUGAAAUGUGCGGUGCGAAAUUCAAGGAGUUUUGAAUUUUCAUGUCAACGUAUAUAUUUCCGGAAGGGCCCAAAAAUAAGAGCAGCUAUAUUUUGCCGCGAAAAUGUAAAAAAGCCCCAAAUCAAAAUCCAAUUGAAUUUUCCCGAAUCCCGAAAAAUCAAAUACCUUUGUGGGGUGAGCCAGCCCAGAUCCAUCUCCAAUUGCAUUGAUCUUGCGCUUUUUCACGCUCUCGUCGCCGUCGUCAUUCUCAGACCCGCCGGAAUUCGCGGAGGAUUUUGGCAAUUUGACGACAAGCUUGAGUUUCUUCUCGCGGCCGUCGUUUCCGUCCGAAUCGUCCGGGUCCUCGUCGUCGGGGUUGGGGUUGCGGCGGGUGGAUCGACGGAGGUGGUUGGUGGAGGGAGGGGCAGGGGUGGAAUUAGGGUUGGAGCGAGGGGCAGAGUUGGAAUUGUUGCGGUGGUGGAAUUGUUGGAGUAGGUGCUGCUGCUCCUUGAGGUUGCGUUUUUGGAGAUCCAAAAGAGAAGGGCGCCCUUUCUUCUUCUUCUUCGUCGUCUCCACUAUCCCACCCUUCUUACCCAUUUUCUUUUUUGGGUGCCCAACCCUCUCUCUCCUCUUUGUUUCUCCUCUAGCCAGACACACACACAAACAGGGUCUUAUUUUUUAUUAUUAUUUGUUUUUUUUCAAAAUUAAUAUUUAGAAAUUUAAUCCUUUUUUUUUGUUACCUAUGAGUGUUAGGGGCAUGCGCGGCACGUGACAAUCGCACGGGUUGCUAGAGGGACACGUGACGGGAAGAUGCUAAAAUUAGGUCUUGUCGAUCGGAAGCGGUUUCUGGAUUGAACUUCAGUUUUUUUUGUCUUCGUCUACAUGCCGGCGACAAACCCGUACGACGUUUCUCAUCGUUUUACUUAUUUUUGGUUUUAAGUCUGAAGAGAUCCUCUUCUUUUUAAUUAUCCAACUCUACAUUCAAAAAAUAUAUAUAUUUAUUAUCCAACUCUAAGACGAGUGUGUUGUUCAUUAAUCAAUAAUUGAUACCAGAGUUAUGAAAAUCAUAAUCAGUCACUUUGAUUAUUGUUUCUGUACAAUCUCUGAUAGGGCUGCAGAAACUGAUGGCGAGUCCGUUGGGUGGUAAACUAUCCUCUCGUUGACCUGUAAGCACAAGGAUGACCGGGGGCUUCCUGUCUUUCCUCUUUCGAUGAUUAAGUCAGUAUCUGCUGGUAUAAUGUAAUUACUAGGGUAGUUAAUGAUACCUAACAAACUGGUGGCUAGGCCAUAUUUAUGGCCCAGAGUGGGUUCUUUUUACUUGAAAACCGAUGUGGGACAACUGCCUUUGCUGUUACUUCAAACACCCAGCUCCCUUUAUGCCUUCUGAAACCGUUCCCGGCCCAAUACUGCCACCGAGGUCGGGCCCGGCCCAUCUUACACAUGGGUGGGAACCCUAGGGCGAUCUCGGUUGUCUUGACCAUGGUGGGAUGUUUACUGGUUUACCGGCUUGGGAGGUUGUUUUAAACACAACCAACUACAAUUAUAAAUUUAAAAUAAAAAAUAACACAUCAUCAGUUUCAACGAAAAAUCUUAUGUACAAUGUGAGUAAGCACAUGAUAAAGCACACAAUGUGUUAGUGUCAUGUAACCUCAACCAUUCAUCUGUUGUUAAUAUCUACACCACAUUGUGCUUUAAAGACUUCACAAUUUAAGAUCCACGUGCAACAUACAAUGCAAUCUAGGUCGUUCAUAUGUGAGACAGUCAUGUAUCAAUAUUAUGUCGCAUUAUCGUAACCAUCCACAUGAUAUCGUGUAUAUGACUGUCGUGUACUGAAGAUUCUCCCUUUGUUUGGUCAGGUACUGAUCAAGGAGUCAACAUAAUUGCUAACAGUUUAGAAUUAAAUGAUACUACUGAUGUGGUACUAUAAAACAUGAAAUUUGUAAUGCAUAUACACAUCAUAAUUGAAUAGAUAACGUAUUUCACUAUAUAGUACUCUAAUUUGCCAGGUACACGGCAAAAUGACUAUUAUCAACUCAUGACUUAGUUAAGUGUAGUGCGGACUUGUUGCCGGAAGAAAUUCAAGCAUCUUAAGGGAGAGAGACUUCUAUCAACAUGAUAUGUUAUGCUUCUUCUUCUUCUUUUUUUAACUUUUUUGAAAUGAGUUCAUUGUGUUGUUUUUGUUUUUUGAAUUUUUUCCAUAACUUAUCAAUAAAUGAUGUACUACUGUACUAGCACUACACAAUAACUGCGUCAUAAAAUAUUUUUUGAGAAUGAAAUAAUUACAUUAAUAACAAAUUAGAUAUUUGCAUCAAUUACAUAUACGUGAGACAACCAUUGUGGCAUAACCUUAGUCCACAUAAAAUGCAAGAAACAAAAGCGUAGUCCUCCAGUAGCGCUGAAAAAUUCUUCUCUAACUAACAUAUGCGCUGCCUGUAAAACCUGUGUCAUAAACCUGCUUGCUCCGAAAGAGUAAAAAUUUAGUGCUGUAAAAUCACAAAAAUGCUUCAAACGACCUUACUCAAAAAAAUAAAAAAUAAAAAUAAAAAAUGCUUGAAACGACAUGACGUAUGAUGUGACAAAAAUCACAAUCCACAUUCACCAACUCCGAUACGGUAGAAAAUCAAAGCCCGCCACCAACCCAAAAUCCGAUACGAGCAGAGCAUCCGGUCACUUCGGGACCCACCCGACUCACCCGGCAAAUAUAUACAUGACGUAAUCACAGACAGAACUCAGAGUCAGUCAGUCAGACGCGAAGUGAGGUCAAGUACUAUUACCUACAGGAAAACAAAUUAAGACCAAAAAUCUCAGAGAUGGGGAUAGCUGCGUUCGUGUGGCAGUCUCUCUCACCCACGCUCCCUUUCCUCUUCCUGUUCAACCAAGACGACUAUCUCCCCAAUCAAUUCCUCCUCGUCUUUUCUUUUCCUUCGAUUUUUAGCAUCGAGGGUUUCAUUUUGGUUGGUUUGAUCUUGUUGUUCUAUUGCAGUGGUGGGAUGACAACAACAGCAUUUUGGGUGGAAGGGAUUUUAUGGAAGGAGGGACAUGGCUGGCUUGUAACAAGGAUGGUAAGGUGGCUUUUCCUAAGAAGCAGGGAAGUGUCAACAUGCCUACGAUUCCCGCUUCCGAAGCGGAAGCGAAGCGGAAUCGCUUUGGAAUCGCUCGGAAUCGCGAUUCCACACGAUUCCAGAAAAAGGAGGUUUGGAAGCGAGUUGGAAUCGUGUGAUUCCAGUUAGGAAGCGCAAAUCCAAUGUCCAGUUAGGAAGCGCCACAGCAAUUUCGCAGAUAGCUCUUGAAAAGAGAGAGAGAACCCAGAUUAGAGAGAGAGAGAGAGAGAGAGAGAGAGAGAGAGAGAGAGAGAGAGAGANNNNNNNNNNNNNNNNNNNNGAGAGAGAGAGAGAAUCCAAAUUAGAGAAAGAGAGAUGUGCCAUGGUUGACAAUGGAAGAGGGAACCCAGAUUAGGAGGGAGGUGAAAUGGGCGAAAAGCCAAAAAGACAGUAAAUUGAAGAAAUAGCGGACGUUUGGAUGAGGAAUGGGUAAUCAAAAAAAAAAAAAAAAGGACGGGAAAAUGGGAGGUGAUUCACUAGGGUAAGGUACAUAGUGGGGUGGACUAAAGAAUGAUCUGAUUGGAUGUUGAGAGACACAUGGGAGAUGAUACUGUGAGAGUGGCUGAAAGAUUAAUGUUUAGUCAACUAAGUAACUUUUUAUAUUUGUCAAUUAAUGUUUAUUAAGAUAUUUACAUUAUUUUAGUAUAAUAUAUUUAUAUAUUAUAUUAUUUCACGUUUCCAAUACGUUUCCGUUUUCAAUUAUUUUCAGAAAAAAACCCUUCCGCGUUUCCAAACACUUCGCUUCCACGCUUCCACUUCCGAUUCCAUGCAAUGUAGGGCGUUUCUCACUAAUGUCAGAGAGUGCAAGAGACUUGACAAACACAAGAACAGAGGACAACUCCCCGUUCGUUUCUUGUUACUAGUUUGAUUCUUUGGCUUGCUAUAUGUAUGUAUGUGGAAAAUCCAAGAUGCAUGAUAUUAUGCAUUGUAUUAUGUGAUUUGUCACAAAUCAUUGGUGUGUCACUGUGUGGAUUAUCAAAAGGGAUGAAGAUUUGUAUAUGAUAUGUUCAGAGAGAUAUGUAUGGCUUUGUAUAAUUAGGGUCCAAUCUUUGCUACUUGUUCUCUGAUCAGCCACCUCCAAGUUCCCAACAUUCUCAAUUUACACAAACAAGUCUUGCUUUCUCACCUGCUUUGGCUUAAUUAGCUGUUGGAUUGUUAAGUACGCAACAAAGUAAAAGUCAGAUGUUGCUAAUGAGAAAGUUAAAUAUGUGGCUAAAUACUGUGUGUCUGUUAAUAUCUGACUACAUGUUUUAAAUUCAUGAUAUUAUCACAUGAAUUAAUCAAUACUUGGUAAAUUCACGUUGAUGACGUGACGUGGUUUAACACACGAAUGAAGAUUUACUGUUGUUGACAGAAAUUCUUUUUCCAUGUUUAUUAAUUUUAUUCUCCUCUGGUUCCAAAUACAUAGAAUGAGAGUGCUUAUAUAGACAUCCAAACCUAAUACAAUCACAAUCUAACCAUAAUUCCUAAGAAUCCAAAUUUAAAAGAAAACAAAUAACCUAAAAUAAUAGAAUUCUAAAACAAAAAUACUACUAGCGUAAAAAUACUAAAGCACUGAUGUCUGUCACUACAAAUGGGGAAGUCACCUUUUAUGAGAGAUAUAAAGCUGGGGAUUGGCAUGAAAAGACCAUGAACUUCCUGAUUAAAAAGAUGGACGAUGAGUAAAUAGUAAGCAUGUGGUUCAGUAAGUCUCAAUUCAUCUGAAUCGAUUCAAGUAUUUUUUCAAGUAGUGCAAACAUGAUUUGUCCAUCCUUUCUCUGAACUUUAGUACCCGUAAAAACAAAGGUGGGUAAAUUUCCUUCAUAAGGUUUUUGGCCACGGUAUACAUGCCGGCGAUGUAGCCGUUCGCAAUGACGGAGCCAGUGAAGGACUAGUGGGGGCACGGGCCCCCAGUGAGAUUUUGACAUCUGCCCACAUAUAUAGAGAUGCCCCCACAGAAAUAUAUAUUUUGCCUCGUUAGUGAACUUUGAGUAGAUAUCCUUACUAGUGCAGCCUUACGGCCUGACUUGAGUUAGCAUCUUUAGCAUAACAAUAGCUACAAAUUGAGUAAAAGUAUGCAUUUUACCUAACACUCGUUGUUGUUUAGGUAAAUCAACAAUAGAACAUCUCUAUAUCUCAUCUUCUUUUCAUUGUUGCCAUAGACGUCGGAGAACAGCUCCUGACCUGAAACUCUAAGAUUUAUUACAGUAAACUUAAUCUUUUCCCCACUCCAAAUCCUAAUUUCAACAACUACAUCCCCAAAUUCUUCUCCAUUGAAGGUGACGACAGCUUGCAGUUACCCAUGAAAUCUUCAACUUUUGUGUUCAUUUAACAAUUGUUUGGUUGAUUUUUUGUGCCCCCGUAAAAAAAAAUUUCUCCCUCCGCCACUGGCCAUUCGACGUUCUCAACGUUUUUACUAUCUCAUGUUUUGGCUUUGAAGUGACUUUCUUUUUUAAUUUAAAAAGUAGCACGUACCACUUGAAUCCAAGCAAAUAAAACCCAACACUUUGCUCAAUAAUGUUAGGGAGGUGCAGUCUGCCUCCUCUACUAUUUUAGUUUAAUUUUGUUUUGGUCACAUUUCAAUCUAGGUGUGGUUGUUACCUUUUACUACUGCUUCUACAUCGAAGUUGAACUGAAAAUAAAGGUGUUUUACACUGCUUUGAAAAAACGAGUGUAUUUUGAUUUUUUGGUCUAGUUCUUUAGCUAGCUAGUCUUUGAGUCAUAAGACUGUAAGAGAUAUCUCUUUUUGUCGGCCUUAAGGGGUGUAUUAUCUUGGUACUGCUUGCUGAAUAUUAAAUUGAUUGACCUCCAUUUAAAAAAAAAAAAAUGUUGGAGUAGAGCAUCAUCUCUUUCGUUACAUACUGAUGAGAGUGAACAUUAUUGCUAAAAGUUAUUCAAAAUGAAUGAUUCUACUAAUUUGGUACACGAUAAAACUCAAACUCAAAAAAAAAACGUAUGUGCACAUCCUCAAGAAAAUAUGACAAAACAAUUUCUAACGAUGGCCGGAGGAUGACGAUGACUUAAUUGUGUAUCUAAAACUAUUCUGCUUUAUUGUACUUCGUAAAUGUAACUUACCAAGCCCAGUACCAUUUGGUCUAGUAGCAUAAAUCUCUCCUUAUAAGUGAGAGGACGUGAGUUCGACUCACAGUUUUAUAUAGUACAUUAAUUAAUUCGUCUAUUUGAUAAAAAAAACAAAAAAUGUAACUUACUAAAUUCUAACUUACUGAUGGGGUAAAAGAACAAGAAGAUGUUCAUUUAGGUAAAAGAAUUUGUUCUGCGGGACCCACCCGGCACGUAGUCAGAGACAAAGAGUUGAGUUGAGGUCAAAAAGACGCACUGAACAAGAAACGGAAUUAAAAUUCUGAGAAAUGUGUAUAGCGGCGUUCGUGUGGCAGUGUCACCCACGCUACCCUUUCCUCCUCCUGCUCAACCGAGACGAAUAUUUCAACCGGUACGUGAUUCAAUUCCUCCUCUUUUUGCUCUUUCCAUUUUGAUUUGAUCAUUGAGGGUUUCAUUUGUUUGGUUUGAUCUUGUUUUAGGGGAACGGCUCCGUUGGCUUGGUGGGAUGACAACAACAGGAUUUUGGGUGGAAGAGAUGCGGUGGAAGGUGGGACAUGGAUGGCUUGUUCCAAGGAUGGUAAAGUGGCGCUUCUCACUAAUGUCAGAGAGCUCAAGAGACUUGAGAAAUGCAAGAGCAGAGGACAUCUCCCAUCUCGUUUCUUAUCGGUAUUGUUUGAUUCCAUCUCCCCCACUACUAGCUACUCUGUGUUUUGUUUAUUUUUACCCGAGUUUGAAUUCGCCCAUGUAUAUAUGUUUGUGGAAAACCCAAGUUGAAUGGCUUUAUGCAUUGGGUUCCUGUGACAUUGUAUUAUGUCGUUGUGUGUGUGGAUUAUGAGGAAGGGUCAAGAUCUUUAUAUGCUAUGUUUUGAAAUGUGAUUUGUUUAGGGUCAAAUUGCUCUACUUGUUCUGAGGUCAGGCACCUCCAAGUUCCCAACUUUCUCAAUUUACACCAACAUGUGUUGCUUUGUUACCUGUUUUGGCUUCAUUAACUGUAAGGUUAUGGUUGACGAGAAAGUAAAGUCCGAAAGGAUUUGAGGUGCUAAUGAAAGUUAAACAUGUAGCUCAAUACUGUGUUUUUUGGUGUUUCGAACUUGCAUUAUUUUGCCACCGUGUUUUAAAUUCAUGAUAUUAUCAUGAGGUUUAAUCACUACAUGCAAAUGGAUGUUGAUGACUUUACGUGGUUUGCCGCUGUAAUGAAGAUCUAUUGUUGUUGACGCAAUACAUUGUAAAUAAGGAAAAUCAUUUUCCCUUUUAAUAUUCUUCUGGUUUUCUUUAACCAAUUCAACAGUCAUUACAACUUAUUAGUUUUUACUUGGUGCUAUUGUCUUGUUUUUAGACAUUGUUCUUAUAACCAAUCCACACUUUCACAUUAGCUUUCUCUUAGACUAAUCUUCUUAUUAAAGAUACAUGACAGAGAUCUUGGAUGGUGAUCACAAGUUUCUAUUGUUGCAGGGAAAAAAGAGUCCGAUGGAGUUCGCAGAGGAAGUUGUUGAGGAGGCAGAUCAGUACAACGGUUUUAAUCUGAUAUUGGCUGAUCUUCGUUCUAAGACCAUGCUUUAUGUAACCAACAGACCAAAGGAAGAAAAAAAGUUUGUCACUGAGGUUUCACCGGGGAUUCAUGUAUUGACAAAUGAUGCAAUGCUUGAUUCUCCUUGGCCUAAGGUAAUAACUAAAUGGCAUGUCGUUUUGGCUUGUCAGUUGGUACGACGUCAUGUUUAGCACAAAUUAAUCACAUAAUGAACUAGUUUUUUGCUGCAUUGGUUGUUGGGUGACAUUUACAUUAUAAUUAGCAUCCUUAUAUCUUUCAAUCUGCUUCUUCUAUUUCAGUCUCAACGACUUGGCAAUAGUUUCAAAGAGGUGCUAAACAAGUACGGAGAUGAUGAAGUUUCGUUAAAGGAAAUGGCUGUACAACUAAUGACAGACACGACUAGAGAUGACAGAAGCCUGCUACCUUGCAUUUAUUCUCCAGAAGUAGAAUAUGAACUAAGUUCCAUAUUUAUUGCUUAUGCCCGUGAAUUGGUAAAGCCAAUUAAUUAUCUUCCUAUAAAGUUUUGUCCCUGCUUAAUUGAUUUUCUUAAGGUUUUCUUUUGAAUUUCACAUAGGGUUGUUAUGGUACUAGAAGCACUGAUGCUGUGUCUGUCAAUACAACUGGGGAAGUCACCUUUUAUGAGAGAUACAUAGCUGGGGAUUGGUAUGAAAGGACCGAGACCUUCCUGAUGAAUGAGACGGAAAAUGAGUGAAUGGUAAGUUAUAAGCAUAUGGUUCAGUAAAUCUCAAUUCAUAUAGAAGAAGCCAGGAAUAAUCUUAAGCCAACCUUAUCUGGGAGUUUUAGGGACAUAUGCCUUAAUAAACUACCAUAGUUCAGAAACUUAAAUGUCUUUCUUUGUUCCUUUUAUGGUAGUGUAUAUAUCCAUGCUUGAAUAGACUGGAUUGUUACAGACCAAAAAAAAGAAAGAAGAAGAUUAGACUGGAUUGUUGGUUCAACAAAGAUAGGAGUAUAAACAGACUUGUUUUGUAUAAUAAUUUGCAUAGAGUGGAAAUUUUAGUUUUUUGAAAGUUUUGAAACCAAUGAUCUUCCAGGGGAACUAUACAUAGUAGUAACUUUACUGAUAUCACUGUUAGUCACUUAAGCUAGCUUUUUCAUUCAAGAUUUGAAACUUUGGAAUUCUGGUAACAACCAGCCAAGCACCUUUGUGGAUUGAUGGUUGAUUUAGAUAUCGAAGCCAAUAUGACAGAACUUCCAACAUAUCCUCAUAGUUAGUUAGUUAGUUAGUUAGCACAGAACAUCAAACUAUCAAAGACAUAAAUUCAUAGUGAUAGGGACACUGGAGGGUCUUUAAUUUCUAAAACACAGACCAGGUGAAGUCUAUUAACAACUUUAUUACAUGAUAAUUCACAUCCCAGCAGUGAAGAUGCUGUUGAGCUUCUUUAAGCAGCGCAUGAGACACAGUUGCAAGCGUCGCCGCACUUGCAGUAGGCCUUGCCAACCCCAGUGGUGACGACUUUGCUAGCACAACUGCACGGGUUGCAGCCACAAUGCGCCCCACAUGAGCAUUUCUUGUGGUCCGCCGCAGUCGUAGAGUCAGACCUGGUUGCGCACCUGUCAUCCAAAUUCAGAUAUCAUUACCUACCACCAGAAAAAUCGUUACCUACCACCAGAAAAAUUGAGAACCUAACUGUGUAACAUUUACAUCGAUUCAAAUAUUUUCCAAGUAGUGCAAACGUGAUUAGUCCCAUCCUUUCUAGGAACUACCUUUAACAACAAACUUGCAAAAGAUGGUGGGUAAAUUUCCUUCAUAAAUGCAUCUAGGUGAAGGACGUUCUUGAUGCAUUGAUACAGCACAUUGGAAUCGAACUAGCCUACUUGAUGUAUCGAUUCUUGACUAUGUUAACUCACAUUCCAGCCGUCGUAUAUUUUUAAAGUUCCAAAGAGUCCGUUUUUGCUAACUUGUCUACAAUUUUUCUCUCGUUUACAGCAAAGUUAAUAAGCCAAAAUGCACUCAGAUUUAAAGGGAGGAUAUAAUAGCUGCAAGUUAUAAACAAGAGUAGAAUACAUUGAAACAAUUGUUUGAAGUCUGAGGUGUUACCUGCAAGACAGGCCGCCAGGACAUGGAGUAGGGCAGCCGCAGGUAUCGUUGCAGGUGGUGAGUCUUGCACCUCCCAGUGUAGCCAUUUCUUUUUCUUCUUCUUGGUUUCUUUGAUUGUGAGAGCUUCCGAAGCACUGUUCAUUUUCAUUUAUAGUACUAGUACUGGUCUGAUGGCAAUGCAUUUGUGAUGCCAAUUGGCACAAGCGGUCUUAAUACAGACAUCAAGUGUGAUAUUGUAGUGAAUGAAGUUUUCAAGUGCAGUCGAGGUGGCGAAUUUUUUUCAUGCAUUUUUUGUUGCUGCUCCACGUAGCUAGACAUUUAGUUCUGGAUUUUGGGUGCUUCUUGAUCGGAAGGUUCCAUGUGAUGUAUGACAUAACAAUUUUUUGUUGUCAUUUGUGGUAUGUGAGUUCUGUCUUGUGCAAUCUUAGUCUCGUCCCUCCUGAUCGAAAUCAAGGCUUUUUACUUGUAUGGGCAAAAUUCACCUCUUCAAGUCUUCAAAAUAGAAUUCAUCAAGCUAUUCUAUUCAACACAGUUACACAGAUCAUUAUCGAUACAUAAUUAGUUUGUCAUCCAGCAAGUGAGCAAGUCAUUCUUGACGGUCUGAUCCUAAAUCAAGCAUGCAGGAACUGACCGUUCUGUAACCGUAGUUGCUACAUCAAAACGAUCACUGGCUACUACAUUUCCACACAUUAUGGGGAAACUCGAGCCUGCUCUGUGCAUAUUCAGUGCAACACAGCCUCUGAUGAAGAGCAAUGCAAAGAGUACUUGUUAUUCGAGUACAUUAAAACGAAGCUGCAUGUGCAGAGACGAUACUAGCACUUCGCACUUUCGCUUAAGUUGCUACAAUAUCUGUGAAGUUGGUAGAGAUAUGAAUCGAUGCAUGCAUCGCAAUGGCAGAUGAAGUUUGAGCAGAUUCUUCAAGGAAUAUAUAGCAGCUCAUUUCAGAAAAGGUGUAGAAUGGCGAUAUCUGCUUUUCAUAGCUUCUGAUGAAGCAGAACAGUGAUGCAUGCGACUCGACUGGUGAUGCAUGUCACUGGUAAGGCAGUGCAUACAGCGAAGCUGAUCGAUAAAGGCCUUUUAAGGGGAUUCAAGGCGCACAGUUGCGAGAGGCCGGUGGCUCAGUCUUUUUGAUUUGGUAGCCAUGGUUUUGUGGUUAUGAAAGACUAGUGAAAUAUCCGGAAGUUCAGUGUAGAUAUCGCUGCUGUUGUGAUCAAAUAUUCAAAUUUGUUUCAAAUGACAUCCUACGCUACGUAGUACGUAGACAAAAUGUGUCCCAAGAAAGUUCUAAAUCUGGAGCACUCUAAUAUUUAUGACAUCAUAUAUGUACAUACAAAAUUUACAGUAAGCUCGAUUAUGGCUAGAUAUCGAUCACAGUAUCAUAUAUGAAAGUAACAACAGAAACACCCGAGACUGGAUCUUUUAUUUCUAAAACAAAGACCAGCAAGUCAAGUCUAUAUAUAUAUGAACUACAUUUGACCCGGAAAGGAAAAUUGUCUAGCUAUAAUAACAACUUUACAUANNNNNNNNNNNNNNNNNNNNAGUAGAGAUAUAUAUAUAUAUAUAUAUAUAUAUAUAUAUAUAUAUAUAUACACAACCUAGCUUUGCCGAGAUAGCCAUGAUUAGGCGGAGCAUGUGACACAGGUACAACCAGUGCCGCACUUGCAGUAAGCCUUGCCUACCCCGGUGGAGACGACGCUCUUAGCACAAGUGCACGGGUUGCAGCCGCAGUGGUCGCCGCACGAGCACUUCAGGUGGCCAUCCCCACUUGUGGCCUCGGUCUUGGAUGUGCACCUGUCAUAUAUACAAGUACAGAUUGUGUAAUAUUUCCACAACUAGUGACAUAUAUGUCAUAUACAAGUACAGAUUUUGUAAUAUUUCCACAACUAGUAACAUAUAUAUAAGAGAUCUAGAGAGAAUUUUGAAGAAAGAGGUGGAUAUAUCUUCCUUCAUAAACAGAUUCUCCAUCAACGGCUCAGACAAACCGAACAAGCCAGUGGUUGUUUGCUAACUGGAGAAUGCUAACUAAUUUCUCUAGGAUUCUUAACUCGAAACUAUAGAGCUAUGCUCGAAAGAGAAGGGCCAAAUCCUAAACACUAAACAAUAGGGUUUCAAUAAACGUGCUGCAAUAAUAAACUGAUCCGUCCGGUCCAUCGAUCCAACUCUUGAAAAUUAGCUCAUACGAACUAAAACAGAUUCAGCCAUUCAGGGUUACUUCCCUUUCGAGGUCUUCAUAUGUCAAAACUAAACUCGAAGCAUGCACAGUGACGACGUUUGAAAUACCUGCAGGACACGCCGCCGGGGCACGGAACAGUGCAGCCACAGGUAUCGUUGCAGGACAUCUUCACAUCUCCAACUGUUUCUGCCAUUUCGAUCUGCUUCUUCUCAGUGUUCUCGACGCAAAGAGCUAGCUACUACUGUUCGUUUCCUUAGAGUACGAACGAUCGAGUACGACUUCAAAAAAGCCAUAUAUAUGCAUGUGUGAUGCCAAAUGGCACAAGUAGUCUUUAGGGUUCUUGUGGAGGUGGCAAAAUCUUUGCAUGCAGUUCUUGUAGCUUCACCACGUAGCUAGCCAAAGUCGAUCUCGAUCUCUGUAUAUUUUCAGAUAAACUUUCACAAACAUCUGAUCUCGAUCAUUUGUCGUAUCAGAAGAAAACACAUUAUCCGAGUUUGAUAACUGACGUACUGAUGUAGAAAGAUUAUGUUCAGUUCUCUGACAUACGCUGUGGAUAACAAUUGAAGGGUCUAAGAAGCUAGAAGAAUGUUGUUGAUAGUUACAACACUGUUUUGGAUCGAGCUGCUUGAUCACAAGUCGAAAAAUGCCAAUUUGAUCUAUACUGUAAUAUUUUGGGUUCAAGUAUAAUUGUUAAUCUCGUUAUAUACAGAUAGCAGGAGGUUGGACGUUGGAUUAUUUUUUAGAUAGCAGCUUAUGCUAGCGUAUAAGUUAUAAGAUAAAAUUAAACAAUUUAUUUAUUUUUUUGUUAAUUUGUCUGGUUUUUUAUUAGUACAUACAUAGAUUUGAUCUAGGAAAGAAGACAUGGAUCCUCUGCGCUGUUUAAGGAUGUUUUCUUGUGAAUUCAUCAAUUCAUGCCAGCAAAUAAAAGGGUCCACUGUAUUUUAGCUCAAGAUUGAAGUAAUAUCGAUCUCUACAUUUUGGCCACUGAAGAAAUAUCUUGAUAUUUUCAAUUAGAUCAGCCUCUAAUGAAAAAAGAGAACGAAAAGAAUAAUGGACAAAAUAGAUCGUAUGAUUGCAUUUGAUCUAUAUAUAAUUGAGGACGUUAUAUCAUCAUCAAGCACAAGCGCACAAGCUAAAGGUCACAAAUUUGAUAGCCAACUUCCAACGAGAAAAUAUGAAGCAACUAAAGUUGGAUAUAAACUGGUCGGUGAGCCGUGACUUAAUUGAUUAAGGUGUUUAACUGACAACUUUAAGGUCAUGAGUUUAAACCUUACGAACAUAUGUAGAGUGUGUAAGUUAUUAAUAAUUAUCUUAUUUUUUAAAAAAAGUUGGAUUUAAACUAUUUUGAUUAGAAAGUUGAUUUCCUCAUGAAAUGAGACAGGGAACAACUUUAGUCGACAUAUCGAUAUAAAUACAAAUACAAGAAAUGAGCAGCUUGAUCGAGUAGUUGAUCUUCAAUUAAAAACAAUCAAAGGAUUUUAGAAUCUUCUUCGGAACCUUGUUCGUCUAAUUUGAACUUAGUGGUAUCCAUGUAAUUAAGGAAGUUACCUGAUGAUGGAAUUGAAGUCCUGCUCGUAUAGUCCAUAAAUUGCUUCUACUAUCAAAAUUACAAAAUAUAUAUAUCGGUUUUUCCAAUAUUCUUAGUUGAAGCUAAACUAAGGUUAAAACGAAUGUUGAUCAAACACUGAAAGAUGAAAUAUUAAUCGAUCUAUCAACUUAACAAUUACAAAUUUACAACCAUCUAAACUUGAGUAGAAAUGAUCAAUUUUCUGCAAAACAUCAAAAUGAGUCAUUUUCAAGAUAGUUGGAAAGGAAGUGUUCAUUACCUAUUGAAGAGGUAAGGAUUUAGAUUGCUUUUAGGUGUAGGAAUCUAGCUAAGACGCCCAUUGAAAGGAAGUGAGCAUUUCCAAUUUAAAACGUGGUAAGAGUGUGUGGAUUCGAUUGAUGAUAUACACAAAUGGACAAACUAUAAUGUUUUGAUAGAGAUAUAAUACAAGCUCAAAAUGUUUUGUGUGGGUUAGUUAGGGUUUAGCUUAUCUCAGCAAUUUGGCACCCCUUUUCAGUCUUCUCUAAUUUUUGGUACUUAUAUAUAACUCAUCCUGCAAGGAAGAUAGAUUGGAGAUUUGGAGACAUACAAAAUCGUAUUACUCUUCCCAUUCGAUUAUGAUUAAUCAAUGUGAUUAGACCACAUGCAAUUGGUUAUAUGACUAGACUGCACUUGGUUGUAUGAUUAAUCAUCUUCUCUUUUUUGUAACGAAUGUACGAUAACCACAAAAACUACAAAAGAGACAUCUCAUUUUUAGACGAUAAAUAAUUUAAGAUGUUAUAAAUGAUUUGCGUCUGCUUAAUUUAUGUUUUCGGCUAAAAUAAAAUAACUAAUAAUUUAAAUCAAACAAAACCAUGAGAAGUUACUAAAAUUCAUCUUAUGAUAACUACACAGACUAGAAUUAUAACUCAAGAAGUUACUAUUUUUCUUGAAAUAACUGCAAGUCUAUAAAAACAUGAGAAGUUGUAACUUUGUUAAAGCACUGAAAUGGUCAGGAAAAUCCUCCUAGAACCCGGAAUCUUCUGCACUUUGCUGAACAUUCAGAGAAGAACAAGGGACUACUGUCAAAUAGAUGGAGCAAAACAAAACAAAGCAGUUGGAUUCUGUUCCUCUGACAAGUGAAAAAAGCUUUCCAAAUUAAAUUUUAAAUCUACAACCGACUCAUCCUAAACAAAGUUUUUGUAAAUAUGAAAAGGAAAUAAGACACUUGCUACUUGUGAGUUGUGACCGGCAUUUGGUGCAUAGACUUUGAUAUGCGGACCUUUUUGGACUGACCCAAGUAAAUUUGCCAUUUUUGUACCCUUGUUUAUUUUCUUGGUGCCCCCUAAAACUUUGCAAAUUUCAAACCCCAAAGGCCCCCCAACAACGAGUGUUUUUGAGAAGAAGAAUCAUGUUGUAGCUUUAGUGGUCCACAAUGGUAGUAGCCGUGCCAUUAAAUGUUGGGUAUGAGUCAUGAGGUGCCCUCUUGCGCCCAAGUCCCUCUCUUGGGUACAUUGCUUCGAGUUCCUUUUUGUUCUUGACUUCUUGUGAUUAUAAUUCGGUGAGUUUGGUGUUUAUAUUGGUUUCUGUAUGUUUCGAGAGAGUCACUCAGAGGGAAACCUUCUAACGAAGAUCUAUGUAAUGAGGACUAGUUAAUGACUUUUCAGUUUAUGGUUUUAAAAAUCUAUUUUUUGAUCACAUUUUAUGGUUUAAAAAGUCUAUUUUUCGAUCACAUUUUGACAUUUCAUCUGUUUAGUUUUUAGGUCUAUAUGAGUAUAUCAUUUAUACAAAUUUUUAACAAAAUUGAUGAUCAUUAAGGUAACGAACUAUAUUAAAUUAAUGAACGAACUAAAUCUGUUAAACAUGAACCGUUCAAGUUCAUAAUUGGUAAAUCACACUUAUGAAUACCUUAACCAUUUCUACUAUGACUGAAAAUUUACAUAAAUGAUCUACUCAUAAAUAUUUAUAAACUGAACGAUCAAGAUGUAAAUAUAAGAUCGAAAAGUCUUCAACUAGUCUUUAUUAUAGAGGUCCUCAUUAGAAUGACUCCCGUAACUCAGAAUCAUAGCCGGAUUCGUUACCUGCCAAAUAAGAACAAGCGUCGAAGGAAAGAUGAGGUUUUGUCAUUCGACAUUCUAAUGCCUAAGUCAAAUACGUGUGAGAAUGCAUACUAGGUAGCAAUAAGUGGAGGGAUAGUGGCUUACCGUGGAGAUGCAUAUGUAUUUAUAGAGCUAGGGUUGGUUUUGUCUUCUUUUAACACCCAAGUGUGACCCAUUAAGUAAGAGAAUGCAAAGCUAAUAUGUGUGUUCUUGUUGGGUUAGAAACUUAAAAACAAGCUACAUUUAGUAGACGUUUGGUAUGUACUUUUGGUAUUUGAGUCCAUAUACAUAGGAUAUAAACAAUGUAUUUCUUUGGCUUCGUUGUUUAUUUUUUUAAAAACUGAGCAUGAGAAGUUCUGAACAUAACAUUUUGUGCGGAUUCAUAACUCUUUUUUCAUAUAAUAGAACCAAUUUCAAUGUAAUUUUAACAUGAAAUUCUCACUUGUCUAAAAAAUGUUCAAAAGAGAAGUACCAAAAUUUAGUAACCCUUAAUAAAUUGAUGACCACUUUCAAAAUAAAUUUAACAAGAAGUGCAAUAAAGAAUGUGGUCAGAACAACCUCAACACCCACAUGACCAUCAUACAUGCUUCUAAAAGGGGGUGAGUGGAGUGCUUGCUAUUUGAGGCAAUCUUUCCUUCCAUUAGUUUUAAUCUUGCUCCUCUAUACUAGCAUCAUUCAAGAUUGUAUCCACCAGAUGACAAAGUUGCUUAUAUCAUCGCAAUUUUUUAUACUUCAUGUUCACCAAAUACCUUUAUUUAUUUUUCUUUUUCCGAAAGGACCAAAUAUUAUCAUGUCCAAUUUUGCAUGCUCAAUUACUAGGGUUAUAGAAUACACCAAAUUACUUGAGAGAUAUUUAUGUAUUUUUUUAUUAUAAUGAUAAAAGAAUACUGAUAUCAAUUAUAUGUGAUUAUGAAUCACAUUCUCACGAAAAAUUUAGACAAAUGUUUAAAUUUUUUACAGCAUGCAAAUCAACAUUCGAUAAAUUAUCUGAUCCUUAAUAAUUUUAAUCACAGUAUACAGAUAAAUCCAAAUACCUUUAUUAUAUCCCAAUUUACAAAUUGACAUGUUACUGAUAGAUUAGUAGGGGUUAUUACUUUCUUGGGGUAAUGAUGCUGAGCCAUAUAAAUCAAAGUCCACCACAUUACAAAGAGACAUGCUCAAAUCCCACUAUAUAUGGAGUUGGUGAAUCCAAAAUCCAGCAGUGUUUUUGACAGGAUGAUGACUGAUGAUGACCCUGAAAAAUUGACAUUUAGGUUCUGCUUGCCACUAGUUUUAUCAAAAAUUUACUAAGAUGCUCAAUUUACUAGCUGUGAUCAUCAAAAUCUCAGAAACUCCCAAACCCAUUGCUACUGUUUAUUCACAUUAAAGAAAACUAGGUCGUUGGUUAAAGUCUUGCUCUCUUUGUGUGUUGAUCAUGACAUUUUACAACAAAAUUACAAAUUAGGGUUUCUUUUUUCAAUAAUCAUUGAAAUCAAAUCAAAUAAAAAAGGUGUAGAAUGUCCAAAUAGUGAAAUACUGAUAAAGAUUGAGUUAGUUGCAGCAAAUUAUUCAGCUCAAACUCAUCUUUGCAUCUUAAUAAUAUGAUUCAAAACUGGAUUUCGAAUUUUCAUCUUCGCAACGUACUGAUGAUUCGUAUAUGUUUCACUCCGCGAACCAAACGAGGCUAAUUUUCCUUUCGAAGAUGUUCCACUCCACGAUCCAAACGAGGUUAAUUUUUGUUUGAACUGCCAAAAUAACAUAUGAAUAUAUCAUGUACUGUAAAAUUUCAUAUCUAAUAUUACACUAUCCCUGCCAAAAACAAAAUUACAACAAGCUCAAGCAGAGCUUACUUUAUCCUUCUCCUCCACCACCAGCGCCACCACCCAAAACCCAUAUUCCCUUAAUCUCCAACUAUGUAUCUAUAAAUCUAGAAACCAAAAAAUAGAAUGAUUUGAAUCUAAUCCAAAGCAUUAGGCCCAGCACAGGCCUUGAGCUCAGGGCUCCAAAUCCACUGCAGCAAGAACUUCCUCCCUUUCCUCCCAUUCACAUUGAACGUCCUCCCUUCUCUAUCCUUCAUCACCUGCCCAAUGUACCCUCCUCCGCCUCCCGUCCCGUACAGCCCCUCGCACAAGUCCCCGAUCUCCGUCGGCGCCGUCGGGUCCUCCCCGGCGUACCAAGCAUUCACAAGAGGAUUCGACGAAAGCUCGGCCAGCUCGUGCCCGAUGACACUGAUCAUCCCGUCGACGCCAAUAUCUUUAUUCGGCGGCGACAGAGCUCCGGGGCCUCCUCCGCCCAUGUAGGCCGGAAGCGCAAACGGGUAGGCGCAGACCUCCGGGCACUGCUUGGCGGAGUUGCCGAUCCAAGCGUAGGGGAGAGUAUAACCCACCAUGGAAGGGAAUGUGAAAUAAUGGAAGCCGCAGACGGCGCGGCAGAAGUCCUGCAUGGUGACGUCGUCGGAGGUGAGGACGAGGUAGAUCCCGUGCUUGUGGUCGGCCGGAAACGGCGCAAAUCUGACGGCGUUACCUAUCACCUGUUGCACGGAGAGGCGCGUGAGGGCCUUGCCUUGGGAGUAUUUAACGUCAGCGUGUUCCCCGGCGACGACAACGGAGCGUGAGACAUUGGCGCCGGUCUGGUCGGUGUAGAGGGAGACAGUGCGCCACCACUCGGCGACGGAGGGGGAGGGGGCAGCGCGGAGGUCGGAGGUGGAGAUGGAGAGGAGGAAGUCCUUGAUGAGGAGCUUCUGGGGGAGGGACCAACGGCCGUACCAGAUGAGGUAGAUGUUGAUGGGGUGGGAGGAGAGGACGGGGCCCAUGUGGUAGCGGAGGUGGACUAGAUCUGAGGAGCCUUCGAACUUCUUGGAGGAGGAGAGGCUGCGUGGGGGGAGCUUGGGGUUGAAGAGGGUGGUGGGUUUGGUGUGGAGGGUCUGAACGGAAGAGGGUGCGGCGGCAAUGGAAGAGAGGAGGAGGAAGAAAGGGGGAGGAGGAGGAGGAGGAGGAGGAGGGAGAGGGAGGACGACAUUGUGGGAGAGGUGAGGUGGGGAUGAGAAGGAGGGAGGUGGGGGUGAGAUAUAAAGGUGGGGAGGGGAGAGUUGGGAGGGAAAUGGGCUGGAGACAGCUAGCGAGGUGGAGAGUGAGUGAGUGAGAGGAGCAAUGGCAAGGUGUGAGCACAGUCUUUAGUCUUUACUUUGAGUCGUUGUCUCCUCCUCCUCCCUUCUUUUUUCUGUUUUGUUAUGGAAAACUGGGGCUCGUUUUGUUUUCAAAUUUUAACACGGAAAUGAUAUGUCCUUGGCAACGUGUACGCUAUUUGAAUAUGAGAUAUUAUUUUGAAGACAUUAUUUGAUGACAUCUGUUUUGGUUAAUGUUGUUUAAUGAUUUUGUUGAACGAAUUACGAAUCUAUAACAUAAUCUAAAUAUCUAGAGUGACAUUCGAAUUAAAACCCAUAGAGCAGCGCAAGCAAGACAUUUUAAAUAACUACACAAUUUCGAAAAUGAAUAUAUAUAUAUAUCGGCAUAAUUUUGACAAUACAAAUUAAGUAACGAAGAAAACAUGCAAGUAUUAACUUUUAUCCUGGUAUGAUCAUAAAACAUCAUAAAUCAACUAUGCAAGCUGAAUGAAAGAGCUUAAAGGUGUAAAAGAAAUCACACCACGGGAAAUGCAUGUAUUUUCAUAAAGUUCCUAUAACAUAUAUACAUGCAAUCUUUAAUCUACAUAUAAAGUCUUUGCAGCAAAAGGAGCGUGUUUAUUGUACUAUUACUAACGAUGUAGAGUUGACAACUAUUAAGUAGAAACAUUGUACAGUGAGUGAACAUACUUUACGCCUUUGUUGACAACAAAAGCAAUCGUCCCACCUUACAAAGAUCUGGUCAAAAUUCGUUAAUACUUAGAAAGAAGAAUUCACAAUCAUACAAAAUCACGAACCAAAACCAUGAAGAAUAUCGUGUAUAUGUAAACAUCUAAGGUUAUACUUCAUCUCGUAUACCCUCAUUCCCUUAUUCUCUGUGUAUUCUUUAACACAAGCCUCUUACUCAUGCAACUCCACGGUGGAUCAGAAAUUAGAAGAUGUUUCACUCUGAACCGCUCCACUUAAAGUGGUAAUCUGCUAAUCCUAUUUUUGCUUUGUAGGUAACUGCUCCAUAAAAAAUGAGAUGAAACUGUCAUUUUUUUUUUUUUCUCGUUAUAAUUCUAAUGCGUUUUAUGAUAAAGCCCAUAAUAACUAUUACUUUUAGUUCCUUAAAAUAUUUCUACUAUCUUGUUUUUUUAGGUAAUUUAAAAAAAAAGAUUUACUGAAAACACUAAAGCCACGCCUGAUUUUCUAAUAGUAAAUAUCUAAACCGGUAAAAAGUUCAUUCUCUUCAUCCCGAAAAAAAUAGUUGGCACAUAAAAAUUCUUUAAGCAAAACGUACUCAUGCCAGUGUCACUUGUUCUUCGGGGGGUUCUUUUUAGCUGCAAUUGAGGGCAGUUAUAGCAGCUUGACAGCUAAAGCUUAGGCAGCUAGGGCACCCCAUCACCAUGACAACGAUCAAAUCUGAAAACGACCGGAGAUGGCUAGCUAGCCAGCUCUCUCUCUCUCCUAAAAGCUUGGGCCAAUUAUUUCUGGCAAAUUUAGGCAACUGUGGACUGUAGUGGAUGCUUGAGCUUAGCUGUUUCUGAUCAAGCACAAUCACAUUCACUUUCAGUUACUAUUUUUUUAUCGGUGGAAAAAAUUGAAACCUGACUUUGAGUUAAUUUCACCGAAUGGUUUUAUUAAAAAUAUCUAAGAGCAUCUCUAACGAACCUGUCAAAUGACAGGAUUGAGGCUCAACAGCUAGUUUUGAUAACUUUUGAUUCCUCCAUUGAAGAUGCCAAAUACGACGUGGCUGUGUCAAUUCCGACCUGGAUUUGACCUUGAGCACAACAUUGUCAAAUUUGACCGUAUGAACCAAGCAUGUCAAAUCUUAUUCUAUUGUUCCUAUUCCUUCUCUCUUCCUUCUCUGCUGAGAAGCUCUCUUCAUCAAAAAGAUCCAAAUUUCAGAACACAAUUUCUCACCACCACCUUCAAAAAGAUCCAAAUUUUAGAAUACAGCUUCUCAUUGGGUCUGUAAAUAAAAUUAGAAGGGAUUUAGAAGAACUGAAUCUUGAAAUUAGGGCUUCGAUUGUGUGAGGAUUUUUCUGGAGUGGGUGGGUUUCUGUAGGCUUUAGGUAAGAAUUAAGAAGAAGAAAAACGAGUAAGGAAAAAAAGGUGGCUUGAACAAACUAAGUUAUAAAAGAUUUGAUCUGUGUUCAAAGUCUCUUUGAUUAGAAAGAGAAGAGUUGGAGAAGAAAGAAAAANNNNNNNNNNNNNNNNNNNNAUAUAUAUAUAUAUAUGAUGAGAAGCGGACGUCCGCACUCGGCUUAAAGUGCGGACGGAGUGCGGACCUCCGUCCGUUCUCCACCCUCCGGCGCCGGUGACGGCGCGCCUCCAUCCCAGAACACUCCAACAGAGUCCCCGAUCACUUUCCCUCCCUGGCGAGUCCAUUCUUUUCCAGUUUUCGGUGAGAUUGAUCUUGUUUGAGUUUUAGGUGAUCUCGCCGGAAAACUGAAAAAGCACGGACUUGCCGGGGAGGGAAAGUGGUCGGGAACGCUGUUAGAGUGUUCUGGGGUGGAGGCGCGCCGUCGUCGGCACCGGAGGGUGGAGAACGGACGGAGGUCCACACUUUAAACCGAGUGCGGAUGUCUGCUUUACAUCCGGCCUGUAUAUAUAUACGUACACCGACCUUCAAUUAUAAGUACUUCCCUUUGGUUCCUUUCUAUUAUUUUGGUGGUCUUAUAAAUUUUAACCUAGUGUUCCAAAUGUUGGCUAGAGUGGGUAUUGCCUAGGGCGGGCUGAUACAUGGCUAACAGUUGAUGGAAGGUGUCAUCGAUCACUUUCUGCAUGACUGGUGGCUACAGAUCGACCCAACUUACUCGAGAUAUGCAUGUUCGGGAAUGAAUUGAUGAGUUUCUCUCUGCAUUAAUACUCAAACAGAUGCAGCCAUGCUGCCCAUGCACGUGUGAUAUGUCACCACCACUAAUAAAAUGGACAGCCUGAUCGAUGCCUAGGUUUUCAAUCCAGCUAGUACAUAUAUAUGGACAGCAAACAAGAAUUUGGUUUGGUUUAUCUACGGUUAGAUUAAGGUUGCUGUUUGGAUGACUCGUGAUUAUUAGAUUGAGUACAAUUUAAGACUACCAUGUCAUCCUUAUAUUAUUCUUACUUCAUUUAAUGGUUAUAAGACAUCCAAGUAAAUCCAAACAAUUUAAAUCCAAAUAGAGAAUCUAUAACCAACAAACAAACACUUUAGAAGUUCAUAUUUUCAAUCAAGAUUGAGUAUGGUAUGAAACGUAUAUAUCUAAAGUUGAUGAAAUUCAUCUAUUUCAAACGUAUAUUGUAAAUUUAAAAUUAAAAUACUAAAUUACUAUCAGAAUCGGUAUUAUGGUAUGUAACAUGACCAAAGUAUUUGUGUCGUUCAUUGUACUUGAGGAUGAGCGUCAUAGUGUAUUUGAAUUUUUUAAACUUGUAUUUAUUAUUAUUGUUGUUUAUGCCACGGAGGUUGUGAUUUAUAUUUGAAGCGAUUCGCACUUUGCAGUAUCCAAGUACGCCUAAGUAUCGAUUUAAUUAGCAUGCCUACGAAAUUAAAUAUAUUUGGCUGUGGAGUUCUUUACUCCACACAACAGAACUGCAGAAGCAAUGAAGCAUGCAUAUGGUGGUAAGUGGUAACGUGAAACAAAUCAAACAAUACAGAUUUGAUUUUUCACUAAAUCUUGUCUUCUCCUCGUAUACAGUUCUAUACAUUAGCUUAGUUUGAAUAGAAACUUAUAUGUCUCUUUCUUCAAUACUUAGUAAUUAAGCUGGUUGUUAUUAUAUCAUGAUAUUAUCAUUUCUUGUUGGCCAAUUCUUGGACUAGUAUUUUUGACAAAAGAAGUCUUCAAAUCGUAUACAUAAGAGAAGAAUACAUAAAAAAGAACAAGAAAUGAUAUAGAAUAGGGGAAAGAAAGGAAGGAAGAAGAUUGGGAGAUACUGAGUAACUCGAACUUUCAUCAACUUGGUAAAUUUCUAAAUCUUAUCAUUUGAGUAGCGGUAUUAGAGUUUAAGUGUUUUUUAUGACACACCAAUCUAUUUAUAAAAACAGUAGAACAUAAUUAUUUACAUAUUUGAAGUUAGUGAAUAAGGUUCGGGCACCAAGUUCUCUAUUUUUUGUCAAUGAGUCUUUGUUUUUGCCUAAAUUCUGUUUUUGUUUCUCUUUUUAGAUUAUAUUAUAAAAUCAGGUGAACCGAGACAUCAAGUUGUAUAUAAUUUUCUAAUAUAAAAUGAUCGGAUUAUGAUCAAAUUGCUCUGAGUUCCGAAAUGUGUUUCUAUUAAUGAAGUUCUUGAUUCUUCAUAGCUAUUCUCUAAUAAUUAUGGGUGCAGUAGCCUCGAUUAUGAUUCAUGAUCAUCAUUCUUUCAAAUAUGGUUGGAGACCUUUUUUAGUGAUUGAAGAACAACCAUGGUGGUUGGGCACCUGAUGGGCCGGCCCAUUAGUCCCAGUGGCAUUUUUGCAGUAUCACCACAAAAACAGUGGUAUAUUUGUCCCCAAAGCAAACGAUCGUUUUAAUUAUUAUUGUUUUAACUGGUGCCACCUCUCCGUCGUCGUCGUCUUCUUUCUUUUUUCCUCCGAAUCGGAGAAGAAAGCGAUUACAAAUCUCUCUGUACAAUUUCUCCGCAGGGCUUUUGAAUUCUUGCUCGGAAUUCGGUCCCUCCGGUGCUCCGCCGCACGUGUGAACUAUCCCGAGCACCGCGUACCUCUUGUUUGCGGAGGUUUUGUCUGAUUCAUGGUCCUGAUCUGAGCCGAUUCGCAAUCCGACGGUGGCGAUGGCGUCGGCGCAGAACCAAGCGGCGAAUGUUGAUCUAUUCGAUGCGUAUUUCCGACGAGCCGAUUUGGACCGCGACGGUCGAAUCAGUGGCGCCGAAGCCGUCGCUUUCUUCCAAGCCUCCGGUCUCCCUAAACCGGUCCUUGCACAGGUACUUCGCCUCGGUUACGCAUAUAUGCUAUUAUGUGUGUAAUUAUAGACUUGAUCGGGCUUUGAUGUUGAUGGUGAUGGUGAUGAGUUUUGAAUCGGAUUGAUUUGAAUUUUUAGUCUAGUUGUGAUUCAAGUGGUUGAUAUAAGCUCCGGACGUUGUAGCUCUCUGAUCGGAGCUGAGCUUUGUAAUCGGCAUUGUUAGAAAUAGGGAAUUGAAGCUUAUUCAGUUGAAAUUUCGAUAUUAGGAUGGGAAUAAUUGAUUGGAACUAAGUAGUCCUGCUAGCAUUUUAAGAACUUGAGACAGUUUUGGUAUCAAAUAACAUGGGAAGUAGCUCUUACUCCACUCGAUUGCUUCUGGAGUACUCCAGUCCGAACUUAGGUGGAGCAUUUUAGUAAUGGCUCUUUGCACUACUGAUAAGAUUUGAGUUGUUCUGCAUAGAUGAACUGUUUCCAAACUUAGUAGGUAGUGGUGUCAACCUAGAGCAGUAUUUAUUUAGGUUAGGUAUGGGUGAUUAUAUAAGCCGAUUUUGAAAUAGUACGGAGUGCUGCGUAUUACUGACAUGUUUUGUUUGGUUAAUGGUAAAAAGAACAUGUAGGUUUCUGGUUACUCUUUUGUUGGAGAGAUUACUAUUUAGAACAAUAAGUGUGAAUAAAUUCAUCUGUUAGCUCCAGAUUAAGAUGAAGAAUUCUGUCAUUAUGUGUUAACAACGGAAGUUUGGAUCAGUUCAAGUUAUAUUUUGUUAUUUUCUUUCUGGCAGAUUUGGGCACAUGCAGAUCGGAGGCAGACUGGUUUUCUUGGUCGGGAAGAGUUCUACAAUGCCCUUAGACUUGUUACUGUGGCACAAAGUAAGCGCGACCUUACCCCUGAAAUUGUGAAGGCAGCUUUAUAUGGACCAGCUGCAUCUAAAAUACCUGCACCACAAAUAAAUUUGAACGCUACAGCAGCACCUGCACCUCAGUUAAGUUCUGCUCCUGCAGUAUCUUCCACCCCAGGCAUUGCUGUUAAUCCCACAUCCUCCCAAAAUCUUGGGUUAAGGGGGCCACAAGUUCCUUCAAAUGUAAAUAUGAACCACCAAGGUUUCUUUUCUCAAGGUCAGACAAUGAGGCCACUAGUGCCUCCAUCUACUACUGCUGCUUCCCAACCAAUGCAGGGUGUUCUUUCACAAGGGUUAUCCCAGGGAGUUUCAGUGGUAGGCUCAAGUCCACCAAACUCGAGCCUGUCAAAUGAUUGGGUUGGAGGAAGGGCAGGUGGAGCUCCAACAGGGAUGCACUCUCAAGUCGUAAAUAGAGGGAUCACUCCCUCUGCAACACAGGAUGGAUUUGGGCUGGCAACAUCUGGACCAACAGUUUCUGUACCAUCUAGACCACAGGCAGCUUCUGGCAUAAUACCAUCAGGGCCACCGGCUAAGGAUUCCAAUUCAUUAACUUUUUCUGGGAAUGGCUUUGCUCCGGACUCAUCUUUUGGAGAUGAUGUGUUCUCUGCAAUCCCAUCUCAACCAAAGCAAAACUCUUCUACAAAUUCACUUCAGUCUGGCAGUAUACCAGUCUCAUCUGCUAUUGUACCAGUAUCUGCUGGGUCCCAAUCUUCUGCUCAUGCAUCUCCGGGUGGCAAUGUACCAUUCUCAUCAGCCAUAGUUCCAGCCGUUUCUGGGCCUCAAUCUUCAGAGAGGCCAAGUGCUAUUUCACCCAUGCUGCCUGUUGGUGGCCAAUCUCAGCAGCCCCGGUCAUUUGCAUCAUCAAACCAGCAGGUCCCCACUCCAGCACCUGGAGUUUCACAUGGAGCUGGGAACUUGGCUUCUGGUCAGUCCCAGAUGCCUUGGCCAAGGAUGGCUCAAACUGAUGUUCAGAAGUACUCAAAUAUUUUUGUGAAAGUCGACACAGACAGAGAUGGGAAAAUCACUGGUGAACAAGCUCGUGACUUAUUUCUGAAAUGGGGAUUACCAAGAGGUAGGGCUAUUUGCAUUUAAUUUAGCUUUUUUCCUUGUAGUUUGAGCAAAUGUUAUGAAUUUACUAAAGCACUCUGUUUCUUUUGGUUGCUUCUUUUUUAUUCGUUUGUAAAUGAACCUGGUAACAGUCUUAUGUAAACACUAAUACCUCACUGUUUAAGUUGUUAGCAGUAUUUCCAUUAAUUUUCCUGUCUAAAUUCACACAUCUAGGUGGUGGUGGAGUUUCAGCUUUUACCAUAUGCUGUAACUUUACAAUUCCUGAAUUCAUGCUAGAUUGACAAGUUAUAAAAUGUUCUCUUGAUGUUUAAAAUUCCUAAAUUCACACGAUAUAUCUUACAAGUCUGCUGCACAGAAUGCAUCUUAUAUUUAAUGCACACGAUAUAUCUUACAAGUCUGCUGCACUGAAUGCAUCUUAUAGUUAAUGCUGUUCUAAAAACUUGCUUCUAGUAUUACACAUGCCAGCCAAUUGAACAUGUUGACCAACUGUUACUCAUGAUCAUUGAUGUGGUGUUCUGAUUGAUAGCCAUGUCACUGUUGGGCAAGUGAACAAUUACUAUUCUAAAUUGAUAUGAAAUUUGGUUUUCUUAUUACUUUUUGUAUUUGCAAGUCAUAUUACACACUACUCCAUCUUCAUCUGCACCAUGUAGGCCUGAUGCAUAGACUUCUGUAGUGUUUUACUUUUCUAAUAUGACAAUGAACAAUAACAUUUUUUUUUUUCACAGAAGUGCCAAAUUCUCUACCUCUUAACCCUAUGCUAUUGUUUACGCUUUUCAGAGGUUUUAAAGCAGGUGUGGGACUUGUCGGAUCAAGAUAACGAUAGCAUGCUUUCUCUCAAGGAGUUCUGUAUUGCACUAUAUCUGAUGGAGCGGUAUAGGGAGGGACGUCCUCUUCCAGCCGCUCUCCCAAGCAGUGUUUUGUUUGAUUUAUCUGGUAUUAUUCAACCUGCAAAUAAUUAUAGCAAUGCUGGCAAUGUAGCUUGGAGACCUGCAUCCGGUAUUCCUUCACACAUGACACCCCCAGCUGGUGGAACGCCUGGCCCUGGCGGUCGACCCCCAGUUGGAGGGAUGCCUGGUCCUGGCGGUCGUCCCCCAGUUGGAGGGAUGCCUGGUCCCGGUGGUCGACCCCCAGUUGGAGGAAGGCCGCCAAAACCUGUUCCUGCUUCUCAUUUUGAGUAUAGGCCGCAGACCAAUCCGCAGAAACCAAGAGUGCCAGAGUUGGAGAAACAUCUUGUAGAUCAACUGAGUGAAGAGGAGAUUAAAUCGUUAAAUUCAAAGUUCAAAGAAGCAACAGAAGCUGAUAAAAAGGUGCUUAUUGUAUUAACUUAUACCUAUCUUCCCAAUUUUCAGCGAGAUUUUUGCCGUGUCAGAUGAUGUGACUGAGCUUUGCUUGUUUUACUUUUGAAGUUCUAAUGAUCUAUACAUGUCUGCAUGGACGAAUACAUACUCUUUUUGAUACUAAUUGUGGAUACCACCAGUCUUUCAAUUGCUCCUGCAUGUCAAGUCAUAAUAAGUAGUUCACAUCUAGGAAGUCCAGUGAGUUUUGUUUGUUUCUAAUAUCUUGUCUUGAUUUUGAUUCAUUUUUUUUCCUUCAUGGAGAACAUUUUGAUAUAAGUUUGAGAAGUUUGUUACAACACCUAAUAUAUUAUGGUUCCAUGUUCAAUUCAUAGAGAUGAGAUUAGUUAUCUUGAAGAUAGCAUUCUACAUACUUUAGUGUUUGUCAUUUAUUAUACAUGGUUGAACUUUCUUCCUCUCUGAAUUGUUUUCCUUGCCUUUUGACGCUAUUCUUUUUCCUUGAAGGUAGAAGAUCUGGAGAAAGAAAUCUUGGAAUCUAGAGAGAAAAUCGAGUAUUUCCGUGUCAAAAUGCAGGAACUUGUGAGUAUCUCAUCUUCUUUGUUUAAUGUGAUUGGUGUGCAUUAUAUUGUUACAUGAUUUUUAAAAGAUUUUGGAUGUCCAAACGUUUGUUCUUCUAAGUUAUUGUAAUUCAUGAGCUUCUUAUUAUAUCCUUUCUGGUGCAAGAAAAACUUUUUGAAAAUUAGAAAUUCCUUGCAUGCUACGCACUUGAUUAAAGGGAGGAGAGAAAAUAAGUUACAGUGAAGUUACUGCAGAGAAAGACAAGAAGGAUAAUGUGUCAUCACUUGGAUAGCAUUAUAAGAUUAAAAUCUAUCUAAAGAAUGGAUUUGGAAAAAGAUUGUGCGACAAAGUUCUUUUUAUGGAUUUGGUAUGGAGAUUGGGUGACAAAGCUCUUCUCUUUAUCUAACAUACAGAUAUGGAUGGUUUUGUUGUUAAUUAGAUCCAUAGAUUGACAAGGACUCUUAAAGUAAAGUAGCUUAGGUAAGCUUUAUAUGACCCUCUCCUGGCACUUGCCCAGCUACAUGUUGUGUGUCCUGAUAUAUAAAAAUUGUAAGGUACCACAGAAGACCCCAGUUUUGAACCUGGGUCUGCAAAGUGGGUUGGAGGAAAUCUGGUUAUCAAAAAAAGAAAAAGAAAGAAAAGAAAAAGAAAACGGGUCAGUUGGAGGAGUAGAAGAUUCAUUCAUAUGCAAUGCAAUAAGGAUGAAACAAAAGAUCCAAUUUUAGUUUUCUUUUCUGAUUUAGAGCUAGGGUUAUGGGGGGUAUUUAUUAUAUUCAUUUUUACUUGGAAGAAGAGUCUAUGUUCUAAAAUCACGUGUUUUCUGAUAAUGUUCAGACUUUGCUGCAUUUCAAGGUGGCUUCACUAUCAGUGCAUGGUAGUUUUGGCAUAUCAUAAAACAUGUGAAAAUUUAAAUUUAGUGGUUAAUUUAAGAAAUCAUGCUUCCGUCUGUCAGCUGUUGACUGCUGAUAAGGAAGAAUCCUUAUACUUGCAUCUAAGUUUCACAUGCUUUUGGAGUAUUGUGAGCAUAUAGUCUUGAUAUAUUUUCUUUAAUUCAUCUUUCUCUUUUGUAUAAGGUUUUGUACAAGAGCAGAUGUGACAAUCGUCUUAAUGAGAUUACAGAAAGGGCAUCGUCCGAUAAACGUGAGGUAUGUUCUGGUAUGCUUGAGGCUAUGCACAUAUUCACAUUCGUCUUUAGAUCGCACAUUGACUCAUUUGACUUACAAUUUAGGCGGAGGCCCUAGCCAAGAAAUAUGAAGAGAAGUACAAACAAACUGGAGAUGUAGCUUCCAAGUUGACUAUUGAAGAAGCCACCUUUCGUGAUCUACAGGUACCUGUCGUUAAGUUUCACAAUUUGUUCAUUAAGCGGGCUCAUGUUUUGCUCUUCUGCACAUGCUACUGUGUACUGUGUUGAGGUGGUUCCCUUUGAGUGUUCUGUUUUUGAUUGAGAAUACCUUUAAGUAUUCUGUUAGAUAAACUCAAACUUGAAUUCACAAUCAAGUAGGACUAUGUAUGCUUGGAGUAAUAGAACAGAUGAAUUUUUAUACUAUGAAUACCCCCCAUAACCCUAGCUGUAAAUCAGAAAGAGUGAGGGAUGAUGAGGAAUGAUGGGGUGGAGGGUAGAGAGAAAGUAAGAUGUAAAGGAGGAAUAUAGUUUAAUAGUGAUAGCCUAAGUGGGAUAUGCAUCUUACUUGUUCUAUAAUAAAGAGAGCUGGUACAACCCCAAGUUUAAAUUAAAAGUUACAAUUUUCCUUCUUUACUAAAAUUCUUUAAUUGCGAAUUUAAUAGUGUUGUAGUCUUCUGGUGUCAUGUUUUGGUUCUUUUAUCUAGCCGUGAAUAAGUCCAACGCUGUUGUUUUUUGUUUGUGUUUCAUUUUUCAAUAAAAAGUUGUUUCUUUUCCAAAAGGCACAAAAAAAGAAGAAGCUAAGGGUAAUGAUGUCAGCAAAAUUCAGAUUAACUACCCUAUUUUGUCUUACAGUAGCUGUCAGAUGCAUUCUAUCACAUGCUUGCAUGUAUUGCUUCUAGCAUAAUACAAUUUAUUUUCUUAUGGAUGUUUGUGCAGGAGAAGAAAAUGGACCUAUACCGGGCAAUUGUCAAGAUGGAGCAAGAAGGUGGUGGCGAUGGCACUCUUCAGGUAUACUUGAAGAUUUAAACUUAGAUUAUUAAAGAUAAUAUUUCCAGAAUAUGGUUAAUUUUUAACUAAAAUUUCAGGAACGUGUUGAUCGCAUCCAAUCUGACCUUGAUGAGCUUGUGAAAACUCUCAAUGAGCGCUGCAAAAAGUAUGGAUUACGUGCAAAACCUGCAACAUUAACUGAGCUUCCCUUUGGUAAGUUGAUCGCUUCCUCUUGUUACUUGGGAGUUUCAGAAUCGUAUGUAAAAUGAUGACUCUACAUGGGAUUGAAAUCUAACUAAUACAAAAUGGUAGGUAAAAACAAACUUAUAAAAAAAACCAGUGUGAUAAAAUUCUUUGGAGUUUAAUGUUAUAAAUAUGUCUAAUGAAAUGGGUUUCAUGAAAUUGUCAUUUCUUUCAUAUUAUUCUUCACUUCAUAUUUAUUAAUGAUGUUGCAUCUGGCUCCUGAUUUUUAAUUUUGUUUUCUAAAUAAGGCUGGCAAGUGGGGAUCCAAGAAGGAGCGGCCGAUUGGGAUGAAGAUUGGGAUAAGUUUGAAGACGAAGGUAUGCCAUAAAUUGAUCUUAAACUUAUCAUUAUCUUUAGGUUAGAAAUCGCACAUGAAGUUGCCAAACAAUUAUAAGCAUUUGAUACCUAAUCUACCAGAUGCGUUGCUACAUCAUGCCAGGGUGAACAGUCGUGUCCUCAGUGUUACACUUUAUUUUAUUAAAUGCAUGUCUCUGAUUGAAUAAAUAGUCUGAAAUUUUCCUGCCCAUAUCAUGAUGACUGAUCUGUAGUUCACUUGGUUCUGAGUAGUAGUUCACAUGUUUCACUCAUCCUUUGCAAACGAGAUUUUUAGUUGUGGUAUACUCAUUUUAGAUAUAGAUUCCCUUUCCACAUGGUGAAUGUAGUAUAUACUGUAUAUUGCUACUGUUUUAGUUCUGUUUAUAAGUUUACUAAUUUGAAGAUGGUCUCUAAACAUUGAAGAUGGCUAACACACAAUUUUACUCUUCAGGAUUCACGUUUGUUAAGGAGCUCAGUCUUGAUGUACAAAAUGUCUUAGCUCCCCCAAGACAGAAACCCUCAUUAGCUAAGAAAGAAAAAACUUCUACAAUUAAGAGUCCAACAGCUGCUUCUCAGCCUAAAGGUGAUGUUGUGUCGGAAAAGCAACAAAGUACAGAUGAAAGGGUAGUUGAAAAUGGAGCAGCUUAUGAUAAUAAUGAAGAUGAAUCAGGAAAAAGUGUUCCAAACAGUCCAUUGGCUAGCAGUACUUUUGGAAGCCCUAGAGAAUUUUCAGAUGCUAACUUCGGAAAGACUACACUCUCACCUCGUGACAAGGAAACUCAUAGGUAUCUUUCUAAUAUGUUAAUUUUCCAUGUAUGUAAGCUCCGCUUAAUUAAUGUUUGUUGAUGCGUUACACUUAAAGAGGAGGUUUUGUUAUUGCCAAAAAACUGUAUGUCUGUUUUAAAUUGCAGAAGGUUCUGUCUUCCUCACGAAAACAUAUAUACUCUGCUGUAUCCUUGUUACUCUAUACGAACAUCCUGUAGCACUUUGUUGUUAUGUACCACAUUAUAUAUAUUUCAUUUUACUGGUAGGAUUGUUCCCAUUUAAUUAUAUGUCAUCAUGCUUCUUCUCACGUUCUUCGUCCAAAUUCCUUCUUCAUCUUGAUUAGCUCUGGUGCAUUUUAUUGAAGGAAACGAUCUAUCACUACGUACAUUGUUAAAUGGUGCCCCUCAUUAAUGUCAUCCUGCCUUAAAUGGCCAUCAAAAUCAUAUUGGUGGAUUUGUAGAAAGCUACACAUCUUCUACGUUAAUAAUUGUUGCAUUCACAUAUUUUUCAUGUGCAGUGAUCAUGGGGGUGCUGGGUCUGUGUUUUCUGGUGACAAGAGUUUUGACGAACCAGGAUGGGGUACAUUUGACGCCAAUGAUGACGUUGACUCGGUGUGGGGAUUUAAUGCAGUUAGUACCACUAAGGUAAACCAAUACAUUCACGUUGUGUAUUCAGCAUUAGUCUAAUGGAAAUCACCACUUUGACCUCAUGUAAUUACUGGAUGAUUUUUCUUCUACUAUAUACUUAUUUGUGGUGGUGGGGAGACCAUGUUUCUUUGCUUUGUUACAAGGUUUGCCUCUAGGGACCUAAGAAAAUGACUUGUUUGGUUCUGUUGUGUGAGUUUUAGCCUUUUAGGUGAUUUUACAAUUGGUAUUGCUAUUCUCUUUAGUGAUUUUUUUUGUCGUAUAUAUACACACACAUUUUUUGUUUUCAUAUAAUCACUGUUCAGGAUUCAGUAUUGGCUUGUUUUAUAUAUAAAAAGAGUUUAGGAAUUGAUUUUGGACUUGGUUCAAUUAAAUGUCUCAGUAGCGGUACUCUAUAUCUGGCAUUGGAAAGUAAUUUUGCAUCAAGAUCAUCUUGUGAUACCAUGCGCUUAUGUCUUUGGUGAUAUUUGUUAUUGUUCUUGCCAUGCUGAAUUGUGCUGUUGAUGCUCUUAUCAUGUAUGAUGUAGGAUACGGAUCAUGACGGUAAUAGAGACAACUACUAUUAUGGUGGGUCUGGGGAGUUUGGCCUGAACCCUAUCAAGACUGGGUCAUCUCAAUCCAGUGGCUUUUCCCAGAAGAGUCGCCCGUUUACUUUUGAUGAUUCCGUUCCUAGCACUCCACUAAAUUCAGGAUACUCUCCGCCAAGGUUCAAAGAUAGUACAGGACCCUCAUUUGACAGCUUCUCGAGGUUUGAUUCCUUCAGAUCACAUGAUAGUGGAUUUUUCCCUCAAGAAAAGUUUGGAAGAUUUGAUUCUAUGCGCAGUAGUAGAGACUUCGAUCAGGGUCAUGGGUUCCCAUCAUUUGAUGACAUCCCUGAUCCCUUUGGAUCUUCAGCACCAUUUAGGACAUCACUGGAUAAUGAAACUCCGAGAAGAGACUCAGACCCUUUUGGUUCUUCCUCGUCAUUUAGAAUAUCAUUCGACAGUCAAACUCCAAGAAGAGACUCAGACCAUUACGGGUCGUCAGGUCCAUUUAGGACAUCAUUUGACAGUCAAACUCCAAGAAGAGAUUCAGACCCAUUUGGUUCUUCAGCGUCAUUUAGGACAUCAUUCGAUGGUCAAACUUCAAGAAGAGAUUCAGACCCAGACCCUUAUGGGUCUUCAGCUCCAUUUAGGUCGUCAUUUGACGGCACUCCAAGAGCAGACUCUGACCCUUACGGAUCUUCAGCACCAUUCAAGACAUCAUUUGACAGUCAAACUCCGAGAAGAGAUUCAGACCCUUUUGGGUCCACUGGCCCUUUUAAAUUAUCAAUGGAGAGUCAGACUCCAAGAAGAGACUCUGAUAAUUGGAGUGCAUUUUAGCCGUGGUAAGUUUUGUUAGUGCAGGAUAUUCAUGGACUGGUUUGUCUGCUCUUAUUUUCUCUAUGGACACAUAGGGAUCUUUGGCUCCGUUCUGGACAUCAUUCGACAGUCAAACUCCAAGAAGUGAUUCAGACCUUCUCAGGUCUUCAGGGUCUUUAAACUAUCAAUGGAGAGUUAGACUCGGUAAUUGGAGUACAUUUUAGCCGUGGAAAAGUGCGGGAUAUUGUUGGACUGAUUGGUUGCCCUUGUUUCCGGUGCUUUGAGAUUACUGAAAGCUUGUAUUGUAUUUUUGUAUUCAUCUUUUGUAUGCCUAUUUCUUUAAUAGUUUUUUUUGGUUCUUGUUCAGCUUGUUGGAUGACUUUUUUUCUGUUUUCUUUUUCUGAAUUUUCCUAGUCCUGUUGAAGCUGAUGCCAUAGUUUUCUUUUUCCUCACCUCUUUACACACUUGAUGAUUGUAUUAUUAAUUGAGUUGUAUUUUUUGGCUUCGCCAUAUUCUUCUCUCUGGAAUAAAACUCGUGUUUUUGGUCCCUCGAACAGGAGUGCAAAUUUUGCUAAUACAGUACAGGACAUUUACAAUUUUGCGUAUUUCGGUACAUUUUCAAAUUGUUAUUUUGGUGAUUUUCUAUAUAAACGCUCAAUUUAUGAUGGUUUGCGUGAAACUUUGUGGAGCGGACCGAGCAGUCCUUUACCUCCGGAGCAAUGUUUUCAUUUCUGUUUCAUAAGUUAGUAUGUUCUUUCAUUGUUAAAGGCUUAAAGCCUGUGAUGCACACAGAAAAGUUUAUGUCAUUUGGACAUCAUUUAUUUGGUAUUGCGAUCGUUUUUGGGGUUUCUGCUCAGGAUCACCCAGCUCAAGAAUAACACAACUUCAAUUAAUUUCCAGUACGAUGAAUAAUACCCAUUUGUAAGUGGGUGGGCACUUGAUCUCGCAUCAUCAUCCAUGAAGUUGCGAUGAAGUCGUUUCCCCUCUCUAAUGCUAACUUGCUAGAGGACUGAAGUCAGAUUUGUUCAUUACUAUGUUUACGGUUUGAUACCACGUCCGAGCAAGCUCGAAAGAGUUCGAGCUAGCAAUCUAAGGCUUCUGCCUUCUGUUGCUCGCUUUUUCCAGGUACAAUUUGCCGAACUCCCUCCCACUUUCAACUGCUCUCAGGUCAUGUUACACCCCCAAUAGUUUACAAGUGCAACUCACUGGCUAUAAUCAACUGGAAAUGAGGUAAGCAAAAUACAUAAAAUUUUGGCAUUUUUGGUCCAUGUAUUCGACCUGUUUGUGUUGGUUCCGUUACUGGUGGUUUUACAAGAAAACUUUAUGAUCAUACUAUAAUGUCUAAAUGAGAUUAGCCAAGUUCUCAAACAAAAUCCCUGUUCCUACCAUUUUUAAUCAAAUACCACAUUGUUAAUCUCCAAUCUUACUCUUCCCUGUGACUUUCUUCCCUAGCGUCAGCAGAAAGCAAAUGAACCAAACAAUACUAUACCUUGGUUAUUCCUUUAUAGAAAAUACAUCAUCACAAAGUCACAAUAUUACAAAAACCAGUAGCACCUAUCUUAAAAGCAAAACAGUCUGAUCAGUAAAGUCGUAAAUCUUUCUAAACUUAAAACUCUUGAGAAGAAACUUCACCAACACCAUUUCAGUAAAUGAUUGAUGAGGCAUUUGAAACCAAAAGAUGAUAAUAAGGAUCUUUUGGGAACAACGAAAAGUUUCAUGCUACUAUACUAAGAAGUUAAUAGUUGAUGCUCAAAGCUCAAAUAUCCUAUACUUUGGAAGCGAAAAUUUCUUGCAGAGCAAACCAUGUCCCCGAAAUCCCAAGAACAAUUCCCAAUGCCAAAAUGCUUACAUCUGAGAGCCAUUGCUUCCACCCCAUCUCACCCUUGAAGACCAAGAGAUGAAACAAACUAGGCAAAACAAACCCCAGAACACAGCAUACACCACUCCCAACCAAAGCCAUGAAAUCAGCAAAGUUGGGGACCAACAAAGCCACCAAACACACCACCAACACGAGCAGCCACCUCAACCACAAGCAGAACCUCCCACCCCACAGCCGCCUCUCCACGAUUUCAUAAACCGGGUUCAUCAUUAUAGGCAAUGUGAAGAACAGAUUGAUCACAAGACCAAGCUUCACCAGAGUGGAAAUCACGCCUUUCCCAAGGUUAGCCGUGAUCAAGUCCUUAGUCUGUUCCCCGAAAGCAAAGUAACCGAAUGCUCCAAAGCAUCCAUACAUCAAAGCAAUGAACAACAUUGUGAAACCCAACACCCUCCCAAACUUGUCCUUAUCUUUCGCCUCCGACUCCAAAGGCAAAACCAUCCCAACCCCUUCAAACGAGUACACAGACACACCCAAUGCAUAAAAGAACAAAGAAACAUCCCCAAAACUUUUCAACCCACCAAAAUCCACCCCUUUCAUCAUGAUCAUCAAAUCCUCAAUGAUCACCACACCCAUUGCUCCAAGAUCAACCACAUCAGCAAAAAUACUCAAAGGAGCCAUAUGGGUCAGCGUCUUUAUCGAAUUCAAUCCUAGUUGGAACGGGAAACAACCCCAAAUGUAAAAGCUUUUGGGAGCCAACCCCAUUAUUUUUGGGCUCAAAUCAGUCGAAGUUACAGGAUUGAUCAAAUGGGUCAUUGUAUUACCAAUAAAAAGAAGAUAACCAACGCAAAAACCAGUCUGGGCAAGAAUGAUGAGAACAUCAACCACUAACCUCCCCGUAGAGCCACAAACGCUGAAUCCCAAAUCCCCAAACGACGGGAUCUUGGUCGCCGCGUCGGAAGACUCGAGCUUCCGGCGCGUGUAGACCAACAGCAUCAUGCAAUGGUGGGUCAGAAACGCGACGAAGAACAAGGUCAGCAGGCUCAUGACCCAACCGGUGCGUUUAAACGAGUACGGCAUACCCAGAACGCCGGCGCCGACGAUGGCGAUGAAGACAUUGGCGAACGUCUUGGAUUGGGACGACUGCGGCUUUGGGGCUCCGAGCAGCGGCGUCUCCUCCGUCGCCGGCGGUGAUCGGAGGCGUUUGGAUGACGAGUUUGCUUCUUUUUCGAACACCAUACUUGAUUGUCUUGAUCCUGAAGAGAACAAGAUCAAGAACAGAGGUUUCAGAUGAACAAGAUUAAAGAACAGAGCUUUGGGUUGUGUUUUGAUUUGGGAAGAUUCGAGUGGAAUUGUGAAGGGCGGAUGGGAUUUUUUUCUUUUGUUGAGGAGAUUAUGUAGUUAUGGACUUUAGAGAAGGAAAUGGGAAGAGAGAGAGGGAGAGUUUGAAUUGACAUUAAUGUGCUUAGUUUGCUUGAAUUUGACAACCUGAAAUUGAUAGAAAUGGAAGGAAAUGCUCUUUGGCACCAGAUUAGAUGUAUAAUUCUCUUGUAUAUAGUUGUUAACUUCUAAUUAACUGGCUCAGGUUUAAGGGACCAUAUACGCACAACACACACCUGAUUUAUGUCCUUUCUCCUGUUCCUUUGGAAGUAUAUAUUUAUUGUUAAAUGGGACCCUAUACACAAAUACAAUUUUAUUUGGAAGGAUCCACAAAUACAAAUCCCAAAAAGCGUGAUGAUAAUGGAUUGGUGAGAUUAAGUUGAUCUUAUGAUGUGCACCUAAUCAUAUCAGUGAAGUGAAAUUGGGAGAUUUAUCAAAGAGUUCUGUUUUGAACAUAUUUGUAUAUAUCAUGGGAAAAGAAACAAAGAUGGUACGUAGUUCUGCUUAUCAGUAAAAAAAUAAUAUUUAUUAUGAGAAAGAGUGUGUUCAUUUUUACGAGACGACCUAUUUUGAUUCUAAGAAAUGAACAAAUAUUGCAAGUUGUUAUCAGACCCGGACCUGAGAUUUUGAGGUCUGAGUUGAACUUUCAGAGUUGGGCCCCUAAUUUUUUUAUAUAUAUAAAAUAGCAUAUAACAUCCAAAAAUAUAUAGGAUUUUUAUGCAAAAUACUUAUUAUGCAAAUAGGAUUCCAAAACCUUGAUGGUUUAAUAAUCCUAAUUGUAUUAUAAAUCCUAUCUAAUCAACAAUAUCUUACAUAAUCAUGUUUGGCUGCUUCUAUUUAAUAUUUUAACUUUUUUAUGGGUAAAAAUUUAAAGUAGUAAACAGUAAUUGAUGGUUUGGGCCCCUCAUCAUGUGUAAUUGUCUUUAUUUUAGGAUAAUUGUCUUUAAUUCAUGUCAGAUUGCACAGCCAAAAAACUAUUAAAUAUAUAUAUUUUUUUGUUGGACAAUUAUAAAAAAUAUUUUUAGGCCUCUUAGAUUUUUGGGCCCUGAGUCCCAAGCCUCUUAUGCCUCUAUUCAAAUCCGGGCCUGGUUGUUAUAUCGGUUCCUACCAUAAAUACUAACGUGGCUCACUGUAGAAAUAAAAUAAUGGUAGAAAUUUACCAUCUUGAUAACAUAACAUGUUUCUGUUUGAGGAACGAACAAAAGUUGAUAGUCAUUAUCUUGAUUUCGACCUUAACGAUUGACAACGUGGCACAUAUAAACUAAUUUCAUCUAUAACAGUCAUUUCAGCUAACCAAUCUAUCAGUUUUAGCUGUUACAUGCACAAAUUGAUAAGUUUGCAAUGAUGCAUAUGAGGCUGUUUACAAAAGUGCGCCAUGUCCCUGAAAUGUGGAUCCGCGGUGAACACUGAUCUCACUAGUCUCACCCUUUAAAAUGAAGAAAACUGGAGUGUUGCUUGCCAAGCAAUCAACCCGUAUAGCAGCCGGUUCCGUACCCGAUUCGAAUCCAACCCGCCUAGCCCAAUUAGUUGGGUAUUCUCAUUGGGCCCGAAGCAAAAGGCCCAUUUCAUGUCAAUGAAGUCAUGGAACUUGACUGAAGCGCCAUUUCCCCAGUCUCAAUUCGCCGAGAUCGGAGCUCCCAAACGUCAUGAAGAAUUUCCUCUGCGAUUUUCGCUUCCUUCUACUCCUCGCAGCUGCCGCCUUCAUCUAUAUCCAGGUUUUUAAUCCUCUCUCUUUCUCUUAUUUACUUCAUUCUCAAAUGUUUGAAAUGCCGCAGCUCAAAAUCACUGAAUCAAUUUCCUUGUGUGUUCAUUUCUCUUAGAUUCGGCUUUUCGCGACGCAAUCACAGUAUGCUGAUCGCCUCGCCGAUGCGGUAAGUCUUUCGAAUCCGUCCUGCUUCGAAUUUGCUCUCUAUGAAGUUUCGUCGUUUGAUGAGAAAUGAGAAUCGGCUAUAGAUAUAGGUUUAGUUUAGUUCAUUAGUGAUUUCUUAGCUGGAAUUUUGAGAAUGAGAGUCGGCAUUAGUUACCGGGAUCGAAAAUAGAAGAUGACUGGAAAUUUGGCUUGGUUAAUGGUGUAUUUGACUAAAAACUGUGCUUACUGCUUAGUUAGAUGUAGUCAUCAGUAGAUAACUCUAUAUUACUUUGAGAAAAACAUGUCGGAGUCGCAUUUAUAUGCUUAGUUGCUUACUUUCGGAACAUAUCGUUGCCUUUCUAGUCAUUACUGCCACUCGUAACCUUGAUUUUAAUUUGUUGAUGCAAGAAAGCUUGGAGCUCUAUUGUUGUUAGUUUGUUUACUAUUUUGCUUUUUGGAUAACUAAAUUUAACUAAUUUUCAAUCACACAUCUAUUGUGAUGUGACAGAUAGAGUCAGAGAAUCAGUGUACAUCUCAAUUGAGAUCACUAAUUGAUCAAAUAAGCUUGCAGCAAGGUCAAAUUGAGACUAUGAAAGGUAUUAUGUAUUUUAGUGCAUCGGGAUUUUGUUAUGUUCAUUUCAAGCAUAGUUUUCUCUAAGGUGUUCAGUUACAAAGAAAAAGUGCUCAAGCAACACCAUAUUCACUCCUGCGCUAAUGAGUUUGUUUAAAAAUAAAUGAAACUUCGUGUUUGCAAUAUUUUGACAAGUUUUACUGUUUAUAGUCUCUGCGUUAUCUUUUGAGAUCUAGUCUGAACUGUAUUAUACUGUCGUAUUUAAAAGUUUGAACAUGGUUGUUGAAGGUGUUUCAAGUGGAGUGGGUUGGUGCUUGGAUUUUUCUUUGUUGCUUGAGCUUUUUUGAGGGAUUUUACACCCAAUUAGAUGGUUACUAUUGUUUUUUGACACGUAAUGGCUUCUCUCAGAUUCUUUAGUUGGAAAAUCAUAAGAUUUUUUUUAAAAAAAUAAAAAAAUAAAAAAUAAUAAAAACAGUCAAAGAAUGAGAUGCUUAGCCACUUGUUGGCUUCUUUGUCUGUCAAUUUCUGACACUAGACUCAAUUGUAGAACAAAAGGAACAGCUAGAGCAAGAGUGUGGACAACUGAAGGCCCUUGUUCAAGAACUUGAAAGUAAGUCCUUUAACUCCUAUCAACACCUUUUUCUUACACGGUACACAGAAAGUGCUUGGAGUUUUGUAUUUAGUAUUCUUGGAAUAUCUCAUAUGCUUCCAUGGAAUGCAUGUAGUCAUAUUUUUGGUGUUUGGGGUAAUUUCAGGGGAAGUAAUAACUAAAUAAGUGGAUUUAGUUUCACAGUUUAAGUUGUAUGCUUUUUUAUAGGAAACAGAUAAUUGAUUAAUGAUUAAUAAGUGAUAUUUAUACUGUGCAUAAAAGGUGUUUUUAAUUAUGUUAUUAAUAAGUGAUUUUUUUUACUGUGCAUAAAAGGUUAAUUUGUUUAUUUUAUAAAAACGAGUAGAACCUUAGAUACUGAAUUGAAGGGGCAUCACAAAGACAUGUUUUUAGCAGGAUCAAGGAUGGGAAAAUUUUAUCUACCAAGAUUUCUAGUUUUUGAGUUGCCAUAAAAUAGUUUACAUGAUUGACUUGUGUUUACAGUUUAACAUUUAAGUCUACCCAUCUUCCAGCUGGAGACAUGCUGAGUGGAAGAAAUUUUGGAAAGUUUUUGUUUGCUUUAUUUGAACACACCUGUUUCUCAUUGUUGUUUACAAAUGUACUUUGUUUCAGAAAGAAAUCUUCUACUGCUAGACUUGCUUAUAUAUUGUCUUAUGCUCGAACUACAAGUUCGUGACUGUGUGCUUGCUUCAUUGUCAUUUUCGCAUAUUUAGCUGCUAGACUCACUCCACAGCACUCAGCUUUUUUGGCUACAUGUACCUAAGAACUUAGGACUUUCCUUUUGUCAAAUUUUCAGGGAAAGAUGUUGAACGGUUGACUAACAAAGAACAGGUGGGGCUAGAUGUGUUACUUUUCAGCUUUCUCUUAGAUAUCAUGACUGGCAAUAUUCUUUUGAUAGAAUGACUGGUAACAUACUAGCUAUUCAUUUGGAUGAACGUGUCAGGCACCAGUGGCAGCAGUUGUAAUUAUGGCAUGCAAUCGUGCUGAUUAUCUGGAGAGGACCAUUAAGUCUAUUUUGAAGUAAGUUUUCUUGCUCUCGUGUAAAAGAAAAUAAUAAGAAUUGUGUUUACAAUCUGGUUCCAUACAUUCUUUAGUUUGUGCAUCAUUCAGCUGACUACUGGCCUAAUCCAAUUAUUUAGAUACCAGAGUUCUGUUGCCACAAAGUUUCCUCUAUUUGUCUCCCAGGUAGCGAUGUACUUUUCUAUACAAAACAGUACCAUGAUAGAAACUUAUCAUUCUUUAGCUAGGAUGGAAUCAAUAGUUAACCAUGGUAACUUUGUUUUUCUCAGGAUGGAUCUCAUCCGGGUGUCAAAGAUAAAGCUUUGAGCUAUGACCAGCUCACGUAUAUGCAGGUAAGUUGUACGUUUUUAAUAAAAUGCAUGUCGUUGGAAAACAUCCUUGACAUUUGAAACACACCGCAUUAACUCCAACUUCAUUUAUGGCAGCAUUUGGAUUAUAAACCAGUUCAAACUGAAAGACCAGGGGAAUUGAUUGCAUACUACAAAAUUGCACGUAAGAAUUCUUUGAUUUGUCUAUUUUACAUUUAUUAGCUUCAUGGCUACAUCCCUGUUUGUUUAGGUCAUUACAAAUGGGCACUGGAUGGACUCUUCUACAAGCAUAAGUUCAACCGAGUAAUCAUACUUGAAGGUGAACAUGGUGUUCCUUGGAUUAUCUUUUCUAUUUUCUUUCUGUACUAUUUUAUAACAAAACUUAAUUGUUCUAUGCUGAUACGAUCCAUCAUAUUCAUGCUCAGAUGAUAUGGAAAUUGCUCCUGAUUUUUUUGAUUACUUUGAGGCUGCUGCCGAUCUCCUUGAUAAGGAUAAGUAUGUCUUGGGUGAACUUAAAGUCUUACCUCGAAUACUUGUAUAUCUCAGAUACUUUGCUAGAAGGCAGGAACUCUGACUUUUCUUUCACUUUAUUGAUAUCAAAUUGUGGUAGGUCUAUCAUGGCUGUUUCCUCAUGGAAUGACAAUGGACAAAAGCAGUUUGUGUAUGAUCCAGGUGAGCUAUCUACAUCUUUCACAUAUUGAAUUGAAGCUUAUGUUUUCAAACAGCUCAUUAAUCUAAUAAUAAGAUCUCUGCCUGACACCUCCACCCCUUUUGUUGUAUUCUUACACUGGAAAUUACGUAGAACUUUUUUGUUUUGUUUUGUUUUGUUUUUCUGUGGGAGGACUGAUGGCUAUUUUACUUGGGUUACUGGGUCAGGCAGGUUAAAAAUAUAGAUCCAAAAUUUACCUUUUGGCCAUGUUUUUUUUACGUCUGAUUCUGAUCAGUUUAUGAUUUAUCAGUUAGUUACAUUCUGGCUAUAUGUUUACCAUCCCCAACCUGGGGGUGCAAUGUAACAUGUCUUACCACUAAGCACAAGCAUCACAAACAAUGUCUCCAAACACCUGGACACAAGAUAUUAAAACUAUCAGACAUUGAAACUAGGAGAGAUGUUCUCUAAUCUAUUAUUUCAUCCAAUGUGCAGAAGUACUUUAUAGAUCUGAUUUCUUUCCUGGGCUUGGGUGGAUGCUGUCUAGAUCUACAUGGGAUGAGCUAUCACCAAAGUGGCCAAAAGCAUAUCCUUGUUGGUGUAGUUAAUUUGUUUUGUUUAUCUUAUCCCUGUCUUUCAUAUUUCUUUCAAAAUGCUUUCUUUCACGGUGGUUUACUUACUGGGAUGACUGGUUGAGGUUACAAGAGAAUCACAAAGGUCGACAAUUUCUUCGUCCAGAAGUGUGCAGAACAUAUAACUUUGGGGAACAUGUAUGCGUUCUUACCUUCUCUUUCUCAUCUUACCUCCCAAGUCCCUACCUCUGGUUAUAGUUAGUUCCUGAACAAUUGGGUGAAUUAAGUGUUUUUUUUUUUUUGGGUGAAAUAUGAGUUAAGUGUAUUGAUUGAUAUGCAAUUCUACUUUGAUUUUACCUGAUAUCUAUCAGUUAUGCUAGUGAAUCUGAUGCUAAACGUUGUUCCUUGAAACUGCAAAGAUCAUUAGAGGAUUAACUUCUCAAACCAACUUCUGAGUUAUAAACUUACAAUUGAAUUUCAACUUAUUUGGAUAAUACUGUUUAUUAAAAUGAGUACUUUUGAACUCCAAUCAACUCAAUCUGAGUAACAUUAUCAAGUAAACGGCAAUGGAAAUUCAAUCAGAUAUCUUCAGCAUGUAGCACUAGUAAGCGCUCUAAAAUUUUUCAUGUCUCUCACUUUUUUUGUGAUUUUCUGUAGGGUUCUAGUCUGGGGCAGUUUUACAAACAGUAUCUUGAGCCAAUCAAGCUGAAUGAUGUCCCUGUAAUUACAAUCUCUCUUCUGCUUUAUUUCAUUCAGUUACAGUUUUUCCUGUUGUCUAUUCCACAUUCUCAUAUUAAGUUUAUCUUUUUCUACAUUUUCCUUCCCAAAGGUUGACUGGAAAUCAAUGGAUUUGAGCUACCUGAUGGAGGUGUGUAUCCCUUGAUUCAUUUGGAUGGAAAGCUGCUUUAUUACGUCUAUAGUCACUAUAUCUUUUUAAUGUGUGUCUAGGACAAGUAUAUAAAGCACUUUGCAGAGAUUGUGAAAAAGGCGAAACCUGUCCAUGGAGCUGAUCUUGUACUGAAGGCACGCAAUAUUGCUGUUGAUGUCCGUAUACCGUACAAUAACCAGCCAGACUUUGAACGCAUUGCAAAUGAAUUUGGAAUUUUUGAAGAGUGGAAGGUUAUUUCUGUUGUUACUUGGAGAAUUUUGGAUGAUUUUUCCUCAUUUUUACAAGUAGCUCUAGAGAUAAUAAUAAAUCGAAGGCAUAGUUUUAAACCAAUAUGUUAAUUUCUUCAUUCAGGAUGGAAUACCAAGGACAGCCUAUAAAGGAGUAGUUGUUUUCCGACACCAAAACCGACAGCGUAUAUUCCUUGUUGGUCCAGGUUCUCUCAAGCAGCUUGGAAUUGAUGAUUCUUGAUGCAAAGGUUAGUUUCAUGUGAGAUGCUCCAUUUCUGUGCUUCAAUAAGCAAGGUUGUUGGUCUAAGUUCAUAAUUUGGAUUGCAGAAAUAGCUUAUCUUAAGUUGGAGUAGUAUCUGAGAGUUUCCUCUUUCUGUAAUUAACAGAUUGGAGAAAAUGUCUUCAACAUUGAGGUUUAUGCAACACAUGAUUCGAAGCACGAGGGCAACUCAUACAAAUAGAUGACUGAUAUUGAGUAAACUUAGAGGAGGAGCCGAGUAUAUUUUUUCUGAGAAACUUAAUCAAGAUAACAUGUCCAACAAGUAGUAGGCUUCACAUACAUGCCUUUUUCAAGGUUGGUAGUCUUCAUCUGUGUACAAUGUGUUAUCUUCGAAAGUUCUACGCCUGCUUGUUGAUCUUCACAAACAAGAAAGAAGAUGCUGUGAUUCUUGAUAAUUUUGUUUCGGAAGAAAACAUGUAAUCCUAGUCUUUGUAUAUGAUAUAGAUACAUCAAAAGCGUACAAAUUAUUCUAAUGUGAAAUGAACUUCCGUAUGAUGCAGGUUGCUUUCUUGGUUCUUCAUUUUGGUCCUACACACCCCGUCAUUUGUGCCUUUCUUCCAAAAUUACCCUUAGUUGAUCUCCUAUCUUCACAGAUCAAAAUUCUCCUCGUCUUCAGUUGUUCACCGUCAAAGUGGCUUCGUGUUUCUUGUGCAAAGCCCCCCUUAUGCUUUCUUGUUCUGAACUUUCGACAUCCACCGUACAACCUUUUUUUCUGUUUCAACAAAACAUCUUCUGUAGAAAAAGUUGACUGACAUCUGAGAUUGCUCAUGAUUAUUGGGUAGUUUACUGAGAGUUUGGAAGUCAUAGUUAAGAUAUGAAAUUUUAUGAUAAUUUGAGUUUUAACUUGUAGUUUGUGGUAAGGUAGAAGGGACUGCAGCAAGUAGUCAUAGAAUUUUAGAAUUGUACGGUGUAUCCUCAUUUUCACUUGUUUUGUUUUUUUGGCCUCAAUGAUGUUUAUUUCUCUGGCUUUGGUAGCAUGGUGGGAUAUGUCAUGUAUACAAGUGGUACUACCCAUUUCGUGAUACAUGCCAUGUAAGUUAGCAAUGGGAGCUCACAAAGUUAUAGAGCAUCCCCUCUGUCAUCUCAGUACUAUUUAGUCUAGUGGCGUAGUGUUCUUUUUAGUAAGUGAAACGUUAUGAGUUCGACUCUUUUUUUGCUAUUUGUCAAAGUGCUAGCAGACCACCGGAACGGAUUCUAUGUACCAAAGGGUAGUUAGAAACACUUAAGACUAUUUUUUUAGAUUUAAUUUUAUUAAUGGUAUUAGUAUAUGUGCAUAUAUUGCGAUGUAAAUAGCCGGAUCAAAAUAAUUAGUUGCUCGGUUCACUUACACUUCCAACGUUAAAGAAUUUUCGGAUAACCUUGUUAUAUGUUCAUCAACUUUGGUAUUUGGCCUACUAGGCAAGCGGAUGUGUAUAAAAAGCAAGUGGAGUCGAAACGACGUCGUAGCCGAUCAAUAAACCUAAAACCCCAAAAACCCUCUCAUCUGAGGUCUCACAGUUCCGUUGUUCCCGCCGAGCUCCACCAUGGCCUCCUUUCUCUCGAAGAAGCAGAAGCAGAAGAAGAACACCACGAAGCUCUCCGACCUCCGCGCCCUAGGGCACGACCUCCUCUCCUCUCGAAGCCACGUCAACAACCUCCCGAAGCUCCUCUCCUUCAUCACCCCAACCUCGCCGCCUCAGUUCGUCCUCGAAUCCCUCCUCUCCCUCCAAUCCUUCUUCACUCCCCUCCUCCCUGACCUCCCUUCCUCCUCCUCCUCCACUCACUCCCCCGACGACGAUCCCGAGCUCAUCUACCGCACCUGGCUCCGCUCCAAAUUCGACGAGCUCGUCGAGUCCCUCGUCCAGGUCCUGCUCUCGCCGGACUCCGAUGACACUCUCAAGGUUUGUUUCUCAAUUUUACGAAUUCCGAGAAUUUCGGUUUAUUUUUACUUGUUCUGAUUUGAGAUUUUGAUGAAAUUGCUGAUAGGAGGUGGUGUUGGAUACGCUGAUGGAGUUUGUGAAAUUGGGAAAUGGAGGCAAGUUUCACUCUGCUAUAUUCCAUAGGUUUCUUCGCAACAUUGUGAGUUACGGUUUCCCAGGCUUUUUUCUGUUGCUUUGUUUCAAUUUUAGGAGCUGUUUUGUGAUGUUUCCGUGGUUUGUUGAUAGGUGUACUCUACGACGUCGACGGAUUUCUUGGUGGACUUGCUUGCAUCAAAGUAUUUCAAGUACAUCGAUGUGUGGUAAGGUCUCAUUGUUGUUAGGACUGAUAGAAACUGAUAUACAGACUGCUAUAAUAUUGAUUGGUUGAUGCUAUAAUAUUGCCAAUAGAACUAUGUAGGUGUGUACGUUGUUUCAUGUCCUUGUGUUGUUUGAUAGUAUUGCUGUUCUGGUGAUUCCUACCUCUUACUGUCAGUAACUGCAUCUGUUUUGGAACUUCUGUUAUUUAUUUGGAUAAUUAUCAAAUUUUAACCAUUGUAUCUGUUUUUUUUUUGGCAGUUAUUUUACCUACAUUAGCUUGGAAAAACUUGCAAAAACCCUAGAUGCAAAAGGCAUUUCUGGUACUUUCUCCUGUGAUUCUUUGCGAAAGGCUUAUCUAUCUACAUUUCCUAGUUAUCUAUACUGGCUUAUUGGUUUUUACCUACCCUGUAGAUGAUAGAAAUCAGAGCGCAGAUGUUAAUAACGGGAGUCAUCUUAGUGGAAGGUUGGUGUUUCACAUUUUUGUCAUGUUUUUGAGAAAAUUAUGUUCUCUUAUUCCGUUGUCUCCUCUUCCUUGAUAUGAGAUAUAUGAGAUUGUAACUUUUAUGCUAGACAUAUAUUUAAAAUAAUAUUCUUGAACAAUACUACCAUAAAUCUUUGUGCUAGAUUCUGAGUUUGAAGGUUGUGGAUACCAUUGUAUAGGAAUAGUUGCCACCAUAUUCAAAUCUUGGUUUUCUACCUUCUUAGAAUUAAACUAGUAACACCGGAUUUUAUAUGCCUCCUUUAAUAUUGGGUUCUUCUUUCUCCAAGCCUAUUGUCAUUUUUGUUUUUAAUUAUUUUACGCUGGAGUUUAUGAAUUAUUGUUUAGUUGGCAAGUUGUUAGAUUCCUUUAUAAAUUGUUUCUGCAACUUGUUAGCUUUUGCUUAGCUUUGUUUACUUUUCUUGCAGCAUGGAGCAACUAAUUCGCAAAAUCCAUUACAUUAUAUCACAUAUCCCCGCUUUUGAAGGUUCAGUUGAAAAAACUGAUUAUGACAUGUGGAGUGGAUCAAGUAAGUGUUCCCUUCCCUACCAAUCAGUACUUAAUUGUUCCUUUGCUUCCAUUACUGAUAAUCAUGGAUCAGUUGUUCACAUACAUAAAUAAAAAUAACAAGAGUGACUUUUUCAAUCCUUCCAUGAACUUCAUCAUUGGUCACGUUAAAACUUAAUGAAAUACAAAGAUGUCGAUCCAUCAAGUACAUAAAAAGAGAAUUAAUUUCUUAAACAUCAAAGAAAAUGCUUUCUCUAUCUACAAUUUUUUGGGGGAAAAUCCAAUGAACUAAGUCAUUUGAUAAGAAAGAGAAUCAUCAAUUCUUCUGACACUAGAUUGUUGUUUCAAAUGAUUUAUUCUAGUUCACCAACUGCUAUUCUCAUAGUUUCAUUUGCAGAGGUCCUCAUUAGUAUAUUAGAAUCUGUGCAGCUUUAUUAUAUGAUUGUCAACUCUAGUUACUUGUAACAAGUUGAGACUGUUGAGCUGUCCUCAUGCCUCAUAUUGGGUGUUCAGACUACUUAAGAUUUUCAUGUGACCUCAAAACAAACCUUUGUGUCUUGCCCUGUUUCCCUCUUUAUUGCAUCUUCUACUUUGUGAUCAAUCGUAAUUUAUCUUUGCUGAUUUCAUAUCUCAUUGUCAUUUUUUUUCUGUAGGUGAAUCUGAAGAGCAUUCUAAGAGCCAAAAAGCAAAAGAUAAAAAGCAAAAGACUGAGAAGCAUAAUGACAACGUAAGUUAUCAAUAUCUAUUGACAAAGAUGUUUCAGUUUAGCUAUCAAAAUUGUUUUUCAUCGGUUUACAAUACAUGACUGGAUUGUCCUCUGUAUAUUGCCUAAUGAGCAUAGUAUCUUAUUCCUGUCGCAAUAACAAUGCAGGCAUUGUCUGCAGCCAACAUUGUCAAAAAGAUGAAAUUAAAAUUUACUAAAGCAUGGUUGUCAUUUCUAAGGUUACCACUUCCUCUUGAUGUGUACAAGGAGGUAAGAUAAAUUCUCUUCCCUGUUCUGCGGUGCCUUUUAAACAUAAAUGUAUUGUUACUUUACUGUCUUGACGAUUGGUUUGAUGUAUCUCCAAUUCUCUUCCUGUGGCUACCCAGUGCAGUAAUAAUAAAAGUUAUGUGCAUAAUGUUUUUGUAUCACGUGUCAUGGGUAGCAAACGAUUUUAAAAGUGCCUAUAGACAGAGAAGCCUCAAACUUGCAAUUUAAAAGUUAUUUUCAUGUCUUAAAUUUGAUCUAGACGUUAUUUUGUUAUGGUGCUUGUCUUUCCAAUUUUUAUUUUAUAUUGUUGACAUUGGAUUCUCAUGCUUCAUCAUAUUCUGACCUGGCUUCCUUAUGUGCUCAGGUUCUUGCCAGCUUUCAUCAGGCAGUCAUUCCUUAUAUAUCUAACCCCGUUGUGUUAUGGUAUAGCUACAUUCUGAAAUAGUUCCAUGUUUUCACCUUUUCUCUUUCUGACUGAACCUAAUUUUUGACUACAUUUUAUUCAUUUUGACGAUGUACAGUGACUUCUUAACUAGAUCAUAUGACAUUGGUGGUGUUAUCAGCGUCAUGGCUCUUAGCAGUCUAUUUAUCAUAAUGACAAAAUAUGGUUUAGAGUACCCCAACUUCUAUGAGAAGCUUUACGCAUUACUGAUUCCUUCAAUUUUUAUGGCAAAGCAUCGAUCAAAGUUUUUUCAGGUAAUGUUAAUCACUACUGCAGUAUCAAUCAUCUCGUAUGUAAAUUUAUGUAAUUCAAGUGGGGUUUACAUGUAUUAAGUGUGUAUAUGCAUGCACAUGACAUGCGUAGUGAUGUUUCCAGCAAUCAAAAUGGAAAGCGAAUCUUAAGUAUUAUAACAAGUACAUAGAUGUCUGUCGUCUUUGUUAUUUAGAGUAUUCUUAUUUUCCAAUCAGACAUGGUUAUUUGGUUGCCUUGGUCAUAUCAUAUGUCUUUCAUGUAUAUUCUGCACCAUUUGCAUCACUACUCGGUUCGUAAAUCUCACUAUCAUGAAGAAAACAAGGGGGUUUGACAAAAAGUUGAGCUUUGAGUGUUGAAAAAAGAAGGCCAAAGUUAGAAUUGAAACUAAAUAGCCAGCUUAAGUGUUUGUGAUGGUCAUUGAUUAUUUGUGCUAUUUACUGUUUGCAGCUUCUUGAUUCUUGCUUAAAGUCACCACUUCUUCCUGCUUAUUUGGCUGCUGCUUUUGCUAAGAAAUUGAGUAGGCUGUCACUUUCAGUCCCUCCUUCUGGAGCCUUGGUUGUUAUUGCGUUGAUUCAUAAUCUUCUACGGAGACACCCUUCAAUCAACUGUUUGGUGAAUCGGGUAACUGUACAAUCUAUAUUUUGUCCUUUUCAAUGUAUUUACUUUCCUAUGAUGUGAAUGUGAACAAGCAAGCUGGGCUUAUGAGUAAGUAGUCCUGUUGAUGAGUUCUUUUGUAUUCAACAACCUCUGACUUCCUUUUCCUAUCUCUUUCAUCUUCGCCUCAGAUAAACAUUGAUAGGUUUAUUAGAAGAUCACAUGCCUCAGUUUUCAGAUAUUAUUUUUUUAUUUUUCAUUUUUAUUUUUUGGAAAAGAAACAGCUUUUAUUGAAACAAAAAGCAAAGUACAAGGAGGCAGACAAGGUGUCUGCUUUAAAUAACUAAAGAGGGCAGCUUGGGCUGAAGGCUAAGCAGUUCAUCUAAUUGUGCUAAAUCUAAACUCAGGGGCUUAUACUACAGCUGCAUCCCAGUUAAGAAUAAUGGAAGAAAAACUAUAAUCCUUAAAUUCCUUAGAAGUGGAAGCCCAUAAGGAUGCUCAGAACUUGACUCUCCCUCAGUUUUUCAGAUAUUGGAUAAGUAAAAUAAGUACACAAGGUUUAUCCACCGAGAUACUUUCUGUUCUCUGAAAAGAACUAUUCACCAGACAUAUUGAUGGCGAAACAAUUGUAUAAAAAUGGCAGCAAGUAAUUCUCCAUAUUAUGCACCCUGGGGGAUGGCAAAUUCGGGAAGAGCCAUGAACCUCACUAUUUGAGUGAUAUGCUUUUCACUUUUGGGUUUAAGUUAUUUUCUUGUGAUUAUACAAUCUUUAUAUAUUUGCCUCUACUGUGAACUAAAUUUUUGUGAACUCAUUUUAUUAAUUCAUAACCAGAUUUUUCUAACUAAUCUUAUUAAUUCAUCUCAUAUAUCUGAAGGUGCAGCAAGGUGAUCAAGAUACUGUGAAAGUUGAUCCAGAAGCUGAGGUAAGUACUCCUGAUGGUGCAGAUGCCAAUGUUACUGAUGCAGCAGAUCAGUCACUCAGAAAACCAGUCAUUGAUCCCUUUGAUAAUGAACAAAGUGAUCCUAAGAAAUCAAAUGCCAUGAGUAAGCUCCCCCCUCUUUCCUGCCUCUGAUAAUGUGAUACUGCAUGCCAAAUCCUGAUGUUACCCAUGAUUAUGUUGAAGUCAUCUCACAUCUCAUUUGCCAUCAACAUGUGCACAUGCAAGUGCUAUACUGCUAUACUUGUGAAAGUAGCUUUGACAUACUGAUACGAGCCCUUUCGUACAGGAAGUUCACUCUGGGAGAUUGAUACCCUCCGGCACCAUUACUGCCCACACGUUGCAAGGUUCAUGCUUUAGUCCUUAUCUUGCAUGAUUUUUGUAUUUGCCCUGAUGCUCUUUUUCUUGAUAUCAUUGUUUCUUGGGUUAUAGGUUUGUGGUGUCACUUGAGAAUGAUUUGACAGUCAGAAGCAAAACCACUGAAAUUUCUGUCGAAGACUUCAGCUCGGGUUCAUAUGCAACAAUAUUUGGAGAAGAGGUAGUAUAUUGGUUUUAAGAAUUCAUGCAGUAAUGGAGUAGAAUAUUGUAGCAUUCAUGAAAUUGAUAUUCUAGAAGAAAUACAAUAUGUGCGUGCAGCGGUUGACUUAUGCCUGGUGCAAUCAAUUUGAAGCUUUUGUACCAACUAGCUACUGAUCUAGUGGUAAUUCUAAUCCAGAAAGUUGAAUAAGGUCGAUAGUCUGGAUCCCUCCUUCCUCACUCAUGUUAAGGAAAAUUGAUUUUAUUAGGAUUUAGUGUAGCCUAAUUAUUCCUCUGGAGCUCAGCAGAGCAGCUCUGGUAGAGUUCUACUGUGAUUGUCAGUUCAAUCCAUGCAUCUGUUCACCUGAACUUCGGGUUGCUUGUUCUCUAGACUGGUGUAGGACAGUAACUGCACUCGUUACUUCUAUUGUUAAUAUUUCCAUUGGGUCCUAGCCUAGAAGAAAAAUAGAAUAUGGCUUUAGGAUAUAUGUUGUACUUGAGUUAGUAAUUUCUUCGACUUUGUAUUGCAGAUGAGACGGCGGGUAAAGCAGGCUCCAAUAUCCUUCUACAGAACGACUCCCACCUGUUUAUUCCCGGAGUCCGAGACUGAUUUUCUUGGGUGGACGUUCCAGUGUGAGGACAUUAAGAGAAAGAAUGAUAACACUAAUGAGAACGGGGAUAUGCAGAAAGAAAGUGAUCGUAGUUCAGGAAAACGGCAAAGAGUCGAGUGUGCAUAAGGAUUUGAUCGUAAUUGGAUCAAACAGGGGACGAGUUGGUUUUUGAACUACAUUAAAAUGAUUUUUAGGUCUACAUUUCUCAUUUGUACACUGCACCAAAUUUUGUCCAAAACAGUAACUAGUUUAUUGUUGUACUUCUUUGCACUACAUUCCUUGAACUUGUACUGAAAGAGAUAUUAUUAAAGCCAAGUUCUUGAAAUCAAUUGUGUUACAUUUUGUUUUGCACGUUUACCCUUAAGAGAAUAUGAAUGGAUUGAUGUUUUGACGUGUAUUGGUUGAAUCUUUGUGAGGUCUUCUGGGAAUGCUUCUUUUGACACUGCCAUUUUCUUUUUCCCUUCCCGAGACUUGGUUCUUCAUAUUAUUUUUUCAGAAAAUCAAAUUACCCUUCAUCAUAGAAAUCAUCGGUUCACCAGAAUAAAUUUUCCGAUCGGUCUUGAAACCAAAUCCAACUGGUCCAAGAAGAUGAAGAAGAGUCGAAGAUAAGACUGGUAAUCUUUUACAUUUCACAAUUUGGCAAUAUUUGGAUUAUUUGCACCGAACAAGAAAUAUCUAAAACAUUGAUGGCUACUUGAGAUUGAAGUUAGUGAGCAAUUGCGCAGGAUUUUGCGUAUUUAUUUCUUACAGAGUUGAUUCCGACACAAUUGAAAAGGAAAACUAAUUUAUUUACUAUUAAGAAUUAUUAUGUACAAAUAAUCUCAAUCAAAAGCCAGACAGAUUAAUUAGAACCCACUACAAGCAAUGGUUGGCUGUUGAUGGAAUUUUGAACAAGUAAAGAAGAAAGAAAAAGACUGAUCUUUCAAUAAUCAAUAAUCAAUAUCAUCCACAAACAUGAUGUUUGAUAGCAUCUAAUCUGGUCAUACAUUACUAUUUAGUACCUCCUGCAGAAGAUUCAGACCUUCUGCUGAUAUACUCCUCUUGAACUUGAACUUUGGGAUCUCAAGCUGAGGCGGUGGUUCUGGGGAGAAACAUACAACUACAACGGUCAAGUUAUCACAUGUAUCGCGCUUGAGAGCUUCCCUAACAAGCUCUCGUGAGCAUCUUUCAGGAUCAUUGUGAAGCAUCAAUUCUUUCCUUGCUAUUGUGACUGCACACUGGCUGCUCAUCACAUCCCACAACCCAUCACAGCCUAAGAUCAAGAACUCAUCUUCCUCACUCAGAAUUGUCUCCUCAAGCUCCGGUUCUGCACUUAAGGGACAAGUUGAACCUUUGGAUCCUUUCAUGUGCCAAUCUCCAAGUGCUCGUGCCACUGACAAUUGGCCGUUGAGAUAUCCAUCGUACACCACGCCUCCCAGUUUUUCAAUUCUUAAUCUUUCUGUGGCGCAAUUUGGUUUAUGGUCUUUGGAAAGUUCCACUGCUCUGCCUCUUCUUCCCAGAACAGCUCGACAAUCUCCAGCAUUGGCAACCAGCAUCGUCCUAAACAAGACAUUAUGUGUAAAUCAUGACUGUCUCAUCCACAAAAAAGAGAGGUAAUAGAUAGAGGGAACCUUUGUAACCUACAGGAAUCCUCCAGCACAGCUUUGUUAACAGAAAAAUCUAUCUAGUUUACCUGGUCAAGACUCAAGAUGAUAAAGCUAUGUUAUAGCUGUAUCCAUUGCACAACCGACGGGUUUACACAUGUGACCCCUUGCCUCACACCCAAAAUUUCUAUUACCAUGUUACAAGCCUCUAUAUGGAUGCCAGGAAAUUCAAAGGCAUGAAAGGAUUCCUGGAUGACAUGGCAAUAGUAAAGAAGAGUGUGAAAAGAAUGGUUGACAGGAAAGACGAAAGUUUACCCGUGGAGUUGGACCAAUAGACUAGCCUAUACCAUAGAAUGAUCUAAGCAUCAAUCAAAUUUUCACAGUAACCAUUCUCCACCAUGUAAUCCCAUAAGCUCCAAAAUAUCUCGGUACCACUUAUUCACUAAUUAUUUCCAAGAGCGAAGUAAAGAAGAAGGGCGACACGCAACUGGGGAAUGAGAUACAGUGUCAUACAGCGAAGAGUCGAAGACUAAUUACUUCAAGGUCAUAAUAAGUGUUUACUGGAAGCUAUUUGUAUGGACCAAUACCACAUGAGAAAAGACACCAUAGGAUGACAAUGAUUCUCACCUUCCAUAGAUAAGGGCAGUAAGUGCAGUGGUACCGGAGGAACUAUCAAGAGUACCAGUGUCAGCAAAAGCAUGGUCAGCCUUCAGAAAAGCACUCUUAAUAGCUUGCUUAGCACAAAAAGGGAAAUGUGAAUCCUCCACUAUAAACCUCAAAAUGUUCUCUCUGAUAAAAGAAGCUGCAUCUGUACCCCCAUGGCCAUCAAAAACCUGCAAUAGAACAAAUAUGUUAACAGACCAUGGCAUGUUCUAGUUGUGCACCCAAAACUAAUUGUACCACCAAUUUCAUCAAUCAACAAUAAAAGUAGCAAUAUCUAUAUAACCACAAUGAACUGUACUGGUUUAAAAUUAGUUACACACCCCAUAGAAAGCUCCAGAAGAAGGAAAGUCUGUAGUAGAUCCUAGAUGUUCAAGAAUAUUGUCUAUACAGAUAUGCUCAUCCUCCAUAAAUUGUUUUGGUCCAAUCUCUGAACAGCUUCCAGACCGAAAUACAGGUACAAAUGGUGAAUUACUAUCUGAUGAGGAUUUUGAGCUAACAACUCCACUGUCGAACUCCUGAGUGAACACACAAUAUCAAUUUCCAUCAAAAUUAUAUACAAAUGAAUUAGGAAUAAAGCUAACUGAUACAAUGAUACAGUCGGAAUAUAGGCAAUCUCACCAUUUCAGUAACAGGAGCCAACUGGGCAGAGCUGACACAGUACCUAAUAGCUGAUACAUGCCUGGGAGGUUUGCCGAUGUUGGGUUGCUUCAUGUUAUCAAAAGUAUUUGAUUUCUCGUCCCUUGUAACAGUUAUGUUCUUUCUGUAACUGCCAUCUAAUAUGGAAAGUGAAGAUGGGGUAUCUGUCCCUGCAGCCAUUUUCUUUCCAAAACAUAAUCCGCUCCUUGAUCGAAAAUUCGAUCCGAAGUAUUCCCUCUCCAGCGCUCCUUUUUUUUAUUAUUACAAAAAACUAGUUCAAACUUCAAGAGCUUUGAUUAACCAGAUCACAUACACACCCCAAACGGUACCACACAAGUAGUUUCAAUAUCAAUCCUCCUUUUCUCUUGUUUCUUCAAAUACUUUGUUGGGUACCUGAGUAGAAAUAACCAGAAAAAAAAAAUUCUCAACUGACUUCUCCAAUACUUUAUUCUGCUAAACAGAAAAAUCAAAUAUCCCAACUAAAUCUAUGGAACCAAAAUCUACAACUAAAUAGUCUUAAAUUCAACUAAAAUGAAAACACAAACUCCCUAAAAAGCACAUCCAGAUCAUGUUGACAAAACCCAUACACAAAUCCAGCAAACCAAAGUCUACCACAACUCAAAACCCACAAAAACUAUCCUAACUCUGGAACAAACAAAGCACAAAGCUUUUCAUUUCCAAAUCAAAAAAGCACAACACCCAGAUUCAGACUCCAAAAAAUUCAACCCAAAUAUAGAAACCACCACACAAGUAAAGCAAAACAAGUCAAACCAAACAAAACCCAAAAUCACUAGCAUCAAAAAACUCCAACUUGAAUCACACACCGUAUUACACAACUCUUUAACCCACAAAAAGAUUCAAGCUUUGCACACAAAUCAACACCAAAACAAAAAUAGUUGGUAAAAGAUGAUGAUGAAACAUACUUGCCGUACAGUUGAGGUAAGCUGAGAGACCAAAACAAUCUUCAAAGGAGAAUUUGGAAAAGGAGAGAGCAAAAGGGUUGGCCAAGUCUCCAAAGCUUUCAAACUCAAAAAUGAAAAUCGUUUUUUUUUUUCAUAAAUAUUUUUCAGGUUUUCCGGGUUGAUGUUGAUUCGUUGAAUAAAGGGGUUGAAGAAAAUGGAGUGCACCGGCACGUGGCUCUGGGCGACCGGCUAUGGCAGGUGGAUGUGAUGAGGUUGUGAGUAAGGGUAGCGGGUGGACCGACACGUGGCGGGGGAGGGGUAGAUAUUUGGGGGUGUUUACCGGAUAAAGGGGGAGGUGGUAAAGUUCAGCAAUUGCGGCUGGGGUUGGCCUACCACCGUUGGAUUGGAACAGUUAAGGAUGGACGGCGAGAUGGGGGCUGACGGUUAUCACCAAACGUGGGAAUCAAUAGUUGACGGUCGUUGACUUUGCGGAAAUGGCUUGUGUUGUCUCGGAGGUCAUCUUCUAUCCUAUCUAACCACCAAAAAUGGAGGCUUGCAAAACAUGGGUAGAUUCUAUAACAUCAUCAACACUCACCGUCUACCUUAAUCAUUUUUAAGUAGAAUACCGAGAAGUUCGUAAAACUACCUUAAUCAUUUUAAAGUUUGAACGUUACUCGUACUAGAUAUGUUGUUAUAUUUCUUAGAACCGUAGAAGUUGACUAUAAAUGUUGUAAAUUCGAGCUAUUUUCUCAUAUUUUUCUAGCAAGGGUUUCCAUCAUUGAAAUUUCCAUUCGUUUAUUAUUUGUCUUAUAUGUUGAUAUAUUAUUUUGUCAAAGUAUGUAAUUUUAAAUUUUCAUAAUUAGCCCUUAAGAUUGAGCCGUUGUUUGAUAUGGUAUCAUAAUUCUAAUCAUAACAUAUUAGAUCGGAGUGACUCCUCACAUGAAUAAUUUAUUCUCGUUUAUGAUUAGCUAUUGUUAGAAGGUCUCAAAUUGUACUUGAAUUUAUAGUUUUCCUCAAAGUUUCACACUUCUUAAUUUUUAUUUUGGUGACGAGCCAAAUAAUCAAGCUAAGGAAAUGAAGAUAUGAGAUGCCCUUAUUAUUUUCUUAUUUAAGAUUUGAAUUAUAUAUCAUGUUUCGAUUUAAAGAUACCAAUGAAAUAAUAAAGAAAACAGAUGCCCUUCCCGUAUGAAUUUCCUAUCGAUCAACCAAAUGAGGGGGACUGUCGUAACAUGUUUUUUGUUCUUUUCUUUUUGAUGACAUGUUUUUUGUUGUUCUUUGAUAGUGAGGUAUUGCCCAAAACAGUACCUUUGAAGCUGAUCACUGAUGUGAUCAAUUGUGUGCAUGACAUAUAGUUCAGCCUGCAACAUCAACUGUCAUCUUCUUUUCAGUAGGUAAAACAUGGGUUUCAUUUUCAUGCUUAUAAUUUGCUGCUAUCUGUCAUAGGAUUUGACAUGAAUGAUCAUCAGCUACAAAUGCCACAUUCAUAGAUUCCUGUAAGCAUAAUAUUGCUGCCAUUCUUUUCUGAAGCACUUGAGAUUCUGAAAGUUUUGCUAGUUUCUCGGAUUAAUUCAUACCAAAGUAUGUUGAUAAGAAGUUUUCCGAAGCGUUACAUGAUUGUAACUCUAACUUUCAUCAGCACAUGUAUUUGCUACAUCGAACGAGUAGGAUUUUCGAUUGCAUACACAGCUGCAGCAGAUGCUUCUGGUGUAAGUCAAUCAAGCAAAGGCACCAUUCUGUCUACAUUCUAUUAUGGCUAUGCCUGUUCACAAAUUCCUGGAGGUUGGGCAGCCCAAAGGUUAGGAGGAAGGUCUGUUCUCCUCAUCUCAUUUGUUACAUGGUCCUUAACGUAUGCAUUUGUCCCUCUGGACCCUAAAAAUGUCAAAACUAUGGUUUUGGCUCGGUUGCUUGUUGGUGUGGCACAGGGGUUCAUGUUCCCUUCCAUCCACUCCGUUCUCGCGCAGUGGAUCCCACCAAAUGAGAGGUCUAGAGCAGUUUCCCUCACAACUUCUGGGAUGUACCUUGGUGCAGCUGCAGGUAUGCUUGUGGUUCCAACCCUAGUGAAGUUGACAAGCCCCCAAUUUGUGUUUUUGGGUGAAGCAACUUUAGGGACUAUUUGGUCAGUGCUUUGGUUAAACUAUGCUAGUGAACCACCAAUUCAAUUGUCUAAGCAAAAUGGAGCAUUUCCAAAUCCUACUAGAAAAACCAAAAUUCCAUGGAGGAGUACUUUUAGAAGCUUACCUAUUUGGGCUAUUGUGGUGAACAAUUUCACUUUCCACUAUGCUUUGUUUGUGAUGAUGAAUUGGCUUCCAACAUACUUUGAACAAGGCUUGAAGCUUAGUCUUCAAGAAAUGGGGACUUACAAAAUGGUGCCUUAUUUCAACAUGUUCAUGUGCUCCAACAUUGGUGGAUUUGUAGCAGAUUAUUUGAUCACAAAGAGGUUCAUGUCUGUGACUAGAACUAGAAAGUUCUUGAACACUUUAGGAUUCAUGGUUGCUUCUAUUGCAUUGAUGGCACUGCCCAAAUUCAGAACUUCAUUUGGGGCUGUGAUAUGUUCUUCUGUGGCACUUGGUUUCUUGGCUCUAGGGAGAGCUGGGUUUGCAGUGAAUCACAUGGACAUUGCUCCAAGGUAUGCAGGAAUUGUUAUGGGUGUUUCUAAUACAGCUGGUACAUUAGCUGGGAUAAUUGGGGUUGAUCUCACUGGGAAACUCUUAGAAGCUUCUAGAUCUGCUUAUGAUUCCAAUCUUUCGAGUCCAGAAAGCUGGAGAUCAGUUUUCAUGAUCCCUGGGGUGCUUUGCAUUUUCAGCUCAAUCGGGUUUUUGCUCUUCUCAACUGGUGAGAGGAUUUUUGACUGAGUUAUCUUGUUAUGUACUUGGAAGCAGAUAAAUCAGUUGAACUAGUAAAGACCUGCAUUCUUGUGAUAUGUAGAUAAAUGAACUUGAACCUAUGAGUCCAAGUUUUAGUAUUUAGAGAAUUUUGAAGGUUUUUUUAUUUAAAUUUUCAGCACUCAAUAUAAAGCAAAAUGAGUAGGGUUUGAAUGAACUUCAAGCUUGAUCUUCUCCAGAUCAAGCAUGGUUUAAGAUGCCAACCAAAUUUGCUUUCAUGAAAGAAUUUGCUUUCACCUGUGGAACUUGUGGAUGCUCAUAAAAAAAUGAUUGAUAACACAUUUAUGCCCAAAUGAUCCAUAAGGGAAAAUAAAUAAAUAUGGGCCGCUGAGUUUGGGCUGUAAUUUACAAUCAGUCACUACUCAACACCAUUUUUCACACCCUCUCAUAUGAUAAAAGAAGUUCAUAAGCAAUCAAAGGGACAAAGAAUUCAGCCAUGCACUUGUUCCAAAGAUUGACUGAAACAAAAGAUGAGCACAAACAGUGCCCCUCCACAAAAGACCCUGUGGAAACCCACUAGCCCAAGUUGCAAGUUGCUUUCCUUCUUUGGUCUGAAGUAUUCUCAUGGCAUUUUAAUAAUUGAAGCAACUUGGGCACUGCAAGGAAAGCAAUGGGAUUCUUCUUCUUCUUGUGAGUUUUGCUAUUCUAGCUUUACUUUAGUGGCUCUUCACCUUUGUUUUUGCCUUAUUUGUCUAAUCAAUUCUGUUCCUUUUUCUGUCUUUGUAUGCAACUAGAUAUUAAUUAAUAAAAUGUAUUCUCUUGCUCUUUAGAAUGCGGUGGUUGUUUGACCCAGAGUUACCAGCUCCACUUCUUGUUCCUUUCUUCUAUCCCCUCUGAAUCUCCUGAAUUAUUGUUUUUUUUUUUUCUACUUUUUUUUUUUGUGGUGAUCUUUGGUGGGCACUGCACAUAAAUUUUUGCUUUAGAAUCGAGACAGAUUUGUGCUUUUGGUUUGUUUCACUGUCUUCACUUUGGGUUUUGGCAUAGUCCUUUAACUUUGAUAACCUAUUGUAUUUAGCUCUGUUUGUUUAAGCUUCAAAUUGGCAGUUCUUCUUCUCCUGGAAAACUUCAUUAGCACCAAGAACUAUAUGUAGUGUAUGAAAUUGGGUGGUGCUAGCUGUUUCUUUGAUUCUUUCCCAAUUGAAAAUACUACAGUUUGAGUUUUAAGUUGCUUGUAGAUAAAACUACCAUAGAAAACUAUAUUUAAUCUGAUUUUGAAGUUGAAUUUUAUUGUUCCAUUUGUUCAUUCUGUUUCAAACUUUCAAUAUAAGAAAUUAACUUAGCAAGGUUCUCAGUACUGUAAUACCACAAUGAAUCGCAUUUGCCUGUUGGCAAUCCUCAUCAUCUGUGUUGGAAGAUUCACAGAAGGAGCAUCAAGACCUGCUGUUGUGAACAUUGGAGCUAUGUUUGCAGUAAGCACCAUAAAUGGAGGAGUGUCCAAGAUUGCCAUUAAGGCAGCUGAGGAGGAUGUGAAUGCCGAUCCAAGCAUUCUUAGCGGAACAAAAUUUUCUGUAUCUAUUCAUGAUUCAAACUACAGUGGAUUUCUCAGCAUCAUUGGAGGUAUACAAUUUUGCUUCUGCAUGCCUACUUUUUACUUGGAACAAUUGUGUUUGACCAUAUGUAGUUACAGUUUACAUUUAUUGUUGAUCACAGCACUAAAGUACAUGGAGUCUGAUACAGUGGCUAUAAUUGGUCCCCAAACUUCUGUCAUGGCUCAUAUAAUCUCACAUCUUGCAAAUGAACUACACGUGCCGUUACUGUCAUUCACUGCACUAGAUCCCACUCUAACAAGCCUGCAGUACCCUUACUUUCUUCAAACUGCACCAAAUGAUCAAUUCCAGAUGAAUGCUAUUGGAGACAUUGUUAGUUAUUUUGGUUGGAAAGAGGUGGUUGCACUUUUUACUGAUGAUGAUCAGAGCCGAAAUGGUGUCACUGCAUUAGGUGAUAAGCUUGCAGAAAAAACGCACAAGAUUUCUUACAAGGCAGUACUUCCACCUGAUCCAACAGCAACUCGAGAUCAAGUUAAGAAUGAGUUGGUAAAGAUUCAGAUAAUGGAGUCUCGAGUAAUUGUUCUGCACACAUUCUCGAGAACAGGCCUCUUGGUUUUUGAUGUUGCAAAGGAACUUGGGAUGAUGGAGAGUGAAUAUGUCUGGAUAGCUACUUCUUGGUUGUCCACAGUUUUGGAUUCAAAAUCCCCACUUCCUCAGAAGACUAAAGAUUCCAUCCAAGGAGUUCUCACUCUUCGUCCACACACACCGGAUUCACAAAGGAAAAGAGCUUUCAUUUCAAGGUGGAAGAAAUUGAGUAAUGGCACUAUUGGGUUGAACCCUUAUGGUCUAUAUGCCUACGACACUGUUUGGAUUAUUGCUCAUGCUGUCAAUUUGCUUUUGGAUCAGGGAGGUACCAUUUCCUUCUCCAAGCAUACUAGUAUACCUCGUUAUGGGGGAGGCAUUAUGAACCUUUCUGCAUUAAGCAUUUUUGAUGGUGGCCAGCAGUUGCUGGAAAACAUAUUGCAAACCAACACAACCGGUCUCACUGGUCCACUGGCUUUUCAUUCAGACAGGUCUCCAGUGAAUCCUUCAUAUGAUAUCAUUAACAUAAUGGAAAAUGGUUAUCAACAGGUUGGAUACUGGUAUAACAAUUCAGGGCUAUCUGUUGUGCCCCCCAAAACACCAUCUAACUGGUCUAGUUCAAACCAACAUCUAGGUGUUGUUGUAUGGCCUGGAGGAACAACAAAAAAGCCUCGAGGGUGGGUUUUUCCAAACAACGGGAAGCAGUUGAGAAUUGGAGUACCAAAUCGAGUAGGCUAUCGUGCUUUUGUGUCACGACAAAAUGGUACAGAUGUAGUUAAAGGAUACUGCAUUGACAUUUUCCUUGCAGCCAUAAAAUUGCUUCCCUAUGCACUUCCACAUAGGUUUGAACUGUUUGGUGAUGGCCACAAGAAUCCGAGCUACGAUGAGCUUGUUAACAUGGUUGCUUCAGGUGUAAGUAAAACUUACAACGUGGAGACUGCUUAUUUUGUCACAGCAAUAUAUAAAUGAUAAAAAAUAAAUAAAAAAAAGAUGAUCAAUUUUUUUUUCUUCUGUAGAAAUUUGAUGCUGCUGUUGGUGACAUUGCAAUAGUUGCAAAUCGAACAAAGACUGUGGAUUUCAGUCAGCCAUAUAUAGAGUCAGGGCUAGUAGUGGUGGCACCACUUAGGAGAUCAAACUCAAGAGCUUGGGCAUUUAUGCAGCCGUUUUCUCCAUUGAUGUGGGGUAUCACAGCGGCUUUCUUCCUAAUUGUUGGAUCAGUCCUGUGGAUUCUUGAACAUAGAAUAAAUGAUGAGUUCCGUGGCCCUCCUAGGAAACAGAUUGGCACAAUUUUAUGGUAAGCAUUACUUUAGUACAUUGACCAUUCCAAUAUACAGACUUUGCAUAUGUAGUUAUGUACUAAUCUCUACUCUAUGAUUUAUCUGGCUUCCUUUUAUUUUCCAGGUUUAGUUUCUCCACUAUGUUUUUUGCUCAUAGUAAGUCUUCUGAUCUGGCACUGAAUUAUGUCUUCCAACGUACGAAUAAAUUUGGUUGAAAAUAUUUUUUGAUCUUUCAGGAGAAAAUACUGUGAGCUUACUAGGGAGAAUGGUGCUAAUCAUCUGGCUUUUUAUAGUUCUGAUAAUCAAUUCAAGCUACACAGCUAGCCUAACAUCAAUGCUCACAAUACAACAAUUAUCGUCACCUAUCACUGGCAUUGAUACCUUAAUAUCUAGCACUGAGCCUAUAGGAUUCCAAGUAGGGUCUUUUGCUCAAAACUAUCUGAUUGAGGAACUCAACAUCCCAAACUCUAGACUGGUUCCUCUCGGUUCACCAGAAGAAUAUGCAAGAGCCCUUAAGAAUAAAACUGUUGCUGCUGUGGUUGAUGAAGGACCUUACAUAGAACUCUUCCUCUCAGAUAACUGCAUGUUCUCAAUCAGAGGGCCAGAAUUCACCAAAAGUGGCUGGGGAUUUGUGAGUAUCUCAACAUAAUUGCUUUGCAUCUUCCUAUAUACAAUUACGUGUUACUUUCAAUUUUCCAAACUUUUAUUUGCUGAAUGGUCUAUCAACUUGAAUUUUGAUGAUUAUCUAAAACAUAUUCUGGUUAUAUGCUAAUUCAUUGGGAAGUUUUCUUUAGCUAAACAUUAUAAAAUGUUAUAUUGCCGGACUUCACCCUGAUUGCCUGAUUGAUCUGAUAGAAUCCUGCAUGUUGAAGUAUCUGGCAAGAAAGCAAUAUCAACUUACUUUUUUGUUAUAUGUAUCUAAUUUUGUAGGCAUUUCCAAGAGACUCUCCUUUAGCCAUAGACAUGUCAACUGCCAUUCUCACUCUAUCAGAGAACGGAGAGCUUCAGCAAAUUCAUGAGAAAUGGUUGUCAAAAAAGACUUGUGCGUCACAAACCUCUGACGACGUAUCAGACCAGCUUCAACUACAAAGCUUCUGGGGACUGUUCCUAAUAUGUGGCACUGCAUGUGUCAUUGCUCUAGUCAUUCAUUUUUCAUUGGCUUUUCGACAGUACCUCAGGCGUUCCCCUGAAGAUGAUCACCAAUCUGAUCUAGAGCCUUCUGGCCAUGGCAGCACAAGUUAUGGUACAACUGCAACACGCCGCCUCACAUUCUUGUCAUUCAUUGAUGAAAAGAAAGAUCAAUCAAAAGAUAACAAGUCGAAAAGGAAACGCAAGGAAAUAGCAUCAUCUAAUAGGAAUGGAAAGGAAGAUGAAUCAAGGGAUGCUAGUACAUCCAAGAGAGUACAAAUGAACAACUCUGAGAUAUUGCAUAAUCCUGAUAAUGAAACUUGGUUAACUCGUUAAAUCGUAUUAUUUGUUGUUUUUGUGUGUGUUUUUCUUUUCCGAUCUGAUCAGUGUUGUUGAGAUUUCUUACAAGAAGUGAAACAUUUACAUCAUGGAGCACACCUCUUUGCAGAUCGUCAUAUCUAUCACUAAAUAUGUUCAUCUAAUAAUAGUUGUCCAAUAAAGUGACCUCUUCCAAAGAAACUAAAAUAAUCUGCAGAGGCUGAUCAUGCACAAUACGAAAAGUAGUGUCUAACUUUGAAAACUAGUUUUUGCUGUGAACACAAUAAAUCUAAAUCUUGAUAGCAAUCUGAUGAAUCUUAAUCUUGAUAGUAAUCUGAUUUUAUAUAAAGUAUAAUCAGACACAGUUAAAUGUGUCCACACAGACCAUAGGAGUUGAUAUUCUCAAAUCAAUCAAGCUAGCACUAUAAAGGCAUGAUAAUGACAAGAAACUUGGUACACAACACCUCAUUCACUCUCCCUUAAACAGUAGUCAUGGGAUUGUUCACAAGAAAUGUUACAAUGCUAAUCUUGUUAGCGCUGUUCUUAACUGUGUGUGAUGCUAAUGAUGCUAAUACAAAAGUGCAUGUUAACAUCACCAAUGAUUUGACUGGAAAUUCAAGUCUGGCUGUUCAUUGUAGAACACGGAUCCGCGACCUUGGUGAUCAGAAGAUUCCCCAUGGAUCUUCCUUCGUAUUUAUUUUUGAUCAGAACUUCAUCACUAAAAGACUGGACUGCAAUGUGCACUGGGAUCAGGCAGUGGCUCGUAGCUUCAUUGCAUACGAUCAAGAUAGAGACAAAUACAGGUGCAGCUCCGGAUUUUGUUUUUGGAGAUAAGAAGCGAUGCAACAUGUAUUCUUAACAAACAACGAGGGACGUUUGAUUGUAAUGCUUGGACUCGUUAGUCUCAAGUCUAUGUACUUCAUCUUCAAUAAUAAUAUUAUUCGAAAGAGCUUCAUUAUUCUUUGUGUCCUUGAAAUUGGAUUCUGGGGCGAUUUAUUUUAUUUCAUGCUUACAUUAAUCUACCUCAAUUUGCUAUCUGACGAGUUGUCAAUUGUUAUUGUUGAUCAACAUAUAGUAGUUCACCUCUGUUGUGUGGUCAUCCUCCUAGCUAUAAUAACUUCCUGUAUGUCAUGAUAUUGGAAAACAUCAAUUUGACUAUAUUUGUUGCAUUUUUUUCUUGAUGAUAUAAUUGUUAUUUUCUUUCAUUUAUCAGUGAAUGACUAAAAACUUCAGCAGCCAGGCCUGAAAGAAGAGGCUCACGAUCAAGUGGUGUUCAUCUUCAGGCGAAUGUAUGGCAAUUAUUUCAAUCAAAAGUAAUUCUCUAUAACAAUGGUUACAAACACUACAUUAACAUUCAAUUUGGUUACAUUUUUCAAUUUAGUCUAAUUAACACUACAUUAACAUUCUAUUAAGAUCUCAAUUAUUUCUCCUUAGAUGAUUUAGCUUUGUUUUCACAGCUGAAGUUUUAAGCCUUCCAAUUUUCAUCUUGAUCUCUUCCAGAACUUAUUCCUGUCUCCAUCUCUCUCUCACACAACUGAGCUCCCAUCCUAUCGUUGAGUAUUGACAUAGGAAAAUGGUGACAUUGCGCAUGAGUUGUAGUUCAAAACGAUAAUGGAUAAGUUGUUGUUGAAUACCUGAAUUAAGAUAGUGCUCAAUAUCUGGAAAAGUACAACAUGUACCUAAACAGAUUCACUUUACUGUGCUCAAAGUACAGUUCUUUCUGUGUUUUACUGUCAUCACUCAUCACCCAUAUGACAGUAAAAGCUUUUGUAUUUAUUUUUUUUGGUAUGACUGAAAACCCAUGACAGCGGUCGCUGAAGUUUCUUCUUCUUCUCUGCUUCCCAAAGCCGCGUUAUGGCGGGUGGGGUCUCAGCAAUGGUCCCAAGCCCAGGCAGCACCGCGACCAUUCUGUUCCAACCCUUAAAUGAUAAUGUACCUAAAAAUUGGUCCUGAAAUCUCUUUCAUAUUUUAGAAACAAAUAAAAUAGCUUUCAACCGAAAACAAAUGAAACCAAAAAUAAAAAACACUCGGGGUUCGGUUACAUGAGCUUUCAUGGCGUUUUGUAUUACUAAACUACAAUGUUCCUAAAGAUUCUAAGUACAAUAUCUUAGAGAACAGCUGGAUUCGUGGGGGUUGGUUUGUCUCUGAGUCUGAGGUUGUUCUAUUUCCGUAUCCAACUCUUUUUCUCCUUUUUUUUUUUUUUCGUGGGGUCCUCUCCAUAUUUUAGCCACUGUAAUUGACAGCCUCAUCAACAGCCUGGAAAAGGUGGCCGGCACUAAAAAGCUUAGACCUUGAUGGGUUUCUAUGGUGGGCUUCACGUUCUAGUGCACACCCAGUUCUCUGUGCUGCAAAAAGUUUCAAUCUUGCUCUCUCAUUGAGGUAAUGGCUUUAACAAAGUUCAAAUCUUUUUUUGGUUUAUCUGUUUGUGUUGCUGAACUUGGAUUUGUUUGAGUUUGGUCUACAUUGGAGCUACUGUUAAUGCUUUUAUCUUUUUUGGCAAUGCUAGGAUUUUCCUACUUGGUAUAGAAGAACUGGGUAUUUGGGAUUGAGUGCAAUAGAUCUGAGGUGUUUGAAGUUGUGGAGUUUAGGCAUUUGGGAUAGUGGGGCUUGUGCUUUGCUGAUCUUUUGGUGGGUUGGUUGGAUUUGAUCAUGGUGAAGAUGAAACUAGUCAGUUGGGUAGCUUUGGUUCUGGCAAUUGUUGUGUCUAUGAGUCAUGGAGCCUUUGGUUUAUUCAAUCCUGUUGAUAACUAUUUGAUUGCUUGUGGUUCUUCGGAAAAUGUCACAUUUGAAGGCCGAACCUUUGUUCCUGAUACACUGCAGUCUUCCCUUGUGCUGAAAGGUGCUAAUUCUUUAGUUGCUAGCUCCAGUUCCAAUGCCCCAUCUCCUAUUUACCAAUCUGCUCGAAUUUUCAAGGAAACAUCUUCCUACAAAUUCAAAAUCCAGCAAGAGGGCCGCCAUUGGGUUCGCCUUUAUAUCUACCCUUUAGCAAAUUCGGUCCAGAACUUGGCGUCUGCUCCGAUAACAGUGGUCACUGAUAGCUUUGUACUCUUGAAUAACUUCACUUUUCAGAACUAUAAUGGUUCUUAUCUAUUCAAGGAGUAUGCAAUCAAUGUGACUUCAGAUAGUUUGACCCUAACCAUCAUUCCUUCAAACAAUUCAGUUGCUUUUGUUAAUGCAAUUGAAGUUGUCUCUAUCCCUGAUGAACUGAUCCCUGAUCAGGCAUAUGCUGUAAAUCCAUCUGCUCCUUUUAGUGGUCUUUCGGCACUUGCUCUUCAAACUAUGUACCGAUUAAACAUGGGGGGUCCUUUGCUCACUGCUGAGAAUGAUACCCUUAAAAGAACUUGGGAGAAUGAUGUGAAAUACCUCCAUGUCAACAGCUCAGCAGUGAAUGUAUCAAUCAACCCUGCCAGCAUAAAGUAUCCGGUCAGUGUAACACCAGAGAUAGCACCUAAUUGGGUCUAUGCCACUGCUGAAGCCAUGGGAGAUGCGAAUGUACCAAAUGGAAAUUUCAACAUAACUUGGGUCUUUCCAGCUGAUCCAAAUUAUUUGUAUCUUGUUCGGGUACAUUUCUGUGAUAUUGUCAGCAAGGCACUGAAUAGCCUAGUUUUCAAUCUUUUCAUCAAUUCAGACAAUGUGCUCUCAAGUCUUGACCUCUCUUCCAUUACUGGUGACUUGAAUGUGCCAUAUUACAAGGACUUUGUUGCCAACUCCUCAGCAGAUUCAAAUACUUUGACAGUCAGUGUCGGUCCAGAUUCAAUGGCUGAUAUCACUAAUGCAAUUCUGAAUGGCUUGGAGAUUCUGAAGAUCAGCAAUGACUUGGGGAGCUUGGAUGGGUCUUUGUCAGUUCAGAGUCUCCUUCCCAGUUCACCCUCUAAGAGUAAUAAGAUAGUAAUCUUAGUUGGGUGUGUCAUAGGAGCUGUAGCUCUUGUGGCAAUAAUUGCUCUCUUUUAUUGCUGCCUGGCAUCUCGCAAGUCAAAGACUACUCCUAACCAAGGGCAUCCAUGGCUGCUUCUGCCCUUGUAUGGAAACUCUCAGACAAUGACCAAAAUGUCCACAACUUCACAGAAGAGUGCAACAGCUAGCUGCAUUUCAUUAGCUUCCUCUAAUCUUGGCCGCAUAUUCAUGUUCCAAGAAAUCCUGGAUGCAACCAACAAGUUUGAUGAGAACCUACUUCUUGGGGUUGGUGGUUUUGGCAGAGUUUACAAGGGAACACUAGAGGAUGGGACAAAAGUAGCUGUUAAAAGAGGAAACCCCAGAUCCGAACAAGGUAUUGCUGAAUUCCGAACCGAGAUUGAAAUGUUAUCAAAGCUUCGUCAUCGCCACCUUGUGUCUCUUAUUGGUUACUGUGAUGAAAGAUCAGAGAUGAUUCUUGUGUAUGAAUAUAUGGCUAAUGGACCACUCCGGAGCCAUUUGUAUGGAACAGAUUUGCCAACCCUAUCAUGGAAGCUACGCCUUGAAAUCUGUAUAGGGGCUGCAAGGGGGCUCCAUUAUCUCCACACUGGUGCAGCUCAAAGCAUAAUUCACCGAGAUGUGAAGACAACAAACAUUCUCUUGGAUGAGAACUUUGUAGCCAAAGUUGCAGAUUUUGGCCUCUCAAAAGCAGGUCCAGCUAUAGAUCAGACUCAUGUUAGUACAGCUGUUAAGGGCAGCUUUGGUUACCUUGAUCCUGAGUACUUUAGAAGGCAGCAGCUCACUGAGAAAUCAGAUGUGUAUUCAUUUGGUGUAGUUCUAAUGGAAGUUCUUUGUACAAGACCAGCUUUGAACCCGGUUCUUCCAAGAGAGCAAGUGAACAUAGCAGAGUGGGCAAUGACUUGGCAAAAGAAAGGCAUGCUGGACCAAAUCAUGGACCCAAAUCUGGCUGGGAAGGUAAAUCCAGCUUCUCUUAAGAAGUUUGGUGAGACAGCUGAGAAGUGCCUUGCCGAGUAUGGUGUUGAUAGGCCAUCAAUGGGAGAUGUCUUGUGGAAUCUAGAAUAUGCUCUUCAGCUUGAGGAGACUUCGUCUGCACUCAUGGAACCUGAAGAUAACAGCACAAACCACAUACGGGAUAUUGAAUUGACACCACUUGAGCCAUUUGACAACAGUGUGAGUAUGAUCGAGGGAGGGCACUCUGGCACAGACGAAGACGCUGAAGAUGCUGCAACAAGUGCUGUGUUCUCUCAGCUAGUUAAUCCUCGUGGAAGAUGAGAAGAAAGAUGCUUUGCCUUUCGCAUUCUUUGUCCACAAUGUCCCAGGGAAAGAGAUACUGAUCAUCCUGGCCUUGAGAAUGCUCAAUGAGUGAAGGUUAUUUCUUGGUUCAUUACUAGUCUGUUACCUCAAUUUUUUGUCCACUAUUUACUUUGUAAUAUAGUUGUGGUGGAUGACAGUUAAUCUAUCAUAAAAAUUGUACGUAAGGUGCCAAAAGAUUUACUUGUAUUCAUAUAAAAUUCAUAUGGGUUACAGAGUUCCCAUGUUUUUACCAAAGUACAUGAUGUCAUUGUAUUCACAUAUAAUUUUUUGUUCAUAAGGUACAGAAAAUAAGCAGAGUUAGUGAUUAUGAUAUUCUAAUCUAGCCAUCUUCAUACUGUUCUGAGAAUCAUGUUUGUGUAGAAAUUACAAAUUAUUCAUAUUCAAUCUCUUUCAAGUAUCUCAGUAAAGUACCUUUGUUCUAAACUUGAGAUCUUGGAAUAGACAAUCAUAAUGCUGUAAGAGCAGCCUUGGGUUGAAAGUUACACUCUUUAUAUUAGAAAUUGUGGAUUUUGUUAUCUUCCUUUGUCCCAGGUACCACACUAACUGAAAUUUCAGCAACUUGAGGAAGUGACUAAGAUAGCAUUCUUGUAUGAAGUCCUCUCCACUCUAAUAGAAGCUUCCUGAGAUUCCUGAACAGAGAGAUGUGAUUCUGGAUGAUUGGCUCCUCUCCAUGUCAGAGAACUUCACGUGGUCAAUUUCAUAGUCCCAUGUUGCUGAUGGGGUGACCUCAAGUGUGAAGCUGUUAGUCCAAGGACUUGAAUGAGUUGAAUUCAGGUAUAGUCCCUGCUUCAGCCUUUAUGGCUGAGACCAAUGAAGCAAGCAUUGGUUUGGAGGUUUGGAUCGGAAACUGAGCUGAAAUGCUUGUUUUUCUCAUGUUUGUUGUCAUUGUACCAACUGGAUUCACAUGCAUCAUGGCUUAGCUGUGUUAAUGAGUUUUUCCAGAGGGCCUGGUAGUCGUAGCUUUAUUUAGCUAUCCCAAGCUUGGCUGCAGAUUUUGAGUGGAACACAACUUUUAAACAAUUUCAUUGUUAGUAGGUUGUGAAAUGUGGAUAUGAGAAACUGCUUCUUAAAUUUUUCUUGCUUCGGGUGUAGAAGAGAAUUGUGGUAUGGUAUAUACGGGGUUUUACCGCUUGUUUUUGAGAACAAUGUUUGGUACUGGUUGAAUUGAGUUGGUUUCUAAGAUCAAGUGUGUUCGAGAGCUGAAACUAUAGCAUUCAAAAGCUUGGGUUUUGGUAUCAUCACUAUCAUGCAGGUGUUUCCUUGCUGAGUUGCUGAUACAGCAAUGAAGCUUAAAGCGUGGGUGCAUGCUUGCUUGCUAAUCUGUUAACAUUUGACAUGUACUGGUGUGUAGUCCAGUCACCUUCUGUGAACAUCAACAUUACAACAGUAGUAACUUGCUCAUCAAUCUGCGGCCACAUCGCUUUCUAAUCCGAACAAAUGCAUAACAUCUUCUGGAAAUGAAGAUAAGUACGCCUGAUCUAUCCCUGGCAAUGCCGAAAGCGUUGGCAAUGUUUUGGUAUGCUUUCGCGCCCCAUUGGGCAUUGGCAAUGUCUCCUCACUUGAGUCACUUCUGCCCUCUAUUUCUCCUUUCCUAUUUCCAUGUUCUCAAUCUUAUUUAGUCAUUCAACCUAACUUGUUCAUUUGUUUCAUUUCUCUUCUUUUCCCCCAAACACAGACUCUUUUGCCAUAUCUUAAAUCAAGUGAAUUAAGAUCUACAAACCUUACAACUCUGGCAGUUUAUACGUACUCAAACCUUCGUAGUAUAACAAGACUCCAAAUUUCAGCCACUUGACAAACACCUACAAGACCAAAUCUAGACUCUUUGAUUCGAUUACCACAUGGCAUACACAUAACGUUAAAGCAGAAUCAAAGUAUACAUAUGUUUUUGGAUUGGAGCAUUCUACUUUGUAGUGUAGCUUUGGGUUGAAAAAGUUCAUAGCUUUACCCAUUAACUGUUAUAUCUGAUUAAGCCUAUACUUAACAUAGCUAUGGGAAGAAGACCAAAUGAAGACUUUUACAUGAACCGUUGGAUGAGUGUUAGAAAGUUUAGUAAUAUUUUCAAAUUUGAAGAAUUGAAGAUGCAUACGUUCUAAACAUUUAUUUAUCUAUCAUACGAUAUUAUUAUAAAUUGACGAUUACUCUAUUUUUUACAAACAAGUUUUUAUUUAUUUUUUAUUUAUUUUUAUUUUUUUAAGGAAAACGGAUAACUCCAUUGAUGAUCAUCAUAACGAUCUUACAAGAUCAAGUUUGAAGGUCAUACACGACUUCAUAUAAUCAUCAACUACGCAAUGACUGGAUUCUACACCUAUAAUGGGAAUGCAACUAAAAAAUAACCAAAGUCUUAACAAAAGCAAAGCUGAAUGAAAACGAACAAGAAUUGAAAGACUCAACAAAAACAAAAUAGACUCAGCAGAAGCAAAACUGACUCAAUUACUAAAGAGACUAAACUGCUACAACAUUACACAAUUUUAAGAUCAAUCAACCAAGAGGCUUAGGGCCUAAAGACCUUCAUGGUGUACCCCUCCACCUCUAAAUCAACCAAAAAUCUAAAAUCAUGUAAUGUCGUCGCAAUCAACCUCAUUCCUCAACUGUUGGAACGAGCUCUCCCUCCUCCCCACCUCCGAGAUCACACUAAUCUCAAAAGCAAUGGGCGCUGAGAGAAUAGGGAUUUCCUCCUUUGGCUUCGGCUUGUUCAUGCUGCCACAUGGACUACCAUGUUUCAUGGAUCCACUGCUCCUAAAUAGCUCCAGCCCGCCUAUAUUUUUUGAAAACCCUAGCUGCUCACGUUGCAGCUCGAAAGAAAUGUGAAACUCAGAUAUAACGACGAGUUUAAUAUGAGUCAAACUUACGACCUCACACUCACAAAGAAAGACUUAUGCCAUUUGACCAAAUGAUACUAGGUUUUUACAGUUUUUUUUUUUAAGGAAACAUGUCAAACUUUAUUGAGAAACAAAACUAUUACAUAAUGGGAAAUUCAGCUGCAACAACAGCUUGUAUAAAAGACGGAACUCUAAAAUAAAAAAAUAAAAAAAGUAAUGUUAGGUGAAUCACAUUUUGAUGAACCACCAAGAGCCCACCUUACGUGGCAGAUGACGUGACAUGCCUACUCAUUAAUUAUGUGUCAUUUCUAAUAUUUUCAAAUUUCAGUUUUUUUUGUUAAUUACGAAAUUUCUUUUCAUUUUUACUUUCUUAUUUUUAUUUUUUAACCCAUAUCCUUUAUCUUACUAAUCCUUAAAAAAAUUGAUCAAAAAAACUAAUCCUUAAAAAAAUCUUUAUGAAAUACCCUAGCCUGCUCUUGUCUCACUCAUUCGCUCCCACAUCCCUCUUCAAUUUAGUCGAUUAAGGAAUUCUCAAGAUCCAUGGAAAAUGGUUGAUUGUUGACACCAAUGAUCAACCAUUUUGACGAUGUUCCCCUCCAAGAUGUACACACAACACAGAACUUUAAUGAAUCAAUGAGUGAUAACCACUUCACCAACAUCUCAAUCAAGUCAUCAGGAAUAUGAUAAGACCACCUAUUCGAGAUAGAGACUACUCCAUUGGCAAUUUCACCAUACGCAUCUACUAAUUCUAAUUGACGGAAAAGUUUAUUUUUCAAUGUAUCAUCUUCGACACUUGUUGCGUUAAUUCUACCAUCGGCCCUGCUGCAUCUUGGGAGAGGUCGACAUCAAACUGAGAAUUCCUUAAUCAAUUAAAUUGAUGAGGAGGUGGGAGGAGGGGUGAGAUAAGAGGAGGAUUGGAAUUAGGGCAGAACUACGUUUGUUGUGGUGUAUUAACGAUUAAAAAGAUAAAUGAUAGGGUUUAAAAAAAUAAAAAUGAAAAGAAAUUUUGUAAUUAACAAAAAUAAAAAUUAAAAAUACUAGAAAUAACACAUAAUUGUUAAUGUAGACAUGCCACGUCAGCUGUCACGUAAGAUGAGUUUUUGGUGGUUCACCUAACAUUACUCAAUAAAAAAUCCCUCUAAUAGGAGAAGAUGAGUGAGCCGCCAUUAAAUAUGCCACUCGGUUUGCACUACCUUUGGUAUACGCAAUUCGUAUGGAAUCAGAUGCUUGUAGUAGAGCACCUAUAUCAUCAUAUAAUCUCCCUGUAAUUGAGAAAUUGUUCUGUUGAUUAUUCAGCAGCUGAAGGUUUUUACAGUUAAAAUGGCAUUAGCCCGAAAAAUAAAAUAUAAAUCCAAAAGUGUUUUACUUUAAGGCCGUUGACAACUCGAGAGAGAGAGAGAGUCCUCAAAAAACUCAGAGAGGGUUUAGUCGCGCAGCCCAAAACUAGAGUCUAAACCCCCCAAAAACCCCAAACUCUCAGUGACAGUGAGUCAGCCAUGGCUGUCUGCCACCACCAAGCUCCCUUCAAGCUCUUCUCACCCCUCCCACCACCAAACCCAAAACCCAUCUUCCGAUGCAACCUCUCCCUCCCCUCCCGACCCACCAUCCUCACCGCCGACCCCGAACCCCUCUUCACCUCCGUCAAGACCUUCGCCCCCGCCACCGUCGCCAACCUCGGCCCCGGCUUCGACUUCCUCGGCUGCGCCGUCGACGGCCUCGGCGACUUCGUCUCCCUCACCGUCGACCCCCAAGUCCUCCCCGGCGAGAUCGCCAUCUCCGAGAUCUCCGGCGACCACAACUCCAAGAAGCUGAGCAAGAAUCCCCUCUGGAACUGCGCCGGGAUCGCCGCCAUCGAGGUCAUGAAGAUGCUCGGCGUCCGCAACGUCGGCCUGUCCCUCUCCCUCGAGAAAGGCCUGCCUUUGGGUAGCGGCCUCGGAUCCAGCGCCGCCAGCGCAGCCGCCGCAGCCGUCGCUGUCAACGAGAUUUUCGGCGGGAAAUUAGGUGUGGAGGAGCUGGUCCACGCGGGGCUCAAAUCGGAGGAGAAGGUGUCCGGUUACCACGCCGAUAACAUCGCUCCGGCGUUGAUGGGAGGCUUCGUUCUGAUCCAGAACUAUGAGCCGUUGGAUUUGCUCCGGUUGAGCUUUCCGUUAGAAAAGGAGCUGAUAUUUGUGCUGGUGAGUCCAGACUUCGAAGCUCCGACGAAGAAGAUGAGGGCGGCGCUGCCGACGGAGAUAGGGAUGGCCCACCACGUGUGGAAUUCCAGCCAGGCCGGAGCUCUGGUGGCGGCGGUGCUUCAAGGCGACGUGGCGAGGCUUGGGAAGGCGUUGUCGUCGGAUAAGAUUGUGGAGCCGAAGAGGGCUCCUCUGAUUCCGGGAAUGGAGGCGGUGAAGAAGGCUGCCAUUGAGGCUGGAGCUUUGGGGUGCACUAUCAGCGGGGCUGGGCCCACGGCGGUUGCGGUGACGGACAAUGCCGAGAAGGGGAAGGAAAUUGGAGAGAGGAUGGUGGCCGCUUUCUUGAAAGAUGGGAACUUGAAAGCUGUGGCGAGUGUGAAUAGGCUGGACAGAGUUGGUGCUAGGCUUGUUAGUAGCAUUCCCAGAUGAAGUGGUGGAGUUGUUCUCGGGAUUUGAGUGGUGCUCGUAGGUGAGCUCUUUAUGUUGCUUUAGAAUUAGCAGUAAGUUCCCACAUUUGUGAUCCGAAGAAAGAUUGAAAACAAAAAAGAUUGAAAACGAGUGAUGUAUGUGUUUGAUUGAGCUGAGUUCAGGCUGGUGACAGAAGUAAAGCUAAUAAAAAAUUCAAUGCAGACUGUUUUGCUAUGCUUCAGUCUUCAUCAUGUUGUUUUUCUGGCUUCUGAUUUGGAUGUGAGCCGAGUCCUUUGUGAAUUGUGAGUAUCUAAUGUGUCUCAGACUUGUAGUUUCAAAGCGUUGUUGGGAAUGGUUUACCUAUUAAUAUUUUUCUUUUCAUCGUUUAUAUAUAAUAUAUAUAUAUAUAUAUAUAUAUAUUGUUAUAUUUAUAUAGAUGUUUUAAUGCCAUAGCUUAAUGGAGAUAGCGAUGAUCAUGUUUCUGUACAUGGUGAAAUGGCAUUAAAAUUAUGGCAAAAUCUGUUUAGGGUUGCUGGGAUGAAUUGGGUUUCUCCAGCAGGGUGCUCUGCUGUAUUAGCCAUUAAGUGAAAAUCACAAUGUCUUUGGCAAAGAAAAAAGUAAAAGUUAUGUUGCAGUGUUUUGGCUGUAAUUUGCGUAAUUUCAGCUUUGUGGGCUUCAGUUUCAGUUGAGUAUAAAGACCAUAUUUUCUCCAUUUGUGUAAUUGGAAGGGGCCAUUCGGGUUAUUUGUUUUGGCCUAGGGUUUAUGUCUCUCUUAGGCAAGUCCUCUGUAGUCUUCUUUGUUUGCUGUUGCUUCUAUAGAUAGUUGUGAACUUCAUGUGCACGGCUUUUGUUUCUUCAUGUGUUUGUUAUGCAUGAAAGGUAAAAACAAAUGUAUAAUUGAUAAUCUGAUUGCUUUAUCUAAACAAAAACCUCUUACAAGUUACAAUUGCCAUCUGACUUCUCAUAAUAGUGCUUUGGAGUUUAUGCAUUUGUUUAUGUUUCAGCUUUUAUGGACUUGUUUUCGAUUUGUUUAUGUGUCCAUUAUGGCGGGUGAUGCUAGUUUUUUCUGUUAACAAAAACGAGUAUUGAACAAUUACUCCAUUAAGGGUAAAAUCACAUCAGCAUCGGUUGUAUGUUCUGCAAGUGCUAUCUUGUUGUGUUGUCUUUGUAUGAAACUCUCUUUAUUCCAUAAUGUUCUGCUGACUGUAUUUAACGAGGUAGUAUUCCGACAAAGUAGAACAAUUACUUUUUUUAUAAAAAAAAAUCUGACAAAAGAUACAAGAAGUCCUAAAUUGGUGCUGUACUCUGUACAAAGCUUAUGUCAUUAGAAAGAAGAAUUUCUGUGAUAAAUAUGAGUCUGGCUUAUACUAAGUUGGGGCAAUGGGAGGCUAUGCCGCUUAACUCUGCGUUUUUUGGAAGAGAAGGUGAAUAUUCAAUUGGUUUAUGAAUCUCAUAUAUAUCCAGGGUGUUUAAAAAUCUCAUAUUUAUCAACUUUUCCUGUUUAUUGAGUAUGUAAAUUCUGGCACUGAAUUUCAGCUUAAUGUUAAAUGGAAUAUGGCUGCAUUUACUUGGACCAUACUUUUCAUUGCUUUGUAGAUGGGAGCUUUGGGUUACUUUGCUUCUGCGGAAGGAACCAAGUAUUUGAUCAUGGGGCUUUUUUGGUGCAGGCUUGGUUAUAACAAUGGUGAAGCACUGAAGCUUGGUCUUGUUGUGAAUUUAUUCAUUACAUGGCCUAGGAGAUGAAUCCAGUUCAUGAAAUUGUAAAGAAGCAGCUUUAGACUUUUGGGGUGGUUGCUGAUUCUGGAGGGGAGUUAGGUGGCUCUAUUGGCCCAGAGGUUUGCUGUUUUCAUGUCUUAGCCGGAAUGAGGUGUAUUACUCUUUUGUGAAUUGGAUUUUCAAUUUUCAUUUUGACAACUUUGGUUUUAUGAGUUUUUCAUUGGAGUUUCGGGAAAUUGUUUUCCUCUUCGAGGCAUAUCUGCUGUCAUUGCAAGAUAUUUGAAUAUAAACUAUUUUUAGCUUAGUACAUUGUGUAUCACGUACCCUUAUCAGCCAAAAUAUAUAGUCACACUCCAUAAUUCCUAAUUCAGGAUGUGAAUAUCAGAUAUGAAGGCUUUUCUGUUGCACUUGAUAUUUUGAUGAUUUACUUGUUUCGUAAAAGAUCAAAUAGUAUCUGUUAUGCAAUCUAUAAUUGAACAAUUAAGAUUGCUACAGUAGUAAUAAUGUUCAUGUAUUGGGAAUUUGGGAUAGUGGAGGAAAUUAAGAAUAAUUAGGAAUGAGUGUUUGCAGUGGUCUUUAAUCACUUGGUCAUCAGCAGCCAUCACUUGUUCUCAGGCAUAUUAACUAAUUAAGUCCUCAAUAAUGAUUAAUAGAGCUAAUUAGAUAUUUAAAUUCCAGUUGAUAAUGGUUCUAAUGUGGUGCCUAUCCAAAUGUGGAGUUCUAGUUCUAAUGUGAUUCUUCCACUGUAUUUAGUUCUACUUCUGCUGUGAUUCGAACUCGAUCUUUAGUUUACCAUCGAUCACUAUAUAUACAUGUAUACAGAUGAAACAUGAUUACAGAAUUGAGGCUUCUUCCUCAUCAGCAACCAAUAUCAGUGCUAGCUUCUACAGCUCGAGACUCGACAGUGAUGGGGUAUCCCGUUGAGCAUGAACUUGCUACCUACUCAUCAUCAUCGACCUUUCUCCAAUCUGGUGGAGCUGCUCAACCAAUUUCUACCCUCCCGCCAAUCCAACCAACCAAGGAGAAUUACUUUCUGUGGAAAUCCUUGUUCAUCUCAGUUCUGAGAGCCUCUGACAUGUUAGACCUGGCAGAAGGUCGAGAGCAGUGUCCACCACAAAGCGAAACCCUAGCUCAUACCAACUGGAUCAAGAGGGACCAAACGUUACUAACUUGGAUCAACUCAAGUUUAUCUGUGAGCCUACUCGCAAACACAGCAGACUUCACUAGCGGACGAGCUCUGUGGUUACACUUGGAAAAGCUACUUUCUGAUCAUGCAACCACUCAUGUACGUGAGCUCAGGAAUCGUUUAACAAACCUCGACAUGAGGAAAGAGCGUCACUCGACGACGCGGGAGAAAACCCCAACCCCGGACGUGAGGGAAGAAAGUAAGUCCAGUCUAGAGAGAUACCUAGAAACAGCUAAAGAAAUCGCUGAUGGGCUCGAAGCUGCAGGGUCACCUGUAGAUGAUUCUGAAUUUGUUUCUUGCGUCCUGAACGGACUUACAAGGUCAUAUGAAGGCUUUGUUGCAUCCAUCAGGGAUCGGCCUGAGCCUCUAACUCGAGAAGAACUGCAGAAGUCACUUCUAACUUAUGAAGCUGAACAUAAAUCCUCGCCGAUCCUUGGGUUUACAUUUGCUCUUUUUGUGCUAACCCUGGUUGUGUACUUGGCCGGUGGAAUAUCCUUUAUAUUCCCUCUAGUUUUAUUUGUUUGUUUGUUUGUUUGUGUGCUAGCAAAACUGAUCUGGGUCAUCAUCUUAUCAAGUUCAAAGAUUAGAGAAAGUGCCCACUGCGAGUAUAUGAAAUUACACACAGAGUCUGUGUGAAUAUAUUCAAGUGUAUUUUUCUUUAGAAGAUAAUGUGAUUUCCUAAUCUUACUGUGAUUGUCUUGUAGCUUGAAAUUGAUGACACAAUAUAACUCAAGUUUUGGUAUAUGUCGAGAUUUAUUUCUAAUCUACUUAACUCUUGGAUAUCAAGUUGAAUGUCAAGAUUGUUUCUCAUAACUGAAGUUGGAUGUCAAGAUUAGUUUUUAGUUAUUUUCUCUCUCCUACAUCGAGAAAUUUAGCUGUAUCACUAAUUUUUAAAGUUGUCAAUUAUUUAAGUAUUCCGUUCAAACUCGGAUUUAUCUCAAAAAUUAAGAAGUUGAUGAAGAAUAAAGUGUAGAGACAAAGAGAUAGCAAGAGAGUCAUCUUAUUCAUUGAUAGGAGCCUUUUAUAUAGGGAAUUACACAAUACCAAUAUGGUAAGGAUAUGAAUACAUAGAUCUAGUCUAACUACAUAUCCUAUUGACAUAAGGCCAAGGCACACAUAGAGAAUAUCCUAGAACAGAAAUUAAAAUAUCAAUACCAUUAGAGAUACUCUAAGCCAUUGAAAAAAGAUUGUUUCCACACAAAAAAAAUUUCAACGAGUUGGGGGGAAUCAGAAGUGGUAACAGAUUUGAAUGAGGUUAAGAACACGAAUUUUAUUUGACAUUUUUCUGGUAAACCCAUCUUCUUCUCUUUUGUUGGUUGCGCGUCUGUAUCACGUUUUUGUUGUUGUAAAUUCAUAGAACAAAUGUGUGCGUCUGAGGAGAAGCAUGAUUUGGUAUGAAUGACUCGUACGUCUGUAUUCAAUUUUGUUUUUGUUUUGGUCAAUUAACUCUUAAAUAGACAUUGCUUUCCAAAACACUACGCUAAACAAUGUGCAAGAGUUUGGACCAUUACUUGUGACCUAUAAUUGCUUUUAGGAAGCGAAACACCGUCCUAACUCUUCACUAUAGAGGUAUUAGACUUCUUAUCUUCCACAAAAUCACGCUAUGAACAAUGUAGAAGAUUUUGAUUUUGGACAAUUGGUAAAGCUACAUUGCUUUUCUAAUAAUUGUGAUGAUGGUUACCAUAAUCAGAAACGUGCUGUGUUUCUCAUGACCAAUCGAUUCCAUCAGUAUCUCAACCAUUACCUACCUGUGCAAAAACAACUAACUUGAAGUUGGUAUUGUUCAUUACAGAUUAGUCUGGGGUGAGCAGCAGCCGAGUUGCAAUCAAAGGUUAGCAAGUUGUCAACCUCACAUGUUUAAAUAAUGAUGUGUGAACUCACAGUUUGGUGAACCCAGGAGCCCAGCAAUUUGGAGUUCCGUGUGGUUGUUAAAGUGUGUAAUCUAUAGCAGUCAUAGAGAUAAGGGUUGUUACUACUUAAAUGAAGACUUAAAUGCUAGAUUAGGACUUGACUACAUUGUUCUCCAUCUUGUCUACCCUGAGGUCUUUAUAUUCUGCAUAUUCUCAUUGUUGAAACCCGGUAGUUAUUCGAGUUUUGAUCAUUCUGUUUUGACAUUAUGUCUCCGCAGUUCAUGUUUCUCAUUGGUAAAUCUCCUAUUGUCAUCAUAUUUCUUCCUUUCUUGUGGAUCUUAGCCUCUCUUAUUUCCAUGGUUACUUUGCCAUUCCUAUGGCUUGCAAGGUUACUAAACCCCAGAGGCCUUGAGGAAAACAUUCUCCGGUCACUUCCAAAGGUCUGGUAUACUGCAGAAGUCAAUGAAAAGCUCAAGGAUUGUGCCAUCUGCUUGAUGGAGUAUGAGGGUGGAGAUGCUCUAAGGGUUUUGCCUCCUUGUGGUCAUGGUUUCCAUGUCAACUGUGUUGAUAGGUGGCUUAAGUGCCACUCUUCAUGUCCAUCGUGUCGCGCCGCUGUGGUUAUGGAGAGCAAAGAAGCACAGAUACUUGGAGAUGCCAAAAGUCCACCAUUUUCAGAUACUGUAUUUGAUGCUUCAAAUCCUUACAGACUGACUUUCUGGCACCUUUGAAUCUCAUUAGUACGUUUAUGUUUGGUGCAGACAUAAAAACAAAGGGCCAAAGAAGAUGAGCAAAUUUACUAAACUUGUAUGUAAAGCGUUCCAGUUACACUAUAGCUAAAGUCAAAUGGUAAAUACCACAAACAAGAUGGAGAUACAAUAAUUUGAUUUAUAGUUUUAAACCGUUGUGAUUAUUGGGACAAAAGGGUAUGGAAGUUUUCUAUUUUCGGAGACAAAAUGUUUUCUGUUUCUCCUUGUCUCAACUCUGAAGACAUAAUUAAAGCAGUCAUGGAUGUUUCAAAUGCUUUCAUUCCCAUAUCCUAAACUUUUGAGCCACAACAGCCAUGGAAACUUUCCUUUCCUUUGAUAUUCUACCCAAGGGUUGAUAUAUAGAUCCUGAAAAGUGAAAACAUCAACUACAAUACUGCAUGAUGCAUGAAUUCAAAGCAAAAGUUUGGAUGCCGAAAAUCAUUACGGUUACACAAAACGCUAUCAAGUCGUUUGUCAUGUAUAACACAAAUGACAGAUAAAAAAUGUAUAUAUCAUCCUUUCUAAAGGAUUCACCGUACAAUUUGCAAAAGUAGCAAGAAAGUAUAAAUUCAAAAACAAGUUUCUAAUUCACAUGUAAACUAAUUGUCUUUGGCAGCUGCAGCAGCCUGUUUUGCACCAACAGCGAAGAACUCGGUGAUAACUUCAAGGGGCAUGCCUUUGGUUUCCGGUACUUUGAUGAAAACAAAAAUCCAAGCGAUGACGCACACUACAGCGUACAUGCCAAAUACGCCAGAUAGGCCGACGGAUUUGAGCAGCACCGGAAGGGAGUAGGUAACGAUGAUGUCACAAAUCCAAAAUGUGAGAGCACAGAUGGCAAUGCAGAGACCCCGGACUCGGGUGGGAAAGAUUUCUGCACAGAGAAUGUUGGGGACUGGUCCGAAUCCCAUCACAAAAGAGCAGAAGUAGAUCACAACGCUACCAGUUGAGAUUGCUGCAUUCACAACACUACCAAAAUUCACAAGGCUUCCAAGGACUAGGAUCACGAGAGAAAGUAUCAAGACAGGGAUAGUGGUGAGCAGUAAGGUCCUGAAUUAAGAAUGAAAAAGAGGGUAAAUGGUUAAGAUACAAAAUACAAAACAAUUAAUUGAAAUUGAACCAUAUUCUUUUGCUUAUUUGAUUAUGCUCCCUCAUCUCAUAGUAAUAACUUGGGAGUCAUUUUGGAAGAUCUUUAACUUGUCAUUACAGAUAACUUCACAUGAUAAGUAAAGUUUUGGUGAUUGGAUUACUAGGGAAUGUAGGCAUAACUUAUUUUGAAAAGACUCCAAAAUUUCUAUAAUUAGAGCUCACACAAAAUAAUUUACCUUCUGCCUGAGAUAUCCAUGAGCCUCAUGGCAACAGCAAUACUAGGAAGCAUCAACAAGGUUGUCAAUCCACUAAUAAGCAGAGAUGCAGAAGCUGAGCUAAGACCGAGGUUUGAAAGAAGCACUCCAACACCGGCCUGCUCAAGAAUUUGAGGUGUGUAGUAGAGAACCCCAUUUAUGCCGGAGAACUGCAUUAUUAUGAGAAACCCUCAGAGGCGUACGAAAUCGAGUAAAAGGGUAAAGAGUAUACAAACUUUAAGUAUAAUCGAAUUCAAACUAUGCCACAAAGAUUACCUGCUGAAGUAUUUGAAGUCCGACACCAACAACCAAAGCAUGCUUGACUCCUGGUUCGAAAAGAUCACUCCAACUUGUCCCUUUAGCAGAAGCUGCAGCUGGGUGAACCAUUGCUGGUCCAACUGGAUGAUGUUGUUGUAUAAGAUCUCUGGAAUAAAGAGCCGGUUGGCUCACCAAAGCAGUAGCCUGGAUGAACUCACUAUCUGCUGGUACAUCGCCACCAGGUAUUGAAACAAUAGACUCACGACGAGAUCCAGGUACACCCUCUUGGUGCAAAAAAAUUCUUUUAAACCCUCCUUCUUUAUGUCCAUCUUGGCCAUCUCUCUCGGACCAUUUCCAUGCUAGCUGCCAACCACCACCAAUCUCAGUGCUACCGCCUUGAUCGCCUCCUAGGAGACUGUUGUUUCUCAUGCUGACAAGGCUUCCAUGAUUAGUUGGGCCCAUGCCCUUUUCAAUGCUUGUUGUCUGACGUGAGAUCAAUGGACUAUGCAAAUUGUCAUCCGAAUCACCACCGCCACCUGCAUCGGAUGCAUAGUCAUCGCCUUCCCUAGGUGCAAUGCUCUCCUCAUCCCACUCUUCGUGCCUAGGUUGAUUCCCUCCCACACUGAACAUGCUGCCAAAGUGUGGGAAAAGCAUACUGCCCUUGCUUCCUGCAUCAGGGAGCUUUUCAUGAACACUACCGAAGAGUGUGACAAGAGGAUCAACAAUCCCACUUUUACUUGCCAUGCUCCCAUGCCGAGACACAAGGCCGAUAGUACUUUGUCCAGUCACUGGUCUGGCAACCCAUGAUUGACCUUGUUCAGUCCCAUAUAAUUUGAUUUUAUCCUUGUCAACAGAUAAAUCAUGGUCAUCAACGAGGUCAUUGUCCGGACCAAUUAUGUAUUCCUCAAAAGAUGUUUCGCCCCCAACUCCAAGACCCUCAACAAGUAAAGCCAUCUCACCUGUUGAUUUGAGAAGGGUCAAUAUCAUUUUGCAUAUGCAGCAUUAUGAUAGUUGUUAUGUUCCUCUAUGAAUGAAAAAUGUCUUAAAUGCAGUAUACAUAAGCGCGGAGAGGACAGAGCAUCAAGUUACCAAAAGAAAUACUGAAAGCUAUUAAGUAUGAAAGAAAGAGAAAGCACCAACACCUUGAUGCUUACACUAAACAUGUUCGAUAAUAUUUAUUUUACAUUUGAGCAAUUGCAGUCCUGAAAAUACUUAUGUGGCAUGUUAUGUCAUAAUUAUAUUUCACCAAUGAAUUUAUCAUUUUAUGUAUCGAAAAACUCAACAUCAGGUAAUACAUUAAGAUGGAGUGCUUUAGACUAUCCUAAAUCAUGGAUAUGAAAUGUAUGAAGCCUAUCAACAUUCACCACCGAUGCAAACAACUAUUUUGCAGGAUCACUUGGAAUUUGAAAGAGUGCAAAGGACUUUUGCUUCACAUAAAAACAUAGAAUUAAAGGUAGUCUUCUUUAUCCCUUCUUAACCUAUGUUGAUCUUGCACCGUAUCACUCAAGUUUAUUAUCAAAAUGAAGAUUUUGGGUCGGAAACCUAUAGCUAGGAAUGUCAAGGUAAGCUCCUACUGAAACACUAAUAAACUUCAUGGAAAUAAAGCAUUUAGUGCAAUCAAUCUUUGCAUCUCAGUAGUGACCAACUAUUCACAGUAACAAGAACAAAAUGACUAACCAGAGACAUCUUCUCUGCUGCGCAGCCUCUGUAAGACUUUCUUUGCUUCAAGCAUCCGUCCCUUACUCACUAGCCACCGUGGAGACUCAGGCAAGAAAAAUAAAGUCAAUGCAAAAUAAACAAGAGAAGGAAUAGAUAAAACCCCAAGCAUCAACCUCCAACUUGGUGCCUCCGUCAAGGACAACACAAAAACCAUACAAUAUGACAAGAACAUCCCACCAGAGCCAGCGAACUGUGGUAGGGUAUUCAAUGAUCCCCUUAUUUCAGGUGGAGCUGUCUCAGAUAUAUAAAGCGGGACAAGGGUAACUGCCAAACCAAUCCCCAGUCCAUCUAAAAGCCUAGCCAAGAGAAGGAUGUAGACAUUGGGAGACCAUAACAUUACAAUACCACUGAGAAAGUAGAGCACAGAAGAGAUUAUAAGCAUAGGACGGCGGCCUAUCCAGUCAGCUACGGCACCUGAGCAUGUUGUAACCAGAGUUGCCCCUAUAAGUGACAUCGCCACUAUCAGCCCUUCCACAGCUGGUUGACUCUCCAAAUUGAACUCCCUCUUUAUGUACAAAACAGAAGCUGCAGCAACAAAAACCAAAAAGGGUCAGUCGGAGAAUGUAAUCAAAAUACAAUAACUUCCCAUGAAGUAAAUUCCAUUAGCAAACGAAAGAAAGCUGAAGAAAAGCACACUAAAAAAAAAGCUAAAAAGGCCAUCUUUGAUGGAUCUAAAGUUGGCUAUUGCUCUGAAUCUAAAGGAAUCAAACUUUCUGUAGUGAAAAAGACAGAUUCAAAGCUAGUACCUGCGAUUGUAGCGUUGUCCCAUCCUUGCAAUAGAUUCCCAACAGCAGCAGCAAUAGCAACAAGCACAGCUCCACUCAUUGUCAACUCAAAUGUUCAAAAUUCAAUUACUACCCUCUAAAUAAAUCCUUCACCGACAAUCCAAUCAAUCCAAGUUAGAAGAGCAAAACCCAGAUCACUGAUCCGUCAAUCUUGAUCACCCAAAUCAACAAAGUGAUCUAGCAUCAGUAUGAAGAACUCUAUCAGAGACUAGGAGGCAGAAGAGCAUAAGGAUUAUAUAGGCUAUUAGAGAAUAUCAGAUCAAGCACAUGAACACAAUUGAAUAAAACACAGCAGUAUACAACAAAUUAAGGUUGUUGGGUUUACCUGUAGCAAGAGUAGCUUGAUGGGUGAGUGAUGUGUCAGUCUGCAAAUGCAGACGCCGUAGAAAGUUCGAGUCUUUAGGGCUGAUGAAACCCAAAAGCAAAGCCAGUAAAAUAUCCCAAAAGGUGGCAACUGAUUAAAGGAGGAAGAGGCCAAAGAGCAAACAGGAGUUUAGCCUUUUGGAAACAGAGCGAGAGCGGUGGCUGAUGGACACCUGCUCUCGUCCUCCUCUCUUAGCCUUGCACGUCAGCUCCCUGUAUCAGAUCACUGUUAUCAGUUUCAUCAUCAAUCGCUAGCUGUGAUUUUGGGUUUUAAAAUCCAAGAGAUAAGGACACGAAUUCAGAUUUAUAUGCAAAUUGAACAACCCAAAUGAAGAGAGUUUUACAGAGUUGCUCUGUUUUACUCUGUUUUUAUGAGCAGUAAUGUAGAAACUAACCUGAGAUUUACUGGGUUUUGCUGAAACAGUCCAGAAAACCCAUGAUUAGGGAUGUUGGGUUUUCUGGGAAUCCUUGUUCUGAGAGAAUUAGGAUAUGCUAAAGCUAAACUAGGCCGUCUGAGGUCUUAAACAAAACCUAAGAGAAAAUAUUUAUGCCAAAAGUACAGAUUUGGUAUAAAACCCUAAACUAAGGGGAACUAAUCGGCUGCAUGCUACACCCAGCUCAGCCCUGAAUAUUCUUAUUCAAUUAAUGUUCAUCAUUACCAUAAGGACAAGAACCAGAAACAAAUCAAAGGAUGCAAAAGCAUCUUAUGAAAAAAAUAAAAAUAAAAAUAAAAAUCUAUACAAAAAUAAACAAACGAAUCGUAUAUAGUCUGGACUUAUAGGUGUCCCUGUUUAUAUGGGGCUAGUCAUGUGAGUUAAAUCAAUCUCUAUUACAAAAAAGAAGAAGCAAUAAUUUGAAAGAGGAACUGAAUCGAAUCGUGCUACCGGUUACCUUGUUGUAAUGGAACACAACCUACGGACGAGGAAUCGAGUUGAAGUAGUUCAGUUACUCCUGGUUGGCUAGUUUCCACUUCCAACAGGCAGGAAUAAGUUCCUGUUCGGUUUUUACUUCACGGUCAAAAUUGUUUCAAAGCACUAACAGGUACUUGCACAAACUAAAAUGAUCAGCUCGAUAACAUCGAAUGCAGGGUCAUUUGCACUGUUGAUGGGUAGACGAAUUUUCCAAAUUUGUUUAUCUUCGGUUUUGUUUGACUCAGAUUUAUUAGUAAAAGAUGCAUCAAAUUGAGGCGAGAUUAUUUUUAUUUUUAAUUAUUUGUACACAACCUCUAAUUAUUUUAUUUUGAAUUAAGUAUCGUUGGGUUUAUUAUCCGGCGGCAACAUAGUAAGAAAACUGCAUUAUUAGACAUUAGGAUGUGUAAUCGUGUUAUUACAUAAUUUACUGUUCUUUCCAUUAUGUUAAUGUUGUGACAAAGCAAAUAAAGUUGUCAUUAAAACAAUACUCUUUACUAGUGGGUGUUUGUUAGAAUUCAUGUACUAUGUACUUUGUAGAAAUUCUCGAUAUUAUUUCGGGACUUCUAGAUUAUUAUUGUAAUCAAAGGUUUAGAUUCCUCUUAUAUUUGACAGUUUCAUUAAAAAAAAGCUUAAUAACAGCCGCACCAGCCAUUUAUUCAAAAAAAAAAUGACGCUUUAGUUUUCUUGCAUUUCAAAUUUAGAUAGAAAAUGAAUCUCAACGGUCAAAUAAAAUACCUUAUAUUUCUGCUAUAAAUAUCUAAAAUACAGGAUUUUGGUCUAGAUUUAAGAAAAAAAUAGUUUGUUAUAUAUUUGGUCGAUCAAAUUCAUGUAAGUUUAAAGACUUGUUACAAUGCACCUAGCUAACAGGUUGCAAGUUCAAUGGUUAUCCCAAAAUUUGUCCGGAAAAAAAAAAGAAAAAAAAAAGGGUUAUCCCAAAAACAAACAAAAAAUAACUUCACUCUCAUAAUAUGUCCAAACAACAAAUAUUUUCACUUGCUCAUAAUGUCGAUCAAUUGACAAAAGAGUAUUAUGGAAUAUUCAAUUAUAUGUUCCCUAUCAUUGGCUAUUACGUACAAUACCUUCCUCUCUAACCCAGGUGAGGGACCUCCAAUGGAGCCAUGGCAGUGUGAUGUUGCCACCAACCGGUGUUCCAUCCUUCUCUUUUCUCUCUUAAUUUGAUUCUCUUUAAUUUCUCUAUCAUUCCAGACAAGCUGGCUUCAAAGGGCCGGGAGGUCAGUGGAAGAUGAGUUGAGAUUGGUUGGCUUUUAUUUUCAGUGCUACACAUGUAGAAAAUCUCAGCCAACGAAUAUAAAAGAAAAAGUCAUGCACCUAAUACCAUACAACAUUGUUCGUUUAUGAUCUGCGCGCACUCUCUUUAUUUUCUAGACUGUAACCCCAAAUUUCACAUUCUUUGUUAACUCUUUAUUCUUUACUAUAAUGAAUUUAUGCUUGUAUCACAAGAAAUGUAAAGAGAAUAACAACUACUGUGUACUGAGACAUGAAAAUCACGGAAGAGAAAUCGCGAAUUCGCGCGCUCUCAUGUCCAUAUGGUUCGAGGCGAGGACGCGCAUAUCCAUCUUGUUAGAACAACAACGACACUCUAAUUUCAGCAUGAACUUCCGGCCGCUGGAUUUUCCAGUAGUGGAAUAUACUGGCAUGCAUUGAAUUUCUUCUAAUUGAGCAAAUACCAUUUUCAUGCUGAGAACAACUUCCAGAAUCUUACAAAUUAAGCUAGUCCACUCCUAUGAACCACCUCUAUCGAUCCGGCGGAUGCUUUUUAUAAUGCUGAUAGUUCUGUUUGGAUAGGGAAACUAAAGCCUAGAGGAAAUUAAUAACAAUAAAUUGAUUGGGAUAUGUAGAUGACCAGACCUAGUACGUUUGAGUAGGAGUACGUAGUCAAUAUACUUCAAAUCAGCUCCAUUCUUCAGCUAGCUAGGGUUUCAUUUACAUGCUUUCUUUGUUGUCUUAUCUCCUUUAAUUGCAUGUCUAGGAGUUUGCCGUGUGUUUAAUUAUUUUAUUGUAUAAAUAUAUCUAGUAUCAGUACGUAGUAUGUAUUUAGCAGUAAGUUUUAGUUGGAAUCCAUGGGUUUCAGAAUGUAGCCGGAACUUUGCCGGAGGAUAUGGGACUUGAUCGAUGGAAGAGAUUCCGCAAAUUAAAACUAGGAGGUAAGUAAUUAAGUUUUGUGAAUUUGUCAUCGGUAUUAAGUAUUGCUUCUUCAGAUUUCAUAUUUAGCACGAAAAGCACAAGUAAUACUUUCAAAUGAUUCGUAUGUGCUGAAGUAUAAGUCCACCAUAACUAGAUGUGAUUCCAGUUUACAUAGACUGUAUAAGACAAUCCAGGAGAAGCUUUACAACCCUAAGUUCCUUCUUAUUCUUCUUUAUUCAAUUGACUGAACAUAUACGUCGUACAUGCCUUUCCAUAAACUUGAAGUGGUCUCUUUGUGACCCAAGCUUGAUUAAUACCGCUCCUGGAUUCUCUUCACUAUAUUUGAUACCUUCUUUCUGGAAAAAUUUGAUAACAGAUUGCUUCACAAUAGACUUCCCUGCACCAUGUCCGGUAACAACCCUGAGGAAUCGAAGCGAUUGCAUGUUGGUUCCAUACUGAAUGUGCAUCUUCAAAUGCUUCAUGGCUUCCUUGACAUGCUUCCCAUGUAAAUCGAUGGUCUCAUGGUCAUCACAUCUCUAUUUAUGCCCUUUGUCUUUGUUUUUAGCUUUAAAGAUCUCCUGGCUUGCCUUCAUUCUGACGACUUCUCUCUGGAGUUGGUAAACAAAGACUCCAUCACCAUAUGAGAAAGACUUGCACUGGUACUCCUAUGAGCUUGAGGAGGACCAGCAAGAGCCUCGGCUUAGUUCUUGCGGGUAUGUUCGGAAGACAGUCUCUUUAUUGAGGAAGAAGAUAAUUCGAGCAAGGCAUCUAAGGCCCUUUCAACCUCAUAUCCGCACUGACCAAGGACAUCUUUCACCACACCCGAGCUUAUCUCCGACUCAUCUCCAAACAUAGAAGAAACUUUCGGCAUCCUCUUUGCAUGUGUCUGGCCUAAACUUGUAGCCCGGAGUAGGAAGAUUAUCGUGAACUAUUGCCAAUGAAAAUUUUGCAAGCAAGCUAGGAUGGGAAGAAGCGAACGUGCUUUGGUUCUUGUCUUUCUUAAAAUAGUUUCUAAUUUCUGUUGCGCGUAGGGGAUGGUGAGAUGAUGGAAUGUCCACUUAACAAAGUACUGCCCUUUCCUAUUAUUAUGGGGAAUCUUAAGCUUCAAGAAAUUAACCUUGUCUAAAUAUGUUCAAGACACGUACGUAGCUAGUAAUCAAGUUAGUAAACCCUAACCCUAUUCCCUGUUGCAAAUCAUAUGCACGUACGAUCCAUUGUGGAGGUAGCUAGCUUAAUCAUGUGGAUAUGAUCGAUCUGUACGUUUGGUAUAUAUACAUAUAUAUAACUGAACGAGAUCAGCAAUUAGGUAGUUGGGGCUUCUCCAAGACUUGGGUUGCUAUGUUCAGUAGGAUGAAUGAAGGUGGAGUGGGGUCCACUACUCCAAUUCUUGUUUAGUUAUCGACCAGGUCUUGUUUACUUCUUUGAGGUCGUUUUACUCUUAUUAUUCUUCAGAGUUCUUUGGUCUUUGUUAGGGAUAAAGGCGCGUGAACAAAUUCGAUAUGCAAGUCUUUUUAUGUAUCUCUUGGAGUUUUUAUUCUCUUUAUAGAAUAUGAUAUUUGAGAGACUCUGUGGAGCGUUUCUUGUACUACUCGGUGAAGCGUUAUUGAAUUUAAUGACCUAUUUUAAUAUAUAAAAAAUAGGGAGAGAGAGAGAGAGACAGAAUAUGAAAGAAAAAAAACAUAAUAUGUCUUUUUAUCAGGAAUGUAGAAGUGUGUAUUUCUCAUUAGAUUGACUCUUUUAUAUAAGAGUAAAAUUUACUUUAUAAUGAUAUAACUAUGAUAAUUUACGUGGAUAACCACAUAUAUAUUUACAAAACAUCUCUAAUAAGAUGUUUAGCAACAUAAUAAUACUUUAUAUUCUAAUAAGGUCUUACUCCUGGAUAGUUGCCGAUAGGAUAAUAGUUACAAAUCACAAACACCCACCCAUUUUUACAAUGGGCCUUAGCACAACCAAGAUCAGUAGUUGUUUUCCAAACAAUCUGAGUAUAAUGCAGACACGAAUCCGUGUGGCAUGUAUUAGUUGCAUAGUCAUAGUCAGGCUUCUCAGUCAUCCAAAGCUUUGUAGCUUCCUCACCCGUCAUGUCAGGAAAAUUUUCAGCAAUGCACUCGCCAUAAGGUCCACCAGAAUGCACCAUUUCGCAGGUCUUAGAUUUCUUAUUAGCAUAGUCUUGUGCGUAGGCCGCUAAUGUUUCGUUCCAUUUGAGCGGAGCAACACCGACCUCGGCUCGAGCUUUGUUGUGUUCAUCAAGGAAGCCUUGGUUCAGUUGGUUGAGAGAAGUUGGUGCCUGUGGUUGAACAUUGUUUUGUGGUACCUCCGGUUCAACUUUGUUUUGUGGUACCUGUGGUUGAACUUUGAUUUGUGGUACCUCCGGUGGAACUUUGUUUUGUUGUAGCUGUGGUUGAACUUUGAUUUGUGGUACCUCCGGUGGAACUUUGUUUUGUUGUACUUGUGGUUGAACUUUAAUUUGUGGUACCUCCGGUUGAACUUUGUUUUGUGGUACCUCCAGAUCUCUGUUUUGUUCAUCACUGAGGUCUUGAUUAGCAUGGUCUUCUUGGGGUUGGCCAUGGUGGUUAUGGUGACCUUUUUUUCUAGCUUCAGAUACAUGAGAUCCAAAGAUUACUGCUAAGAUGCAUAAGCCCAGAAAAUGCUUGUUAAAUCCCAUUGUUUUCCUCUCUUCUUUUGUUCUUUUAGAAUGAAUAUUUUUCAUCUAUCUAGUGUGUAAUGGGGAACAAGAGAUUGAGCAAUUUAAUAGAGGGUUAUGACAGUUUUGUAGCUGAAAGUGGUUAAAAAAAAAAAAAAAAAACACUACUUUCAACCAUGAAAAAAAUUUUAAAAAUUUAAAAUGCGGCCAUCCUUAAAUCUUGUUAAAACAAAUGAAAUACAUCCCUUGAAUGGGAGAUAUUUUCCUUCCAAUUCGGGUCCAUUCUAUUUACCUCCAAUCCUCCGUAUACCUUUUUUUUCCUUUCUAAAAUUGGAUCCAAUACUUCUUAUAUUUAGAUAUAAUUUACAUUUAGAAUGUUGACCACUUGACUCUCCCUGUUUCACCAUCUCCUAUUGUUUUAUGUUAAAGUCUAAUAAAGUCAAGUAGUGAAAUUUUUAAGCAGGACUAAAUACUUGUGACACUAUGUACUUUACCCUUAAAAGCAGUUUUGUCUCUAGGUUUUCAAAUUUAAAUGGUAUAUCCCUAGACUUUCAUUUUUCGACCUUUUUGUCCACUCUGUCAAAUAUUUAUGUUAUCAUGAUGACAUGGCAUAUAUUGGACUUUAAAAUGACAAGAAUACCUUCGUUAAAAGUCACUUUUACUUUUUCUUUUUCUUUCUCUUUGUUUUUUUUCUUCUUUUUCUCUCUCGACUCAAGAAGAACGAAGAGAUAAAGAUUCUUUUAAAAAAAUAAUAAUAAAGGAAAGAGAAAAAACUUGGAUUUAGACUAGGGACAGUUUAGUCGUUUUGGUGACUUAAAGGCUUUUUUGACCGUUAACCGACGAAAUGGACAAAAAUUUCAAGAAAUAAGAGUUUAGGGAUAUACCGAUUAAAUUUGAAAAUCAAGGGACAAAUUGUGUUUAGAGGUAAAGUUAUAUGGGUGUCACAAGUAUAAAAUACUUUUAGGUAUAUGUCAUUUUUUUUUCAUCCAAUUAGUGUGUGUCUCUUUGAUAUCAGCACUGUAUCUCUCCCAUACAUUUCUCGAACUCUUCUUUUGACAAAUUCUAAGUUGAAAAUUGGUUGGAUGUAUAACAAUAAGAUUGAGCCUUGUGUAGACAAAUCUAUAACUCUAUAUUGGGGAGUAUUUGCCCUUUUCGAAUAUGCUGAGGCUAGACUCGAAUGAAUAAGCAAUUAUCAAUGCACAUUUCUAUAGGUCAAUAUAUAUAUAUACAGCAAGCUUCCUCUAAGGGAUCCCUUUUUUGGGGUUAUAUGAGGGAUUAAGGGAUUACACCAACUUUUCGAUCACCAUUUCCAAUCUUAACCGUUCAAUCUCUUCAUAUAUAUGAGUGGAUCAUUUCUGGAAAUUUUCAUCCCAAUUGGUGAUCAUUGAGGUGCUCAAAACUGCGAUUUGCAUGAACGGUUCAAAUCUGCCAGAUUUGAACCGUCUAUUGAUUUAAGUUAGUUCAAAGCCUUAACGAUCACCAAUUGGGAUGAAAAUUUCCAGAAAUGAUCCACUCAUAUAUAUGAAGAGAUUGAACGGUUAAGAUUGGAAAUGGUGAUCGAAAAGUUGGUGUAAUCCUUAAUCCCUCAUAUAACCCCAAAAAAGGGAUCCCUUAGAGGAAGCUUGCUGUAUAUAUAUAUCAGUUUCUAUCUAAAGCGGGACACAGCUUUGAAAUUAACGUGUGAGACUCCUUAUUUUGCUCACUUUUAGGUCACAUUUCCACAUAUACACCAUUCAAUAUCUACAACAUAGUGUGUAGAUCAUUCAUGCAAAGUUUCAUCAAAUUUGAAAAUCAUUUAGGUACCGAAUUAGAUUAAAUAAUAUAUAUAUAUAUAUAUAUAUAUAUACACACACACACAAUCUUUCUCAGUAAGGAUGUCCUAAUUUAUUCUUACGGUGCAGAUUUCCAUUUUAGACUCACUUUUUAAUCGAAUUUUCACAUCUCCACUAUCUAGUCUUUAGAUAUUAAUGUACGUAUAGAUCAUCUUUACAAAAUUUCAACCAAUUUGGUUAUCAUUAAGGCACUCAAAACUGCGUUUUUCUGUUAUAAACAUGAACGAUUCAAGUUCGACAGAAUUAUAUUCGUCAAAACAUUCGAAAAUUGUGUUUUAUCUUUAUAGUUGGUUCACAAUGACGUACACUUGCAUAUAACAUACUAAAUAAGUUAAUUAUGAAACUUCAGAUCAUGCAACUGGUUUAGUGGUGUGUUUCAUUUCCAGUCUAUUGCUAUGAAGUUUUAAAAUGUAGAGAAAAACCCUUUAAGAGUAUUUCACUUGUGUGAAACACUACAAUGGUACUCUUCUGAGCCAUCUCGUUGCUAUCAUUCGAUCAGGACCCAUUUUUAACCCAGAAGUUAUGAGAAAUGGGUUUCUCUAGGUCUCCUCCGCUAUUAAUGUUUUGUUGAAGUGGCAGAAGCCGAAAAAAAUAUGACUGGAAUUUUGGAUAAAAAAGUGAAGGUCCGAUUGGCAGAGUAUAGCGGGCCAGUACGGAUCAGGGUGGCACCGACCUGUUAUCCUUCCACUGCAAGGAGCGGGAAGUGAUCGCUGCUCUGUGAAACCAGCCUCACGCUGUGCCCUCCGCUUUAGGAACUGUGUAACCCAGGCCUUCGCCCAAACUACACAGCCCAACUCCUUGCUUGGAACGGGCAGGUCAGAAAUGAGACACAACUGACCCGACCCGCUAUGACUAAGCCAACGUUCCAACACCUUGGUGCCCCCACUCGGGUGAUAAGCUCGCGUUACCAAGCUCGGCAAUGUCAUAUGCUUGCAUUCAAUAUAUAAACGCUUCAAAUUUUAUAUUUUAUUCGAUGUGGGAAGACUUCCUCUGUAUGUCUCUUCUCUUAUGAGCUAGCUUAACAUGAAGGUCUAUUUGAAGCUCAAAUUUCGUCCAUGACAGAUUGAAUGAAUACUUAGUUUGAAGCGUUGCGUUGUUGAGUGUAAACAUACAACUCAAAACGAGAUAUAGUAUCCAAAUGAUUCAUUUGCUUCUCCUACUCAGAGCCUUGUUAUUUGUUAAUUUGUGACAUAACACUUCAUUUCUGGAACUUAAUGGACCUUCUUAUACUCUUAUCUCCCAACAAGAAGAGUUUUAUUUAUGAAACUUCAAUUCAGUGUGAUGCCAAUGAUCUGAAGCAUUACAGGUUCUUCUGUCUAUUUCCUUUAGGGAAGCAAUUAGUCUACCUCAAGGGAAGUAAGUAGA
rnacentral:lncRNA from 1 species